rnacentral:lncRNA from 1 species
UCAUCGUAACUACUAGAAAUAAACAUGUGUUAGCUGUACAAGAAGUGGAUGACUUAUAUGAGGUUAAGGGAUUGAAUUUUGAAGAAGCUUGUGAACUUUUCAGUUUGUAUGCCUUUAAACAAAAUCUUCCCAAAUCAGAUUAUAGAAACCUCUCACAUCGUGUUGUAGGCUAUUGUCAAGGGCUUCCAUUAGCUCUAAAAGUUCUAGGUUCUCUCUUAUUCAAGAAGACAAUACCUCAGUGGGAAAGUGAAUUGCGUAAAUUGGAUAGAGAACCUGAAGCGGGAAUUCACAAGGUGCUUAGACGAAGCUAUGAUGGAUUAGAUCGUACAGAACAAAAUAUAUUUCUUGAUGUUGCAUGUUUUUUUAAAGGUGAAGAUAGAGAUUUUGUGUCAAGAAUAUUAGAUGCUUGUGAUUUCCCUGCAGAAAUUGGAAUAAAAAAUCUAAAUGACAAGUGUCUUAUAACUCUCCCAUACAACCGUAUAGCUAUGCAUGAUUUGAUACAACAUAUGGGUUGUGAAAUUGUUCGUGAAAAAUUUCCUGAUGAGCCAAACCAAUGGAGCAGAUUGUGGGAUCCCCAUGAUAUUCAACAGGCACUUAGAACAUCUAAGGUAAGAGCCAAGUGCAUAAAUUCACAUAAACUUCAAUAAUAUCAUUCUUGUAUAAGAACUUACAUAUCCAUAUAAGUUGAGUUAGUUUGUAUUUAUGUUUACCUUAUCCUUGUUAUUUUUCAGGAAAUACCAAAAGCUCAAACAAUAUCCUUGGACUUGUCUAAGUUAAAAAGAGUAUGCUUCGAUUCAAAUGUUUUUGCAAAGAUGACUAGUCUUCGAUUGCUCAAAGUUCAUUCAGGUGUCUAUUAUCAUCAUUUUGAAGGUAUUCACGAGAAGGAUUAUUAUGCUAUAAUAAAAAAUACUUCUAAAAUGCGACUUGACAUGAAAUUCGAAUUUCCUUAUGAGUUAAGGUAUCUUUAUUGGGAUGGAUAUCCUUUAGAUUUUUUACCAUCAAACUUUGAUGGAGAGAAGCUUGUUGAACUUCACUUGAAGUGUAGCAACAUAAAACAGUUGUGGCAAGGGCAUAAGGUAUUAUUAUCAUUUAAUAAUGACUUCUUUAUCUUUGUAUUGAUUUUGAAAUUUAUGAUUGUUAUGUCUUUAUUGAAACCAAUUUUCGUUUGGCACAGGAUCUUGAAAGGUUAAAGGUCAUUGAUCUAAGUUGCUCAAGGAAUCUCAUUCAAAUGUCAGAAUUCUCAAGCAUGCCAAAUUUGGAGAGACUAAUUCUUGAAGGUUGUGUAAGCUUGAUCGAUAUUCACCCAUCUGUUGGAAAUAUGAAGAAGCUUACUACCUUAAGUUUGAGAUUCUGUGAUCAGCUUAAGAAUCUGCCAGAUAGCAUUGGAUACUUGGAGUCUCUCGAGUCUCUUGAUCUCUCUGAUUGCUCAAAGUUUGUGAAAUUUCCGGAGAAGGGAGGGAACAUGAAAAGUUUAAUGAAGCUUGAUUUAAGAUUUACUGCUAUUAAGGAUCUGCCUGAUAGCAUUGGAGACUUGGAAUCUCUUGAGUCUCUUAAUCUCUCAUUUUGCUCAAAGUUUGAGAAAUUUCCGGAGAAGGGAGGGAACAUGAAAAGUUUAAGGCACCUUUGUUUAAGAAAUACUGCUAUUAAGGAUCUGCCUGAUAGCAUUGGAGACUUGGAAUCUCUUAUGUUUCUUAAUCUCUCUGGUUGCUCAAAGUUUGAGAAAUUUCCGGAGAAGGGAGGGAACAUGAAAAGUUUAAUGGAGCUUGAUUUAAGAUAUACUGCUAUUAAGGAUCUGCCUGAUAGCAUUGGAGACUUGGAAUCUCUUAGGCUUCUUGAUCUCUCUGGUUGCUCAAAGUUUGAGAAAUUUCCGGAGAAGGGAGGGAACAUGAAAAGUUUAGUGGAGCUUGAUUUAAAAAAUACUGCUAUUAAGGAUCUGCCUGAUAGCAUUGGAGACUUGGAAUCUCUUGAGUCUCUUGAUCUCUCUGAUUGCUCAAAGUUUGAGAAAUUUCCGGAGAAGGGAGGGAACAUGAAAAGCUUAAAGUGGCUUUAUUUAACAAAUACUGCUAUUAAGGAUCUGCCUGAUAGCAUUGGAGACUUGGAAUCUCUUUUGUCUCUUCAUCUCUCUGAUUGCUCAAAGUUUGAGAAAUUUCCGGAGAAGGGAGGGAACAUGAAAAGUUUAAUGAAGCUUGAUUUAAGAUAUACUGCUAUUAAGGAUCUGCCUGAUAGCAUUGGAGACUUGGAAUCUCUUAGGCUUCUUGAUCUCUCUGAUUGCUCAAAGUUUGAGAAAUUUCCGGAGAAGGGAGGGAACAUGAAAAGCUUAAAGAAGCUUUUUUUAAGAAAUACUGCUAUUAAGGAUCUGCCUGAUAGCAUUGGAGACUUGGAAUCUCUUGAGUCUCUUGAUCUCUCUGAUUGCUCAAAGUUUGAGAAAUUUCCGGAGAAGGGAGGGAACAUGAAAAGUUUAAUGGACCUUGAUUUAACAAAUACUGCUAUUAAGGAUCUGCCUGAUAGCAUUGGAGACUUGGAAUCUCUUAAGUUUCUUGUUCUCUCUGAUUGCUCAAAGUUUGAGAAAUUUCCAGAGAAGGGAGGGAACAUGAAAAGUUUAAUUCAUCUUGAUUUAAAAAAUACUGCUAUUAAGGAUCUUCCCACCAACAUUUCUAGGUUGAAAAAUCUUGAAAGACUUAUGCUCGGUGGCUGCUCAGACCUGUGGGAAGGAUUAAUAAGCAAUCAGCUUUGCAAUCUGCAAAAACUUAAUAUCAGUCAAUGCAAAAUGGCUGGACAAAUUCUGGUGCUUCCUUCAAGUCUACAAGAAAUAGACGCAUACCCUUGCACAAGCAAGGAAGAUUUAUCAGGUCUGCUCUGGCUUUGCCACCUCAACUGGUUGAAAUCCACAACGGAGGUAAUUUAAUAUAUAUAUAUAUAUAUAUAUAUAUAUAUAUAUAUAUAUAUUUUAAUUAUGCCACUUAAACCUUUUUUUAUUUUAUUUGAAGUCAAUAUUUACAUAAUAAUUUGUGCAGGAGUUGAAAUGCUGGAAACUCGGUGCUGUUAUUCCUGAAAGUAAUGGAAUUCCAGAGUGGAUAAGGUAUCAGAACAUGGGAAGUGAAGUAACAACAGAGCUUCCAACGAAUUGGUAUGAAGAUCCUGACUUCCUAGGAUUUGUUGUAUCAUGUGUUUAUCGGCAUAUUCCUACAUCUGAUUUUGAUGAACCUUAUCUUUUUCUCGAGUGUGAAUUGAAUUUACAUGGCAAUGGAUUUGAAUUCAAGGAUGAAUGCUGUCAUGGAUACUCGUGUGAUUUUAAAGAUUUGAUGGUAUGGGUUUGGUGCUAUCCUAAGAUUGCUAUUCCGAAAGAGCAUCACCAUAAAUACACACAUAUUAAUGCUUCAUUUGAGAGUUAUUUGAUAAACAUAAAAAAAUGCGGCAUCAAUCUUAUAUUUGCGGGAGAUCAACAAAAUCAUAUGCCCAUGUUGGAGCAUCCUCAGAAUUCUGGUGACAAUGGAUCAGCAUUACAAGAUACCGAUGGUAAUGUUCAUGGGGCUAAUCAAGAUGAUGAACACUACCAUAUUCCCAUCGUGUUAGAUCUUCUUGGGAAUUUUGGUGACAUUGGAUCAGUAAUACUUGAAGGCACUGAUGGAAACCGUAAGAGAAGACGUGAUGAUUCCUUACCCGAUGUAGUGGAGGAGCCACAUUAUAAAAGAUUGGGAGCACCCAACACCCAUCUCUCGCUUUGAACUCCAUCAGUAAGUGCAUUAUCAACCCUUUUUCAUGUAUUCUAACUUCUCUCCUUUUUAAAUUAUUUUUAAAGUUAAUAAACUAUUUUUGUAUAUUUCUUUAAACUCAUUUCACUUAUUUUUCUCCAUUAUAUAAAAAUUAAAUAAUUUAAAAAUGUAUACAUCUCUAAUCAAUUUUAAAUAUAUUUUAUUUUCUUUCAUAUUUUCUAUAGAAAAACCAAGCAUAAAAAAUAAUUUUUCUCAGUGUUUUUUUUAUUUCCUAAGUACUCUCUAAGAUUCAAACAUAGUUUAUAGUGAUUGAUAUCAUAACUAUGCAUGUACCACGUUUUAUAGAAUUUCUUCAUUUUCAAAAAAUAUGAAAAAUAACUUCAACUAACUUUGAAAGUCAUCAUUAGUUUAAAAACAUGUAUAGUUUUUUUUAUUUUUUUAUUUUUUUUUAUUUUUUGUACAUAUAUAGCAUAGAUAUGGUAGAGUGAAUUGCUUUUCUUUUCUUUUUUUUCAUUAUUUAUUUAUUUAAUUAGUUAUAUAAAAACCUCUACAAAGUGAUUAUGAAGCUCUAGGGAUUCUUCAUUACCUUAUUAGAGAUAGCAUUAAUUAAUUAUUUGUUUAAUUAAUUUUUUUUAUACUUGUUUUUAAGAUAAAAUUUGAAUAAGUUAUCAAAAUUAGUUAGAGAAGAUCAUGUACACAAAUUAGAAGUUAAAUUUGAAUGUAUUAUGAGGUAGAUAUAUGUAAAAACUUAUAGUGUGUUUGGUAGUAAUUCUGGAAAAUGUUUUUAGUAUUUUUAACAUUUGAAUGAUAAAAUUUUUCAAACGUUAAAAAAGUUAGAAGUGCUUUCUAAAAUCACUGUCAAACAGGAUCUAACGUACUCUUAAUAUUUUUAAUAUUUGAAAAUUUUUAUCAUUCAAUUGUUAGAAAUAUUAUAAAUGCUUUCUAGAAUCACUUUCAAACACACUCUUACUUGAUGGCAGUAAAUAAUGAAACUCCCAUAUAUUGAUUUUAAUAGUUUUAAGAGUCAAAUUGUUUAUAGUUUUUGUAUUGAAGAAUUAAAUUUCUUUAAGUAUGCUAAAACAUUUUUAAACAUGCAUACUUAUUGUCUAUUUCUUGAGAUGGAAGUCUUGGAUUAAUCUUAUAUUUACUUAUGUGAAAUUUGUGAUAUGCUCGUGAAGUUUACUUAACAAAUGAUCAUACUAAUCUUAAGUGAAAUUUGUGAUAGUACCGAUCAGAACGAAAUCACAUGUGGUAGCUGCAGGUGGACUUCAUGUUUUUUCCUAACAACUGAUUGGUAAGUCAUUUUGUUCAUUUAUCCUUUUAGUACGUGUAGAAAAUUGAUUAAAGCCUCUUCAACUUCUUUACUAUUUUCUCUUUCCCUUGAUCCCUGUUUUGUGCGAUUAUGUUUGGUUUUUGGAAAACUUAAAGGAAAAUAUAAGGAAAAGAAAAUAGAGAAAAAAAAUUAAAAGGAAAUAAAAAGUGAAAAAGAAUAAAAACAAGAUUUAAAGUCAAUCAAUUAUUUUCAUAUGUUUCUUCAAUCUUAUUUCAAUUAUUUUGCUUCAUUAUAUAAAAAUUAAAUAAUUUUAAAAUGUAUAUAGUUCAAACAUAAGUUUUAAAAUGUAUAACUAAUUUUAAUUAUAUUUAAUUUUUCCAUAUUUUUUACAAUGAAACCAAACAUUUAUCAUUUUUCUUGACAUUUUUUUAUUGUUUCCUUGGUACUCACUAAAGUCAAACAUAAGUUUAAACCCACUAGAGUGAUCCAAUUGGUGAAGGCAAAUAUUGAGAAGUGUGGUCCCACUAAGUGACACAUGGUCCUGAGUUUGAAUCCUACCACUAAUGAUACUUUGAAUUUAUCUAGUGCUAGUUAUUGUGACGCGAUUAACACUUUGAGGUUUGGUUCCCCAUAGAGUCCUAUAGGCUUAGCCAAGGAAGGUUUUUCAAUUAUUAAAAAAUAAAAUAAAACAUAAGUUUAAUGUUUUAGGAGGUAAAAAAAAAAAGUGGUAGCGCAAUUGACAAUUAACUAGGAUAUAUAUUUUUUCUCAUGUGCUUGGUAUAAGGCACUAAGUAUCAUUAUAUUAAAUCCUCCAUCUACCGCAUGAUAGUUAGUUAUAAAUUCCUUACUAUUAUUAUAGGUAAACAAUAAUUUAUAUAUGUUUAAAUUAAUUCUUAAGUUAAUGGUUAAUAUCUAUUAAUUAUGUUUUUAGUUCCUUUGAUGAUUAUGUUAUAUUUGAACAUUUUAGGGGUAUGAUUUUAGCUUCAUUAGCAUGAAGUGUAUCUAAUGAUAUGUGAUUCCCUAUCACUAUGUUUGAUUUCAAGAAAGUAUAAGGAAAGAAAAAUCCUCAUGAAAAUUAUUUUCUCAUGAAAAAAUCCAAGUACGAAGGAACAUGAAAAUGAAUUUUGGAAAUCAGACACAACCUUGUGAAAUAUACUUGUGUUAAUAAUUACAGUGUGUUUGUUGUACUAUGUUAAUGACAUUGAAAUGUUGUGUUUUAUUCUUUAGCUUUAGGUGGAAACAAGGACAAUGAGGAGAAGUUAAUCUCAAGAUGCAAAUGAGAUUCCAAAUGUUGCUAAGGUGGUCUACUCUUGCACAUGAUUAGUCUCUUACAAUCAUGACCAUCAAGAAAGAUGGUACAAUUUGUGUAUUGAAAGUGUGAAUUAGGAAUGUUAAAAAAUGAAAACUUGAAUUGAUAUAUGUUUUUGCCCAUAAGAUGUGUGGUUAUGGUCAAUUCUUGUGGGUAUGUAAUUGACCUUGAUGUUGCAUAUGAAGCAUGUCACCCUCUCUGUAUCUUCAAGUUAGUGGUUGGAGCUUCUAUAGAUGGUGGAAGACAAGUGUCACCAAUUUAAGUAUUUCUUAAGCUCUCAUGUGGCACUUAGACAAUUCAAGUCUAUUGAAGUUGUUGCUAAGUCUUUCAUGUUGUGACAAAGGUUUUUCACAUUUCACACAUUAUAAUCAUCACAUUUUAACUCAAGUUUUUAAAAGUAUUAAAUUAAUACCAUUCCCUAAUCUUACUCGGCUUGGUUUGUCAACUUCGGUGGUUUAUUACUUUUUAGAGCCAACUUUCAACUUAAUCAAUCCAACGUAAUUGUUAUUGAUUCAUGGUUAAUAAUUCUCGAUCUAAUGUUAUGAUUGUUUUUUAAAAAAUUUGAGGAAAAUAAAAUAAAGAGAAAAAGUACAAGGAAAGGAAAUGUGGAGAAACAUAAAAGAAUUAUAUUUAAAAUUAAUAAAUUAUUUUUAUUUGUUAUUUCAAACCUAUUUUACACACAAAAUUAUAAUAAUAUUUAAUUUUUUCUCUAUUUUCCAUGAGAUACCAAAUAUAAAACAAAUAUUUUUUUUAACAUUUUUUUUAAUGCUUUUUGGAAACUAAACAUAACUUAAUACUUGUCUUUGUGUUUCAAGAUACCAAUAAUACUUCUUGAUAAAAUCAUAUCUAUUAAUGUGGCAUGUAUACAUGUGUGGGAUAUUCAUGGUUCAAUACUAUCACUAUCUUACAAUUGUGGAUUCUAAUUGAAUUUUAUGAAUUAAUGAUAUGAUCUUUCUUCAAACAAAAUGUCUUUGUGAGUUGAAUUAUUUCAAUUGGUCAAACCUCUAUAUUCCAAAUAUUUCUACUUUGAUUAAUCAAGGUCUUUGUGAGUUGACUUUAAUUUGCUUUUAAAUAUCAUCUAUUAAAGUAUUUUAGAUGCUUCUUUGUUUUGUGUAGUAUUGUAAUAGAUUAUGAGAUAAUUGUAGACCAAAUGAUAUACAAAUUAUCUCCUUUAUAGAUGUUUUUUCACUUGCUUUAAAGCUAAGAUUUUGUAAACUAGCUUUUGUCUUUUCUUAGCUUUAAUUUUUUUACUCUAAAACACCCAAAUAAAGUCAUUUAGUUUUGUAUGUGCUAUUUUCUUUAAAAGAGAAACUAAAAAGGGAUGCAUCCUAGUAUAUAGUUGAAGCAGAGAAGGAUUUUAUUCUAAAAUUAAUAUAAAAAAUAUACUUUGAUAAUAUAAUUUUAAACCUCUUUUAGAUGGUGUUUGGUAAACCAACUUAAUAAUUUAAUAUAACAUAAUAACUUAAUUUGUUAUUAAAUAGAUUAAUUAUUUUUGGUAAAAUAAUUUAAUAUUAUAAUAUAAACAUAGUAUUAAGUCAAAAUAGUUAACUUAAGGGUAUUUGGCAAAUCAACUUAAUGACUUAAUAUGAUUUAAUAAUUUAAUUUAAGUCAUUAAAGAGAUUAAACAUGUUUGAUAAAAUAACUUAAUAUUACGACUUAAAGUUAUUUUUAACUUCAAGUAAUAAGUCAAAAGGGUUAAUUUCAUUGAGACCCCUUGAGGUUUGAUAUAAAUAUACUCAAUUACUGUUGUUUUCAAAUUUCAUCAAUUAGCACCCUUAUGAAUUUAUUUUGUUUAAAAAAUUUAUUUUUUUAAGAGAUUUCAAGUAAAAAUAUUUUUGAUAGGAGUGUUUAAUAAUUCACUAAAAACUAAAUUUUAUUUGUUAAAAAAUAAAAUUUAUAUACAUAAUACAUUUAUAGGGAUGUUAAUUGAUGAAAUUGAAAUUUGAAACUUAUGAUGACUUAAUGUAUUUACACUAAACAUGAAGAGUCUCAAUAAAAUUAACUUUAAGUUAAAAUAGUUAACUUAUUCUUAAUCUCAAAUCUUUUUUACCUUAUUUGUCUACAUUUAUUACUUAUUUUUUAUGAUUGUACUUGUAUCUUUAAUACUUUAAAUAUGAAUAUUUAACAAAUAAAUUUAUUAUUUAGGAUUAGUGAAAAUAUAAUUAUUAGUUAAAAUUAAUAAGGAUGAAUAUGUCAAUUUGACAAUUUAAAAUAAAAGUUUUAAGUUUACAGUUUAAGAACCAUUUAACUUAAAAUCAAUUUAAAUCAUUAAGUAAUAAGUAAUAAGUAAUAAGUUUUACCAAAUGCCCACUUAAAUAUAGCUUUUAAAUGAAUUAUUUAAUCAAAAGACAAAUAUAAAAAAAUAAAAAAUAAAAUAAAAAGGAACACACUAAACAGGCAUCAUAAAAUCUUUCACAUGAUUUCUUUACUUUUUUAUUCACCUUCUUAGAAGACGAUUUUAAUAUUUCCUAAGAAAAUUAUGAAAACACAAAAUUGGUGUUUCCAGAUUUUCUAUUUUUAUAAAACUCUAUUUUCUGAAAUAUUGAUUUAUGUUUUCUUUACAAAUGAAAACAAUUUAAACAAAAAAGUGAUUUAUAGUUUCCAUUUUUAAAAUUGAUUUUCACUUCUUUUGACUUAAGGCAUUUUCAAGAUAAGAAAAAAAAAGGAAUAAAAGCUAUUUUUAGAGAAUAAAAAUAAAUGAAAAACAUUUUCCAACCGAAACCCAUUGUUAAUGUUUUCAUCUCAUUGUGCCUUUUUCUAAUCUCCAUCCCGCACUUUGAUGGGCUAAACUCGAAAAUGGAAAGUUAUAUCUUGGCACUUGCUUUAAUUUACAUUUGUUAAAUUGGUUUUGACAUACAUUUUUCAUAAUAAAUGCAAAACAAUAGCCUGAGUUACAAACAUGAUUUCCAUGGUUUUUUAGGUCUCUAAUCACAUAAAGUAUUGAUUCCCAAAUUAAUGAUGCUCUAAAUUUAGUGCAUAGGGCAUUCAGACUCUCAGUUCCAUCAACAUCCAUUUUCAUUUUCUCACCUGCCAAAACCUUAUUGUACAAAUUUCCAUUCAACCUUCAGAUCCAUCCCAUGUUCCAUUUUCAAUCCUAGCCACAUUGUUACCAUAGGGCAAGUUGCUAGUACCAAAUAUUUAAGACAAGUAUACAUACAAUGCAAAUCAGUCCAUUACCCUAAAAGAAAAGGAAAAAGAAAAAGAACUUGUGUCACAGAAAGGAAUAAUCUAUUGGGUCAGUGGCUUGUAUCCAAAGUGAUACCAAACUGUGCUGACAAGGAGCCUUUGUAAGAAUCUGAUACAGCUCCUGCUGUUUCUGAAAGGUUGCUCUUCAUCUCUGAAAUUUUUGAUACCAUGGGCUCUUUGUAUUUCGAAACUGAGUCAACCAAAGCAUAGAGUUCCCAAGCACAUAUCUGAAUUUCAUCCUCAUUUUGCUUGAUUGCUUCCUGCAACUUCAAUUUGGACAUCUUCAUGACGACAUCAAAGUCUAGUCAGAAUCCCUUGAAUUUUUCGAUAAUAUUCACAUUAAUCAAGAACAAUUAUAAAGCCAGGUAGAAAUUUUUAGCUCUGAAAAGGGAAACCAACUUAUGUUAAAAUAAGUUUCUUUCAGGUUUACGAGAUCCACCCUGGCAAUAUUGAUAUCCUUAACUAACUAUUUAAGAGAAGAAAAACAAAAUUAUACCUCCAGAACAUCUGCCACUUCUCUUUCCACAAUAUCUACAUUAUGGGUUUCUAUCUCAACAUCCUCCACCAACUUCUUAGCUUCCAUUGCACAUCUGGAGGUGUAGUUUUGCGUUUCCUUCUUCAAAAAAUUUAAUUGAGCUUCCACCUGACAAAUUGAUCAUUCAUCCAUGGUUAACCUCAUACAACAAUAGCCUAAAAAGAAUUCAUUCUGAUGCCUUGUCAAAAAUCAACCAGAAGAUAAAUAUCCAUGAACGAAAAACAAUUAGAUUAAACAAUGUGUAACCCAAUAAUUUAUGUUGCAAAAUCAAGUUAAACAUCAGAUCCAUCAGAAACAACGAGAUGCAUGAUACUAUUCGAUAGCUUAUUAAUAAAAUCACAUUAUUAGGAAGACACUACUCAAUAGCUCGACACUAAUAAUGGAGUUCUUUAAUAAUGGAAUAACCUUACAUGGCAUAGUUAUGCAAGCAUUGUUUAAGCUAAUGUCAAAUAUAGUCAAAGCCUUGACAAUAAUUUCCAAUCAGCAAGUUGGAAAAUUACUUGCUAAAAAAUAUACUUGGAAAAGGAAUCAAAUGUAGUCAAUCCUUUGUAGGGACUAAUUAUCAUCCAAAAAUAAUUUUUCUUAAGUGUUUUAUAAGCCAUCAAAGCUACUUUGAAAAUUUGGGGCCUGACAAUCUAUGUGCAAUAACAAUUGACAUCUCCAACAGAUUAUUUUUUCUUUUUUAAUCCAAAACAAAUCAUUCAUUGAUAUGAAUUUAAUUACAAACCAAGGAUGAGAAACCCUUUCAAAAUAUAAAGGAUGAUUAAAAAUUGAGGAAAAAUCUAACAAAAGUAGCAAGAUAGCUAUACUAAUCAAGGACGAUACAAGAACUUGAAUAUAGCGACAAUGUACACUUGAAGGGGGUAAAACAUACCUUACAGAAGAGUCCAUUUGCAUGGCUCCACAUUUAGCCAAUCAAUCUGCAACCUGAUUCACUAAAUGAGGGGACCAAUAGAAGGAACAACCCAAGCUACUAGCUAGAUCCAGGGUUUUAGGGAGCUACAUGUCAUACAUCCCAAGACAUGUGAUGGGGGAAAGCCUUUCAAAGUAUAUUCAAAAAGGAAAGGAAGGCACAAAUAAACUUUAAGUGGGAUUAGUAUUAGUUAGAAUAAAAUUAGAAUUAGUAUUUAUUGGAAUCAAAUUAGGAAUAGCUAAAUAAUUUAGAGGAGACUUAGAGUCAUAAUAGGUUAUAUUAGAAUCCUAGUAGGCUUUGAAUUUCUUAGAGAAGCCUAUAAAUAAAGCUAAUUGAUGUAAAUCAAAGUAAUGGAUCGAUAAUUAAUAAUAUAACGUUUCCUUGCAUACUUUGCAAUUUUGAAUGGUAAGACUCUUGAUUUUCUUCUAGGUGAGACUCUUAGAAGGCCUUAGUGAGACUCAAAGCUUUCUAGCUCUUCUUCUCCGUAUCUUCUUUCUCAAUGUUUUUUCAUUUUAUUUUUCUUUACCAUAAACUUUAUCCUUUAUUCCUCACCUUAAAUGGUUAAACCCUAAAAAAUAAAAACCGUAGCCCACUUAUUUGAUUGUAGGCAACCAUCAUAGGGUUGUCUUACGUCAAUAUGUCCAACAAUUUAAUCAUCCCUUUUAAUCCAAUUUGAAAAUAGCACCUAUUCUUAACUGAAUUAUACUAAAGCAUAUUUGGGUCACUUUUCUAAAGCACAUGUCUGGUUUCCAAAAGUGGACACAAUUCUAGAAUUAUGCAAUUGGAGUAUGUGCAUCUAGGGCAUCCUGAAGAUAUGUGCAUUCUGAAAAUGAACACGUAUUCCUAUUUCUUCUCCCUCUUCUCCCUCUUCCCUAUAUUUAUUAUUUAUCAUAUCUUUACAUCACCUAGGUACCAUAUCAAAACCAUACAACAAGCUGGCCCUUGAUCAGCAUCCAUCUGACCCUGAUCAAUGGACUUCAGAAACAAUGGCAUGCACCCUACAUUUAACUUCCAAGUCCUCUGGACCAAUUUGACAUAACUAUGGUAGCACACUUUUUGGGUCACCCUUUGUAUUAGUUCAAAGGAACAUUACAACCUGAGCUGUCCAUUGAUGCCAAAAAGCUGUAAUGUGGGUAAUACAUGCUUUGCUCAUAUACAAUAAUUGUUUUUAGCAAUGGAUACAAAAUGGAUGUCUAUCUAAGGCAUCCAAAAGCUAAGAUUUUAUCUACAACCAGAAGAGUACAACCCCUAAAGUUGAAUGGAUACAAAAUGCCCAUGAUUGUCCCUUAAUAAUAACCCCUAACCCACAACCGGCUCCGAUUUCCCAAAAAGCAACCUUCCCAGGAAGUGUUUCUAGGAGGAAUAACAAACUUAUCUCUCAACUUAUCCCCUUCAUCACCCACAUAGUUUUAAAAGGUGCAAGGCGCACCUAAGAUGCAAAGUUUCCUAUAGCUUAAGCACAAGGCGCAACACAAGGUGUGCGUCUAAGUGAAGUGAAAUGUGACCUAGAAUACACAUCAAUUUUAUAAAAUAUGAUUCAAAAUCUAAUCUGAUCAAUAAAAAAUUUAAAAUUCGAAACAUUUAAAAGAAGCAUUCAAUAAAAAAGUAAUGAAAUUAUAUACAUUUCAGUAUAUAAUUAGAAAUUUAAAAAAUAAAAGUGUUUACAAAGGAAGAGUAAAGCUGACAAGGCACACUUUUUCAAUAAGGCACAUAUCUUGGCAAGCAAGCGCUAUAACUUGGGAGUGGUGGCGCCUUGAGCCUAGGCGCACUUAAAGCACGCCUUUUAAAACUAUGAUCACCCAUUAGACAGAUGGUUAGACCAGGCAGCUCUUGCUUUUUUUUUUUGAUAGGUAGACCAAGCAGCUCUUGCUAUUAAAUUUUGAGUGACAACUGCUUGUGUAACUGACACCAUUUGCCCUUUGUACCAAAUUUUAGAUUGACCAUCGGGUGGUACUAUACUCCUUUCCAAUUAUUUUCCCUCCCAUAUUUCAUUUGAGUCAUUCUGGAAUUUAGCAAUAUUCUAUCCCAAUGGAAUUUCUAGGAACAACAUUUUUCUGUCAAAAUUUGAAUACAUCCAAAUUAUCACCUUUUUGAAUUCUAAUUGUAGUCCAAUCAAUUUAACCGCAGUAAUUGAUUUUCCAAGAAAUUUUCUUAUGUGCAUUCAACUACUAGCAAUUCAAGAAAACAUUUUUUUUUUUUUGGAUAGGUAAAUCACAAUUAAAAAAACAAAUUAAACGAAGGGGCAAGCAAGAUUAAAAAACAAUUGUCUUUUAGAUUGCAAAGAAAAUACCAAAGAAGCUUACGGUUACAACUUUAGUUUUCCUGGAGUGGCAUCCAUGCAAUAUAAUGACCAUGCAAUUGUAUAUGCUACUGCUGGUACUUUAGAAAUGGUAUUGCUAACAAAGUCAGACCACUAGGUAAAGAAGACCUGCUUUGAUUUGUUAUAUAGAUAGAUGGAUACAAAGAGAGAGAGACAGAGAGAGAGAGAGCGAGAGAGAGUUUGGCCUUUUCUGAGAGCAGCAAAAAGAGGUUGAGUUAAUUUGUACUUCAGUUAAUUGCAUAUUCAAUAGGGGAUCAUUGGCUCCAACUAUGUGCCCACCCCCUCCAUCUGUAUCCUUAUGUAUGUGUCUGAGAAUUUUAUGGGUCUGUCAUUCUUUCCAAAAUUUUUAUGUGCUGAGGAGUUCUUCUUUCUUGUAACAUGAUCAAUCUUGUUAUUUGUACCAAAGAUAUUCAGGAAUGUCUUUGAGAAUUUUAUGAGUAGAGGAUUCAUCAUCCUCUCCAAAAUUUUUGUCUUCUGGAGUUAAUCUGUAUCUAACAUCACCAAUACUUUUACCCUUCUUUAAAAUUUUUAGGAAAACAAAGUGAAAAUCUGGCUGCUCCGGUUGACACCCUAAAAGCAUAUAAAAAAGGCAUAGUUUUUUAUUCUUCGUGAGAGGUAUAUAAAUGCAUAGCUGCUGAACAAGAAAAAUGAGUUCUAAUUCACUUACUUCAUCACAACUAGUUUGAAGUGCAGCAAGACGAUUUUUUUUUGCUUCAAUUUUAGCAGCAUUUUCAACUGAUUGUUCCUGAAGAGAAAUCAACUCUUCCAACUUUAGCAUAGAGCAUUUUAUUUAUGUCAUCAGCAAAGGAGUCAAGUGCAGGCUUAAGCGUUGAUUUGUAAUCAAUUCCCAAAACCUCAGCAGGCAAAGACCCUUUGGCAUUCAAAACAUACUGCAAACCAUUUCCUAACUUUAACCUGGAAACCAUCCAAGAGAAAAUACUUCAAUCACACAAUAGAUUGUAGUUUAAUAGGUUGAAAGAGUUGCAUGAGGUGGCAUGCUAAUUUUUCAAUUCAAAGAUGCUCCUGAAAAUUAAGUAUUUAGUGUUGUCUCUUCAUGGCUAUUAGUUUACUUCAAAAAGUUAAAUAGAACAUGGUCCCAAGGGAAACAAUAGGCUCCUAAGGCAGGGCUCAGGAGGCAAAGGGUUGGGUGGGAAUGGGAAGGUUCCAAGUUGAAAUUCAUCUACCGAGAGAGAGAGAGAGAGAGAGAGAGAGAGAGGGGAGGGGGGAAGAGGGGAGGCUACCUCAAAAAAAGAGGUUGCCAAGGGCAACUGUAUCACCUAUCUCUUUCUAAAUAAAUUAUUAGAAAACUUGUGAGGAUGGAAGUGUUAAAUGGAGGUUUUUUUUUUUAAAGCCAAAUCGAGAAUGAACAUUAACUAACCUUAAAAACCUUUUUAUUUUUCUUACUUUGACAAAGCUCCAGAAUGGUUAGCAGUUUGAGAGUAACACUUAGCUCAAAAGGUUAAAGAAGAUGAACAAACAUGAAAUCAUAAACCAAUACAAAAGAUGUAAUGCACCCAAAAGAUAAAUGCACGUAAGGCAAAUUACAACUCAGAAACUACCCAUUGUUGGUGUUGAAUCACAACCCAAGUAAACAAAUGAAGUUUGAGUUGGCUACGUGGAAAUAAUGCAUGUGACUCAAGAAGACAUAAGCCAUUGAAUGAUUCAGCAACUACAUUCACCUGGUCUGAAUUUUUGUCGACUGAAAUUUUAUUUUUUUGUUAGGUAAAUUUUUUUGUCCCUAUUGGGAUUUGAACCUGAAACUUCCACAAACCCUCCCAAACCUUUACCUCUUGAGCCAGGCCUCAAGGGCAUGUUCACCGGAAUAAUUUAAGCAGAGAACAGCAGCUGGAUCCUUCUUAGGAAUCAUCAACUAGUCAUGCUGUAACUACAGAGCCAGAUCCUAUGUUCUCACUGAAGUUAUACUAAAAUGUUGUAUAUGUUAAUGUAUUUGCUAAGAACAGGAAAAUAUUUCAUAUCACCCAUAAAUGACAAAAAAAAUCUUGUAAUCUAAUUCAUGGAGGUAGAUAACCUAAUGUUGAUAAGAAUCACAGUAGACUUCAAUGGAAUAGAGAAAAUUAAUUCCAAGCAACACCAAACCUAAGAAAGAACACGAUUCUACCAUGUUCAUUAAUUAUCAGAAAGCAUACUGAAGAUUACUAGAAAGACUUUAGAGUAUGCAACUUAAGAAAUUAAGAAAAUCCUAGUGGAGUGGAUUAUAGAGGUACCAAAGCCAAACAAAGAGGAUAAGGAAAAGAAAACCUCCAGAGAGCCUGGUUGCAUUCAAUUGAAAGAGCUUCAAGCUCCUUAAACUUGUGCCCAAUUGUCGUGUCAACAUCCCAAGACUUCUCCUCCCAACCAUUCCUUGCAACCUCAGCCUCCGUGAUAUCUCUCUCAACUGCCUGCAACUCCCUCUUCAUCCUCUCUGCAUCUCUUGCAUUAAACGUCUGCAACUCAACCCUCUUCUUCAGCUCUUCAUUCUCCUCGCAAAUUCUAUUAUUCUCUUCAACCUUCACCCCCAACUCCUUCUCCUUCUCAUCCAAAAUCUUCUCCACAGAUGCAAUCCUUCCUGAAAAUUCUGCAAUUAUUGCAUGAAAUUUCUUCACAUCCUCCUCCAACACCCCCCUCUCCUUCUCCACAACCUCCUUAGCCGAAGGCCCCGACCUCAAUUCCUCCAACCUCCCCUCCCUCUCUGCCACCUCCUUCUCCAAUGCCUUCACACCUUUCGCCACUGCGUCCCUCUCCCUUUCCAACUUCCCCAUAAACUCCCUACCCACCGCCUCCAUCCCAUCAUCAUCCCCGCGAAUAUAAUGCAAGUAACUAUCCAAUGCAUACACAAAAGUAUUGUCAAAAUACUCCAAAUUCGACACAAGAUGGUCAUUAUACAAUGCGAUUUGAGCCAACCAAUGCAUUACGCCUAAAAGGGAAGGCCAAACAGGCGGGGUUCCGGGGGCUUUGAGAGCGGACUUGUUGAGCUUGAUCGGGCAAUUGAGAUGCUUGAGGAGGAUAGGAAGAUCGUCUUCAAGUUUGGUUGUGGGGAAAUCGNNNNNNNNNNNNNNNNNNNNNNNNNNNNNNNNNNNNNNNNNNNNNNNNNNNNNNNNNNNNNNNNNNNNNNNNNNNNNNNNNNNNNNNNNNNNNNNNNNNNUGAGGGGGAGAGGAGAGGAAUGGGAGGCGAGAAAGGAGUUGAUGGUGCGGAUGGCGGAGAGUUGGUAGGACCGGUUGGUGAGGGCAUCGCCGGCGGAGGAGCGGUUGAUUCCAAGGGAGGAAGGGUGGCUGCUGGCGAAACUAGCGUCAGAGUUGCGGCUGAAUUGGCGGUGGUGGUCGACGGAGGGAGGUGGUGGCGGCGGUGGGUGGAUAGAGUCCUUCGGACGGCGGCGGCCGGUGGCUUUCAUCCCCGGCUGUGAUGGGCGUCUCUCUCUCUUCUGAGUUCUUGUGAAUUCUGAAUCUCUCUUUCCCGCCUAUGGGCUACUGGGAAAAUGACACUGCUUUUUAAAUUUUAUUUUUGAAAACAUUUUUUUUAAAUGAAUUAUUUUUAAAAAUAUUAAGAUAUUAUUUCGUAUUUUAAUAAUAUAAAAUAUUUUCACCGAAAGGAAAAAACAAAUCAAAUUACCGAAAAAACACUGUUGACUGAUCAAGGACGGGCGGGCAGCAAAGUAUUGAUGAACUUCAACAGGUUAGAAGGAUGAAAGGUGCUGAUUGUGUAUUAGUUCAAUUCUUCUUUAAAUCUAUUUUCCAUACAUCUUGAUUAACCUCUAAGUAAUUGCAUACUCAGAUUAUGCAGUCAAAAGCAAUUUCAUAUUGAUCCAGCCUGCAUACGUGAGGUUCAGGAGAUCUCUCUUUCAAGUCAGUUCCAACAUAAGCACAUUGUUCAAUAUUAUGGCACAUUCAAGGUAUUUUUCAAAUUUUUCUUGUUGGAUUGGCUUCUUGUUAUGUACCACUCUUGGAAUCAGGGCUACCGUUUGCAAAUUUGCAUUUUUUGNNNNNNNNNNNNNNNNNNNNNNNNNNNNNNNNNNNNNNNNNNNNNNNNNNNNNNNNNNNNNNNNNNNNNNNNNNNNNNNNNNNNNNNNNNNNNNNNNNNNUUUGGGAGAAUAAUAUCGAUAUAUAUAUAUAUAAAAAACCCUACAUAAUGCUGCAUGCAAGACACAAAUUUAGGAACUUGAUCUGGGUCUUGUAGAGUUGUUGCAUGAGUCCUCUGGCAUCUUUGUACCUCAGAGGACUUAACUCGCUGCUAGUGCUGGGUUGGGCCUAAUUUAUAGGGAAGAAACAUUGGUGGAGGCAGUUGAUAAAGCCCAGAGUUGACGGCUGUUAACACUGGUGAAGAGGACGGGAAAAUUUUUAGCUUUGAAGAGUUACCUCAUUCUCUUAACUACAUCUGUGCUCAAGUGGCAGAUUACUAGUCCUAAUAUUCCUCAGAAUGCUCCUGGCUUUAGGAAGAAGACAUGAAUUAUGGCAUCAAUUUGGGCAUACGUCCCUCCUCUGCAGUAAAUCUAGAGUGCCAACUAAAACUUGGGACUGAUAAUUUGUUGCUCUCACUUGGGAACCCCCAUGCAGUAACAUUAGUUAGGUCUUUUCCUCAUAGAAUAACCAUGAAAGUCUUUGUGCUUAUUAGUAUAAUGGCUACUCUAGUGAAGGCCCAAUGUUCAAGAGGACUUAGAAAGGAUCUUAAUGUUAUGGGAUUCAAAAUCCUUAGAAGGCAUGAAUCUUUGGUGGUAUCUGUCUUAAGUUCAAUUAAAAUUCGAUUGAAACUUAUCUGGAAGAUCCGUAGGUGUUUGAGGUUUUGGACCAAAUCAAUUGCAGCUUAGGGAGAAGCUGAGUAACUGCUCAGGGUAGCUUUUGAUUUGGUGCACUGAGGAGAGUUCAAUGUUAUUGGGUCUUUUAGGGAAAAGCUAUUUUGUCUAGAAUUCCCAGUAGCGUGAAUGACACUGAUGAGCUAAUCAAAAGUUGUGGCUUAGUUGAUUCAUCUCUUAGAGUGAGGCCUUUCCAUGGUCAAACAAGCAAGAAACCCCAGUUUGAAGAGGUUUGGUAGGUUCUUGAUCUCAACAGAGUGCAACAUCAUUCAAGAAUCUUACCUAGGCUAGUAUUUGAUUAUGGUUCCAUGAUAUGGAGGUUAACUAAUUAGAUGAUUCUCACCCUCUUUUCUUUUGAAAAUAUGUGGUUGCUGCACCCAAAAUUUGGUGAUAUUAUUAUGGAUGUUGCAUGAGAUUCAGGUCUCAGUAUGGGAAUGAUAGAUUUAUUGUGUAGCCUUAAGUCAAUCAAAGCUUUCUUUGAAAUAUUGAAGAAAGAAACUUUUGAUAUUUCUGGCAAGAGGAACACUGUGAUAAUCACACUUGAAGGAAUGGGUCAUAUGAUGGAAGAACUUUGAUAUCUUAGAAUGAAAAGGAAAAUAAGGUUGGAGGAAUUAUGGGAGGGAAGAGCUAGAGACAAGAGUCUAGGUUGAAAUGGGUCAGGGAGGGUAAUUGCUACUCAAAAUUGUUUCACUGGGUGGAUAAAUUAUGGCAGGUAGAAGAAGCUAGAAAGGAAUGCCUGGGUAUUUGAAGAUAGGAAGAGUUAGUCUACUGAAUUUCAGGAGAAUUACUAUGGAUAUUAGUUACCAAGAAUUUAUCAGAAUUCCCUUCAACAUCAGUUACGUUCCCAAUUGGAAUAGUAGUGAGCUGCUUUGACAGUUGGUGUUUUGAAGCUUAAUUUUGCUGAUGUUCCUUGGAAAUUGGGAUUGGAUGGCUAUUGGCAAUCUAAUAUAGGAUCACAGGCAAGUUUAUUCAAGGUUCUCAAAGAAAGCUGGUUUUGGGCUGACUAUUGAAGCAAAAAUUUCUUGCUCUAAUGGUGGAGGUGGAUUAACUAAUAGUUUUAUCUUGGGUGGCUAGUAGUCGGAGAGUGUUGUGCGAGAUACAAUCAUUGGGUGCUGAGGAUCAUGCAAUUUGAUAGUUGUGUUCUCUUUUCCCUGGAAGCCUAGAUCCUUGAAUUAGAAAGGCUAUUAGUUGGCCAAAAAUGGAUCCUGUUCUUGGUUGGUUUAACUGGGGAUAUCAUGCCCCGUGUUUUGGUGGUUAAUUUCCUUAAGGUUGGGCAGCGAAAGGCUCUCUGGUGUGCGGACUUCUGUAUUUGUCUUUUUAUAAGCCUGUGCAAUUUUUUUGAUGGAUUUGUUUUGCUUGUUCCUUUUUACAAAUUCUUUGUAUAUUUUCUUAAUUUCUUCAUAACUAAAAAUAAACAGUACUAAAGCUCUGUUUAGAUUGACUUUUUGGAAGCAAAAAGAUCCUUUUUAAGUCUAAUAAGAUCUUCAAUAUGUGUUUUUGGCUUCACUGAAGUACUUCUAACCUUAAAAGGAGUUCAACACAUACGUAUGGGCAAGCUGUUUUUCAGUUUAUGUGGGAAAUUGUUUUAUGUUUAGUGAAAUCACACCAAUGCCAAGAUUGCCCCUUUAAAAUAAUGGUUUUAGCUUUAGCUUCAGUUCCUCACCAAAGUUAAAGGCAAAAUAAUAUCCUCAAACAAGACCUAAAUCUGAGGCCACAGCAGCACUGUUGCAAUCUUCAUGAGGUUGACUGAGUACAUGUCUCUGUUAGAGAGUUAAUAGGGAUUCUGAGUCUAUGUUGAGUAACCAAGGUUUUGCUUUUAGAGUUGUUAUUAUUUUCAAUCAUAUUUUUGGAUGUUAAUCACAAAAUUUUAUUUCAGAGGCUAUAGAAGGAUUGCCCUGACUGGAUGACUCUUAAAGUGGCAUGUUCUGUUUUAGCUGCUUGAUGAGAACUAAACCUUAGACUAAAAUUCAUGAGGGGGUCUCUUGAGCUUCCCAUCUGUUAUUUUUCAAGUUCACUUUUUCCUCUAAAGAACCUUUUUUUAAUCUCUCAUCUACUUAUCGUAUCAGCUAUUUUAUCAUGGUAUUUGGCCUUAUUGUUGUUUCAAGCUAUGUUCUUGCCUUGUAGGUCUGCUUCUGAAUGCAUGUUUCUAAACAUUCAUGCAUCAUAUGCAUCUUUUAUUUCCCUCGCAGGCUGUCUAAUUGACAGUCUAAAUACUCAGUAGUUACAUUUUUCUGUUCUUUGGGGUGAAUUAGUAUUUUUCAUGUUUUUGUUGUUGUCUGUUCCUUUAUGAUCUGGUUCUGGUACUGCAUCAAGAGGAUUGGAGUUCAUGUCAUAUUUUUUUUCUUGCUUACUCACAAAAUGUCUUGCCAUUCCAGGACAAGACCAAACUUUAUAUCUUUCUUGAGCUUGCAACUGGAGGUUCACUUUUAAAUCUCUAUCAAAAGCAUAAACUGUCAGACUCCCAAGCCUCUAAAUACACAAGGCAGAUUGUGAAAGGUUUGAAAUAUCUACAUGAGCAUAAUGUAGUUCACAGGUGAUUCAAAUGAUCUUACUACUACAUUUUUUGGUUAUAUUGCUUGUGCUUUAUUUGUUUAUACCUUGCUCUAUCCACAUGCCAUUACUGCUUGAAACAUGUGCUGAUUAUUUCAAUUAUCUGCCUUUGCUACCAAGAGAAUUGCAUAUGCAUAAACUAAAUGGCCUUCUUACUCAGGGAAAAUUGGUUCACUCUGUUGAGAAAGUUCUUCAGUUUUUAUUUUAUUAUUUUAUUUUUGUUUUUAUCUUCUUGAAACCUUCAAUAUUAUUUGGAUUGCACCGGUUAGCCCACUUACUGAAUUCUGUGAUUACAGACUGCUUGGUGAAGUGAAAAGUUCAACACUCCCACCUGCCCUCUUCCAGGAAAAGAAAAAUGGAAAAACCAAAAACAAAAAGAAGAGUCAGGAGCAUGGAUGUUAAACAUGGUCAUUGUCUGAUAACUAAGAUGAAACUACCCAAAGCCUUGGUAUAGAUAUAGAUAUCCCCAAUUUUCUGUGUACCUUACAUUGUGUCUUCACAUGUGGGGUUUACGUUGUUUGUUUUGAGAUUAUUGUGUAUCUUAAUAGUUUAAUCCUUUCAUAAAACUCCAUGUAAGUUAUGAUAUGAGGUGUGGUCCAUUUCCAUUUGACUUCAUGCAAUUAGCUGUAUUAUAUAUCACUUUGUAUAUUCUGCCUCAGUGCUUGAUCUUGCUAUAAUAUAAUUUUUUUUUUCUUUUUUCUUUUUUCUUUUUUCUUUUUUAAUUUGUAAGUCAAAAUUUUCUUUAAAAGCAACAUAUAAGAAAACAUACAUAAUAAUGAUUCAACUUUCUCUCUCUCUCUGAUUCACUUGAUUUGAGUGUCUCUUCAGGAGAGUUUUUGGGUCAUGAUUACAGAAUGGAAACCUGAAAAUUGAAAGAAUCCUAAUGCAAAAGCCAUUUACAAUGCUACAAACUCUCUCUCUCUCUCUCUCUCUCUCUCUCUCUCUCAUAUGAUUGAGAUGGUAAAUGGCAUAACUAGCAAGGCUAGAACCAUGGAGGGAUGUGAUCAUGGGACUCAGAAGUACCACCAGUAGGUCAUAAGGGAAAUUAGGCUUAUUGAUUUGGUCAUGCGCAACAAAGGCCAAUAAUUGCAUUGUUAAGAAGAGAUGGGUGGACAUUGGGAAUCAAUUGAGGUUACUUCAGGAAAUUAGACAUUUGGAAUGACAGUUGAAGCCACAAUGUUGUACAUUUACUUACACAUAAAUUGUUUCUGUUGUAAGACUAAUAGGUUCUGUAUCAUCUUCGAGGGAUAUCUGGUGGAUGUAAAUGGAACCGUGAAACUUGUGGAUUUUGGAUUGGCAAAGGUUAGUUUCUAUUUACUAGAGUUAUCUCUCUAUUGUUUCAAAAUGCUAGACUUCUAAAUAUUAUAUUUCUGGUUGUAUAUCUUUUCAGUUUUGCAAAUUGAACGACAUAAAAUCUUUUAAAGGGACUGCAUUCCGGAUGGCCCCUGAGGUAUCUUCCUCUCUUUCAUUCCUUCAUUUCUUAAACAAAUCAUGUUUGGUUUUGAAUUGAGAACUAUAUUUUAUGGAACUGUACUCGGUAGAAUCUUCUUAUACCAUGAAGAAGCAUGCAUGCUUAAAAUGUAGGCUCUGAAACCCUUGCCUUUUAGCAGGUGGUUGCGUCAGAAAAGGAAAUGACAUGAUUGAAUUGGGUUAUUGAAUAGCUCGAUUAUUGGACUGGAGCUAUCCCAACUAACAAAUUGAUAAGUUGUUGUUUUCCCAAAUUGUUGCUCUUUCUAAGAUUUUAUCCUACAAGGCAUUUAGUCCAUGCCAUGUCUUAUUACCAAUGCAUUUUGAUUUAGCAUCAGUCAUUAGUAUCUUUCUGUACAACUGCCAAUAUACUGACACUAAUAGAUGCAUGGAACCACUGAGUGCUCAAUUGAUGAGGAUUUUCCAUUCAAAUCUGAGAAUUUAGGCAUCAAGCUACCUUUUUCCAUUAACUCUCUCUACUUCUAAGGGUGGUUAAACCCUUGCUUCAUUAUUUGGUAACAAAAAUUAGUACAUCACCAGAAGAUUGGUAGGGGGAUCCUACAGUUAGGGAUGCAAUGAAGUGGAUUGGAACUGAGUGACCCAUCCUUCUUCCUGAGAACCCGAUUUAGUACAUUUCAUUCCAAAGCUGCUCCAUUGGGACAAAUUCUUUAACUUUCUGGACUGCAGGUUUGUGAAGAGAUGUUAAAGCCCUGGCUAAAAAUGAAAUAGUGGUGUCUGUUUUAUAAAACAAAAUAUGGUCACCAGCAAUCUACAUUUUAGCUCGAUAUUGCCCUUCUGAAAUAAAUUUCUGACUCUUUGCCCCUGAGAAUGAAUUGUGGUUUUGCAACCGCCCAGAUCUGUGGAUUUGAAUCAGUUUUUACUUUGAAAUCAUGCUCAAACACCCUCGUCUUACAACUGUGUUUAUUUAUAAAUCCUGCACCAGUUGGGAGUAGAACUCUUAAAUCCCUGUUCUAAAUCAUGUCCAAACAUGUUAUAAGUCUUUGUGUUAACCAUAUUUGAAAGUUUUUUACCAAGGACAUUUGUCAUUAUAUUAUGUGGCACUGGCACAGGAUGCUCCAAGCAUUAUGGUUUCUUAUAAGUGUUGAUUUUACAAAUAAUUUGUGCCACUGUAGGUCAUUAAUGAGGACAAACAAGAGAACGAUGGUUAUGGGUUUGCAGCUGAUAUAUGGAGCCUCGGGUGCACUGUAUUAGAGAUGUUAACUCGGCAACAUCCAUAUCCCAAAUUGGAGCCGGUAUGUAUAAGCUUCAAUGGAAACAAAUAAUCAUUCCAACAUUACAUUCUUAUAAUGCAUCCAAACAUAAGAAUUAGAAUCACCAAAUCUAUUUCUAUUCAAGAAGAUAUAGGAAUGAAAACAAAGUUUUUAUUCUUAUUCCUCAUUCCCAUAUACUAAACAUGGCUUGAGGGCAAUGGACUGAUUUCAAUGGUAUGUAUACUUGUCUUAAAUAUUUGGUAUUAGCAACUUGCCCUAUGGUAAAAGUGUGGUUUGGGUUGAGAAUGGUAUAAAGAUGAGCCUAGGGUUGUCAAUGGAGCCUGCAAAUAGCUGUUGGAUUUGAAGGUUGAAUAGGAAUUUGCACAAGAAGGUUUUGGGAGGUGAGAAAAUGAAAAUGGAUGUUGGUGGAACUGAGAGUAUGAAUGUCUUAUGUACUAAAUUUAGUAACACUCUUUCAAAAUAUACAAUAUAAAAUUAAGAAAAUAAAAUUUAAUUCAAUAUCUGUAAAACAGUAUUGGGAGACCGCAUAUUGGACGUUGUUUUCAUAAUCUUGUGUUUGUCCUAAGUCUUAACUCUUAAUAGGAAAAAACAUGUUUUUGAUGGAGUAUAUUCCCUGCAAUGAGGUGUACUUGUCCUUAACCUCCUUUCAAAGUCGAAUCAAAAAACAAUGUUAGGAAUCAAAAUCGAAUCAAAAAGAGGGAAGUGAGGGUUUAGAUAUUAUCUUGUCCGAGACCAUCCAACCUUGAUUAUAUAUAAAAUUAAUUUUAAAAAAUAAUUUUAUUGAUUUUUUUCUAUUAUCAUUUUUAACACAUAAAAUAUUAAAAAAUUAUUUUUUAAAUAAAAUAAGUUAUAGAAACUAUAAUAUUUUACUUAUUUAUAAAAUAUAUUUAUUUUUAAUAUAAUUUAAAAAUUCUAAAAUUAUUAAUUUUUUUUAAAUAAAGAAAAUACAAUGAGUAUGGUGGCCAUGAAAAUUACUUUGUAUAAAUGUGAUAGGAUUGAUAUGGGUAACUCAUCGUCAACCCAACUAAUCAUCAUCCUUACAAUUAAAAUUUUACGUAAAGGAAGGGUACAAUUGGUAUUUUUAUUUAUUAUAAAGAAAGUAACUGAAAUGGCUUUUGAAACCCGAUGAUAUCCAAUUGGAGAUAAAUUCCCAACUUCAAAAUUAGUAAAGUUAAUUUUUUUUUCUUGAACAAAUUUAGGAACUUUAUGAAUGUCACGUUGUUGCAAGUGUUUAUACUAUAAAAAUAUUCUUAAAUAAUUUUAUUGGUAAACAUUUUUAGGAAUAAUUAAAUUAUUUUUAAUAAAAAAUCUUGAAGUAAUAACAUAAUACAUCGAAUAUUAAUUUUUUAAAUAUAUUUAUGUAAAUUAUAUAUACUUAUUUCCAUCCAUUGAAGAAAUUCCAAUGUUAGUGGAUGGGUGAAAAAAAUAUGAACAAUAAAAAAAGAAAAAAAGUUGAUAAUAACAAUUGCAUAACUAAAAAAGUAUUUGCAAUUUAGAAUCAAUCAUUUGAUGGUUAAUUUUUGAAAGAUAUUAGAAAGAUUAGUUUUGAAGAUUAUUGUGACUUAUUUUUCAAUUAUAUUUGUAGGUAUUCUACUUCGUAGUUUCCUUUUAAAAAAUGAUAAUAAUAAUAAUAAUUUUCUCUUAUUUUAAUAUCUUUGGUACAAAACAAUAAUUUGAUUUUUCUCUUAUUUUUAUUUCUUUGAUACAAAACAAUAUUAUAGUUUAUAUUUGGACCACCAAAAUGCAAUAUGAUUUAGAAAAAGGUAAAAAGUUUUUUUUAUAAAUUAAAUUUGUAUUAUAUUUAUCAACAUUGUAAGUUCUAAAUUUGUUAUACUUCAAAUAUUUUUCUUAAAAAUGUAAUAUAUUGAUCAUAAGAAAUCAAGAUUAAAAAACCUGAGAAAUCAAAUAUUUUUCUUAAAUAUUUGUUGGUGACAAAAAAAAACAAAAGAAAUUAAAAAUUAAUAAUAGAAAAAUGUGUUUUGUAUUAUUUUAUAUGAAAUAACUACCAUUCAUUAGCGCUAGUUCCAUUAAAUGCUUUAUUAUCACACACUUAAAAGAUGUUUAAAAUCACAUUAUUAAAAUAUAUAUUUUAUAUUAAUUUGAGACUAAAAUCCAUCUUUAUUUCAAGUACCUACAAACUAGGAUCCAUUUUUUUAAAAAUAAUUUUUAUUUAUUUAUUUUUAUUUUCUCUUUUAAAGAAAAUGAUGUAAACAAAACUAAAUGUUCAUAUCUUGAGGUUAUGUUUGAUAUGUGGGAAUGAAGAGUGAUAAUAGAUAUCUUAUUCAUUUUCACAUUUAUUUUUAUAUUUAGAUAACUCAAGUUACUUAUAAAUGAUAUUUCAAUUUAUCCUAUGAGGUAUUUUGAUUCUAUAAAACAAUUUGUUUUUAAAGAUAUUUUUCAAAAAUUUAAAAAUCUAAACCUUUUACUGAUAAGUUGUUUUUAAAAAUAUUUUAUUUUGAUUUUAUAAGAAACGAAUUGUAAAUUCAAGUUAUAUAAUAUAAACUAAAUUUAAUUUGUGCCUUAUUAAAAAUAAAAAAUAAUUUGUAUUUAUAAAUAAAUUAAAAAUAAAUAUUUUAAAUAAAAUAUUAAUAGUAAUAUUAUAAUAAAAUCAUAAAUUAUAUUUUUUUAAAUAUUAUAAAAAUAUGAUAACGUAAUUGAUUUAUUUUGUUAAUAAUAAUAAUAAUAAUAAUAAUAAUAAUAAUUCAAAAUUAAUAAUUGCUAAUACUAAUUUAUUUUAAAUGAAUUUAAAAUUAAAUAAAGUUUAAUUUUUUAAGUAUAAAUGAGUCAAAUUUUUCAUUACAUACAUACAUUUAAUACUCAAACAUGGUAUUCUUAAAUUUUUUAUUUAAUUUAUAAUUAAUAAAUCAGUUUUUUGAAUUUCAAAUUAUUAUUAAAAAUUAAAAUAUUUAUUAAAAAAUUCAAAAUAUUAAUUAUUUCCAUUAUUUUUUAUAGUCCUUAUAUAUAUUUUUUGAGUUUCAAAUUUUCUUUUAAAAAAUUAUUAAACUUAUUAAUAAAUUUAAUACAAAGUCUUCCUUAAUUUGAAUUUCUAGUAAAAAAAAAUGGUUUUCUAUUUUGCUUUGUUUAUAGAGCACGAUAAUCAAAUAGUGGUACAAUUUUUUUUAAAAACAAAUUUGUUUGUAAAUCAUAUGUGCAAAUAGUUUUUAUUAUUUAGCAAAAACGUUAUAGACCCUCUAUUUUGGCCCUAACACACACACACACACACACACACACACACACAUAUAUAUCUAUAUAUAUAUAUAUAUAUAUAUAUAUAUAUAUAUAUAUAUAUAUAUAUAUAUAUAUAUAUAUAUAUAUAUAUAUAUAUAUAUUUAUUAUUUUUUCUCUCACCCCACUAUUUUUUUAGCAUGUAUUUAGAUCCAUUUUUGCUCAGUUUUUCAUCAUCCCGGUCCAUGUUUCACAUUAUUGAUUUUUGAGCUAUAUUUUGGAGACCAUUUAAAGGGUUAUUUCAGGUCCUAGCAUGAUUACCGGACGCCCAUUAGGAUUAGUUUUUUUUUAGGGUUUGCUUUUGGAAUUUUAGAGCCUUUGAGUAGUUGGGUUGGGAUGAGGACACGUGUACUCAUUCUAGCCUUCCUUUGUCUCUUUUAAAGGCCUUUUUGGCCUUUAGUGAAGGGUUUUUUUUUUUUUUUUUUUCAGUCUUUUGGCUCAAGUUUUCUUGGAGGGGGUUUGCUAGCCACCUUUUAAGGGUAGUGGAGAUGCUCUCUAUAGCUAAGGAAAAGGGACAGAGAAUUGAUUUUUAUAGCGAGAAUGAGACAGAGAGCAAGGGGUUUAGGGGAGUUUUUGGGAAAAGUAGCAGACGAAGAAAAGUUGUGGGCGAGGCAUUGUGGUGGUGAGUGGGCUGCAGAGUAAGACGUUGCAGGGGGGGCACCAUCUAUUAUGAUGGGGAGUCUUAGAAAAGAGGGACAUGAGCUACAGGCCAUCUCGGGGAGGCAUUAUUCUUCUUUAUUCUUGGUGAGAGUAAGAGAGGAGACGUUAGAGAGAGUAAAAUAUCUUUCUUUUGGUGGUUUUUGGUUUUGAGUAGAGGAGAAGAAUAGCAUUAAGAGAAGGGAAGCAGAUGGGACCCUUCCAGGAAUGGAUAUUUUGAGUUCCCUAUUCAUCUUCAUUUAUCAUAAUUGUUAGGGUGAAUUCACAAUAUUUCAACACACACCAGGAUUUUUCUACCAUUUCUUUGUGUAAAAUUAAAUAGGUAAUAGCAACUAGCAGUAAUAAAUAAAUAAACUUAUGCAAUAGAAAAAUAAACCAGACACCAAAAUUUUUAUAUGGAAAACCCCUCAAUGCGAAGGAAAAAACCAUGGGACCUAGUCUAGUUCAAACUCCACUAUCAACAAUAUUGGGUUACACCUGUCUUCUCUAGAAUAAUCUCUAGAGGCUACUAAAUACAUCAAGAGCAUAUAUAGCCUUGGAUUAUAUAAUCUUUCUUGGUAAAAAAACAAGGAAAAAUGGAGAAAGAACACCCAAAAACACGUUGUUACUGUUCAUGGGCAAUAACACCAGUUCCCGAGCUCAAAAUCUGAUCUCCACCUUUUAGAUUGUAGCUACUCGAGUUUUGAACCUCUCCUCCAAAUUUCAACUCGAUCGAACCAUAGAUGAAGCGGGAUUGGCUCUUUGAUGAAAUCUGGGCAAUGAGAUGUGUUUUUUUUUUUCUUUCUCUCUUCUCUCUGUUUUUUCCUUUUUUUUUUUCUUUUUUUUUUUUAAUCUCUUCUAUUUUUGUUUAUUUAUUUAUUUUAUUGUAACUGACUUAGGCCCCAAGAAUAUGGGGCUCACUCCCUCACAUACGAAGGAGCCUAACAAAUCUCCAAUUGGAUUCUAAUUGAUUAAUUAACCUAAUAGGGUGUACUAAUUAAUCAAUUAGCUUAAUCCAAAGACCUUGUUCACUUACCCCUGUGCAACCUUAUGUUAUUACCAAAAUGCCCUUAUACAUAAAGUGAACCUAAAACCAAUCUGAUCCUCAUAACCUAUGCCAACAAGGUAUAUGAGCUCAAACCGGGGACCAUAACUCCAGUAUUUUAUGUAAAUAACAACAAGACACUGUAUACUCGGGUCCGUGACUUGUUAUCCAUUGUGUUCAGUCUCCCUAUGAACUAAUGUCCAUAGUUUAACAAGGUAAAAAUUGUCAAUAUUUUAAGACUACCUUUAUUAUCAUUGAGUUAUAGAUCCUUCUAUUAUGUGUUCAACUAAAAUGUCUUAGCUCUCAAAGAGCCUAUGUCAAGUUCCACUUAAGGAACUACUAUAACCAUAGUUUCCAUUAACACACCUCCUUAGAACCACCCAAGGGGACACAUUGUCUCCAUCCUAUGAGAUAUCAUGGUGCUUCUAUUAAGAAUACCUAUUGCUACCAACUUCCAUCAAUAGUGACCCAAUCCAUAAGGAAUAUAUGAUCAACUUACAAUCUCACCCAUAGGUCAAAACCAUUGCUAACUUUGGCUUAAGCUUCAAUAUUCUCUUAAGGUUGAGAGACAACACAAUGAAGUAGCUUGGUAAGGUCACGAAUACUUGAUAGCCUUAAGUCAUGACUCACCAUAAGUCCUGUCCAAUAUGUAACCAUACACACCAGUGUACUCACCAUGGAAAACUCAUCUCGAUAUUCAAGACCAGUUAUCCCUCCAAUUAGAAGGUGGUGGUGCACUAUAGCCUCUAAUAAGUUGUCUAAACCCACGAACCGACUUUGAACAAGUCAUCUAUUUGCAAGGAACCCAUGACUUGGAUUUUCCCUAUAACUCAUAAAUGCACUCAUGUCACACACACUACAAAAGAUGUAAACAAGAAUACUCAUAAAGUGUAAUGCAUGGAAUACAGAUAGAUAAAAGUGAAAUUGGAAUACCAUUAAAUAAAUAAGGAAUUCCAAAUCUAUUACAUCAUGUCAUGCUUUUAAGAGUUCCAUCCUAACACAACCUUCACAUUUCAUGGACAGUACAAAGCGAGAAUUUGUUUAGGUUGAUAACAAUUUUCAGAGUGCCUUGUCUUUGAGUUUAAAACCUUUUCCUAUAUUCAAUGAUUCUAAUGUGAGCUCUAGCUUCCUUGGUCUUUAGUAGUCAGGCAUGCAAUUUUCAUUGGAAAGUAAGUGGAAGAGGUGUCUUGCAAAGUCUAGUAAUGUGUACAUUCAAGCUGAGAAGGCAUGAGGUACUCCCUCGAUGACUAUUAGGUUGUAAAAAAACAGUACUUGGCUUGUCCAUGUGAUUUGCACUCUUGAGAGAUAUGUGAUUGGAUUAUCCUAGAGCCCAAUGGAAGAAAAUGGGAAAUCAUGUUGCCAUGAGCAACUGCAGAGGGAAUGAAAGUGAGAGAUUAUGCUUAGUGUGGUCCUGAUCCCACAUCUAUUGUAGUUAUGACAGAGGAUGGCAUUACAACUACUGGUCAUAUUAUUAUAGGAGCAUUGCCAAUCGUUGUACAUAUGACUAGGAAAUCCAACCUGUGACACAAUAAGUUCAAUUGUGGUUGGAAAUUUAUAUAGAAUAGUAGCUAUAUUUCUCAUCCAAGGAGUUGUUCCAUUUGCGAUGAUGAUAAAUGGGAAGUUAUAUGUGAGUGCCCUCUGCCUAUAGAAAAUGAUAAUAAGAAAGACUAUCCAUGUUCUUUUUUGUCCAUUCCAUCAAAUUUGACAUGUGAUUUCAAACACAAAAAGAUCUUCCAAUAAAUGGAAUGAAGAAUAGUUACCUGCUAUGCUCAUUUGGGAAAAAGACUCCAAAUUUGGAAUUAGAAAUGAAAAGUUGCAAUGGUUUCUUGGUGCUGUGAAAGCACAUCCUAAUGAGUUGAAGCUUGUGGGGGUCAUUACCAUUUGGGGUCUGCCAUUACUAAGGUGGGCAUUUUCAGGGAUGUUGUAGUUCUAUUUGGGUUAUGUCCACAUGGUUGAAUUUGAAAGCCAUAGAGUUGGGGCUUGAUCUUCUUGGAUCACAAGCUCCUGAAAGAGAUUCAAACCUUUUUUUUCCAAAAUCAAGAAAAUUUAUUAAGAAGCAGUUUGGAAUGUACUUUUUUCCUUCUUUGCCAAAUGGCAGUAAACUAUUUAAUAAAAAUUAAUUAAAUUUUUAUAUUAAAAACUUUAGUUAAAAUUAAUUAGAAAAUGUGGUAAGAUAAAAUGAAGUAAAACGAACUUUAAAGGAUCUUUUAGACAUUUUAUUUAAUUCUUUUAACUAUGACAUCAUUAAUCAACCAUGAAAAUCUUUCAAGAUUUGAUAACAUCAUUCAAGCGAUUGUUAUGCUCCAUUAUGGUCAGGUGGUGUUAAUGUAAUUUAAAAAAUUUAAGGGUGGUUAAGUGCAAUUGUCAAAUAGCUGAGGGGGUUAUGCUAGGGUACCGAAAAUCACUUUUCAGUACCAUACCCACUUUUUCUGGCUAAUAGGAUUAAGACAUAUGGCAUGCAAAAUAAAAAAAUUUAAAGAAAACCAAUUCUUCAGGUUACCCAAUCGGUUGCCAUGGGAAUUAAUCCCAUGCAACACACAUUUUUAUACUUAUUACAAUAACCAAUUAUAUUUCAAUGACCAAUUAUAAAAUCAUGUUUAAUGUAAUUAUUUCGUUUGGAGAAUUUCUUUUAUGAAACAGAAAAAUAAAGAAAAUUUUGGAAAAAGAUAAACAAUAUAAUUUGGUAAUAUAAUUUAUAAAUUAAGGAAAAGUAAAUUUAAUUUAUUUUAACAUUAAAUAAUUUGUUGAUAAAAUUUGAUGAAUAUUUGAAGUGUGAAAAACAAUAUAAUUGGUUUAUGAAGUGAAAAAAUGGGAAGAAAUAGAAAGAAAUUUUAUAAAAUAUAUAUUAACUUAAAAUUUAAUUAGUUGUGUACUAAUUAUUAAUUGAGAAUAUAUGACUAAAUUAUUUCUUAGCGUUUAAAUUGAAUUACACAACAAAAUUGGUUGAAAUAUUGAAAAUAUGAAAAAGGUAUAAUUACUAACAAUAUGGAAAUCCAAACCCCUCGCCGAUUUUUUUUGUAAAUUUCCAUUCUGAAUUUUUCAAGGAUCCAUUUAACACCCUCAAAAUGGACUGAACUUAUCUAAACAAAAUCUAAGUCAUAUGAAAUCCCAAUUAAAAAAAAUAAAUCAAAGAAAUGGAUAGUAGGGAGGGCACGAAGAAUGUGAGAUUCCCUCACUAAUUUGUUAGUAUUUACUGAUUUUGAUUUUUUCGAACAUCAUUUAAAUACCUACUAAGUGUAAUGAAAAAAAUUCAAAAAAUGUAUAAGCCAUACGAAGUCCCCAAACAUAUUUAACAUAUCAUAUAAUCGGAGAAUAGAGAGGGCUCCUCAUAUUCCUCAUACCCUUGCUAAUUUUUUAGUAUUUUUGGAUUUUUAUUCUUUCGAAAAUCAUUAGACUACUUCCUAAGUGUAAUGAACCUAUUUAAACAACAUCCAAGCCAUAUGAAGUCGCCAAAAUUUUUAAAAAGUUCAAAGAAGUGAAGAAAUGGGAGGGUACGAAGAAUGUAAGGACUCAUCACAUUCUUCGUACCCUUCCUAAUUUUUUAGCAUUUUUGGAUUUGGAUUUUUUCGAAAAUCAUUUGAAAACCUCCUAAGUGUAAUGAACCUAUUUAAAUUAUAUCUAAACCAUAUGAAGUACCCAAAAUUUUUAAAAAAUUCAAAGAAGUGUAGAAAUGGAAGAGUACGAAGAAUGUGAGGAUUCCUCACAUUCUUCGUGCCCUUCCUAAUUUUUCAGUAUUUAUGGAUUUGGAUUUUUUUGGAGAUCAUUUCACCAUCUUCUAAGUGUAAUGAACCUAUUUAAACAAUAUCCAAGCCAUAUGAAGUCCCUAAAAUUUUUAAAAAGUUCAAAGAAGUGAAUAACUGAGAGAGUACGAAGAAUGUGAGGAUUCCUCACAUUCUUCGUACCCUUCCUAAUUUUUUAGUAUUUUUUUAUUUGGAUUUUUUCGAAGAUUAUUUGACCACCUUCUAAGUGUAAUGAACCUAUGUAAAUGAUAUCCAAGCCAUAUAAAGUCCCUAAAAUUUUUAAAAAGUUCAAAGAAGGGAAAAAAUGGGUGGGUACGAAGAAUGUGAGGAAUCCUCACACUCUUCCCACCCUUCCUAAUUUUUUAGUAUUUUUGGACUUGGAUUUUUUUAGAGAUCAUUUGACCACCUCGUAAGUGUAAUGAACCUAUUUAAACAAUAUUCGAGACAUAUGAAGCCCAAAAAAUUUUAAAACGUUCAAAGAAGUGAAGAAAUGGGAGGAUACGAAGAAUGUGAGGAUUCCUCACAUUCUUCGUACCCUUCCUAAUUUUUUAGUAUUUUUGGAUUUAGAUUUUUUCGAAGAUCAUUUGACAACUUCAUAAGUGUAAUGAACCUAUUUAAACAAUAUCCAAGCCAUAUGAUGUCCCCAAAAUUUUAAAAAAGUUCAAAGAAGUGAAGAAAUGGGAGGGUACGAAGAAUGUGAGGAAUCCUCACAUUCUUCGUACACUUCCUAAGUUUUUAGUAUUUUGGGAUUUGAGUUUUUUUGGAGAUCAUUUGACCACCUCCUAAGUGUAAUGAACCUAUUUAAACAAUAUCCAAGCCAUAUGAAGUCCCUAAUUUUUUUAAAAGUUCAAAAAAGUGAAGAAAUGAGAGAGUACGAAGAAUGUGAGGAUUCCUCACAUUCUUUGUACCCUUCCUAAUUUUUAGUAUUUUGGGAUUUGGAUUUUUUCGGAGAUUAUUUGACCACCUCCUAAGUGUAAUGAACCUAUUUAAACAAUAUCCAAGCCAUAUGAAGUCCCCAAAAUUUUUAAAAAGUUCAAAGAAGUGAAGAAAUGGGUGGGUACGAAGAAUGUGAGGAUUCCUGACAUUCUUCGUACCCUUCCCAUUUUUUUAGUAUUUUUUUGGAUAUCAGUUGACCACCUCCUAAGUGUAAUGAACCUAGUUAGACAACAUCCAAGCCAUAUGAUGUCCCUAAUUUUUUUAAAAAAAGUUUAAAGAAGUUAAGAAAUGGGAGGGUACAAAGAAUGUGAGGAUUCCUCACAUUCUUCGUUUCCUAAUUUUUUUAGUAUUUUUUUAUUUGGAUUUUUUUGAAGAUCAUUUAACCACCUCCUAAGUUUAAUGAACCUAUUUAAACAAUAUCCAAGUCAUAUGAGGUCCUCAAAAUUUUUAUAAAGUUCAAAGAAGUGAAGAAAUGGGUGGGUAUGAAGAAUGUGAGGAAUCCUCACAUUCUUCGUACCCUUCCUAACUUUUUGAAAUUUUUGGAUUUGGUUUUUUUUCAGAGAUCAUUUGACCACCUUCUAUGUGUAAUGAACCUAUUUAAAAAAUAUCCAAGCCAUAUGAAGUCCCUAAAGUUUUUAAAAAGUUCAAAGAAGUGAAGAAAUUGGAGGGUACGAAGAAUGUGAGGAUUCUUCACAUUCUUCGUACUUUUCCUAAUUUUUUAGUAUUUUUGGAUUUGGAUUUGUGGAUCCUACAUAUAAUCUUUACUUGGGACAUUUUAUAUUUCUCGUAGUGUAUAAUUGGAUUUUCAAAAUAGGGUAGCUAGGAAAAAUAAUAAAAGAAAAAUAAAACAGUUAAAAUCAUUAGAAAUAAUUUGGGCCCAUUGAAAAGAAAUGUGACUUAUGAAAAGCUUGAUAUGAAUGUUUAAUAUCGUCUACAACUUAUCCAAUGGAUAAAUUUGCAAAGAAGGUCCAACCACUUGCCCAUAUAGUCGUCUUCAUCAUCAUGGGCAUGAACAACAUUAUCAUCAAUAUUCUUUGUUAUUGACCUGAUUGGAGUAUGGUCGCAACCUGUACUUAAUGUUUUGUCACUACCUCUCUAUGCAUUAACAUUAGCAUCUUCAAGUACUGAUUUGUUGUCACAGCUUCUCUGCACAUUCAUGUACUGUGUCAUUGUUGCAUGAUUGUGCUUGACUCCUACAUAUUCAAGUAAUAUAUUUUAUUACGACUAUCUAUAUGAACAAAGUAAAUUAUUUAAAGUUUUUUUAGUUAAUUUAUCAUGUUAUUUUCAAGAAUAAAUGGAAAUUACUUUUAGCAUCUCAAUCACAAGUUUGGUCAUUAGGAAAAAAUUUAACUCUUCGAUAAAAUGCCAUGGUCUAAUUCAAUGCAGAAGACAAAUUUCCCCAUCUACAAAUGAGGUUUAUUACAUAAACAAUGGCCUACCUCAAGGCUCUAACAAAAGAGUAAAAUGUCUAAUCAAACCACGAUGUCAAAAUAGGGAUUGUCGAAUCGAAUAAUAUACAUUUUCAAUUAUAAGAUUCAUAUCAUUUACCCCAAAAAAAAAUUAUUCCCUAAACAUAUAUAACCUGAUAGAGUUCGCCACCAGGUCAGUCUAGUGUCAUUGCAUUCACCAUCAUACUUGAUCUUUUUGCUAGAGGAUUAUCCCUACCUUGUGUACUACUAUAUUAGAACUUCCAUGUUUGGAGGACAACAAUUCAACCUUAAGGCCUUCAAUUCCAGCUUUAUUAUCUAUGCACCUACUCAUAAUAGAUAUAACUGCUACCACCCAACUAAAUGUUGGUUUAUAUGGAUGUUGGAUUAGCAAAAUGAUGUCUCUUUAAAGUAAGAGCAAUUAGAUGUAGCAAAAGACCAAAUUGAGUAUCAAUACAACAAUCUAUGUUGGAAGCCAAUCACAUUACAACUUCUAAAAGUAAAGAUUAAUCAGUCAACUGGUUACAUGUAACCGGUUGACUAAUUAUCUCUAUCGGUAGAUACUACCAAAGUGUUGAUGCAACACCCAAAUGGGCAAUGGCUACCGGUAGCAAAAAAAAUGGAACCGGUUUAUUUGAUGAUCGACCGAAAUUGGACUUUCCUUUUGUUUUCAUUUAGGUAUGUGAUCUGGCGAUCAUACAGUUAUGCAUAAAUAUUAAAUACUAAAAAGCAAGAACUUGAACAAUAUCACCUUUCAUCAGGAUAGAAGGUUAAUUACCUUAUGAAAACUUAUCAAAAGAGAAUAGUUUAGCAUAACAAUUCAAAAUUUAUGACAACAAUCAUCUCUUCCUACCAAGAUCACCUAGCUAUUGUACAUGGCCAUUAUUUUAGACCUCCUUGUCCUACAUGCAUCAUCCAUUGCUGUUGUGACUAUACUUCCACCAACAUUUAGUUCUUGUACCAUUAAUAUAACACAUUUACACAUUCUUCUUUAUUGUGCAAGAAAAUUACAUGAAAGCCACAACCUUAGUCCAUAGUCACUAGUAGACCAAAAAUUUUAUAUUUAAAAUAAGCUUGUUUUCAGAUUGUAGCCAUCAUUCAGGAUAUGCAAGCAUAAAUAAAAUGGAGUAAAGAACUACUUUCACCACUUCAAUCACAAGUUUCGCCAUUAGUAAAAAAAUUUUAACUUUUCUAGAAAAUGGGAUGAUCCAAUUCAAUCCUAUUGCCACUUUACCCUAUUGAAACCUGAAAAAAAAUGCACAUCAAGGAAGUUAACGCUUCUAGAAAAGAAGAAUAUCAUAUUACUAUACUUUGUGCAUUUUGAGGUAGCUGGAUCAAAAAACUUGUAUAGGUCAAAAGAAACAAGUGUAUCAUUAAAAAAGAUUGUCAUUCUAAUUCCAAGUUGAUAAUCCUAUUGAGUACAACUGGAAGUUUAGUAUCCUUUAAAACCUACUAGACCAUUUAUUGGGUCUUACAAUUAGCCUACAUAACAGGCCAUACUAGAGUUCCAAUAUUUAAAUGGUCUUCUCUACAACCUAGCUCAUAACUUUUAUUUACUAGGUUUGAAAAGUUUCUUGAUUGUGGACUACCAAAGAAAGAAAAAUCCCUCAAUUGUGAGCAUCACAGGAUCCUCCAAUUGAAUUUGCAGAUAGGGAAAGAUUUAUGGCUAAACCCAGAUGUUGCUUGACGAAGUAGGAGGAUGUCUUAACAACAAUGGUAAGAGCAUGGUGGAGUAUGAUUGAUGCCUAGACUAGGUUUCUUUGGGAAGACCCUUCUUAGUAGCCUCAACUGCUGCUUUCUUUGCUUUGAUAUCAGCAACAAUGGCAUCGAUCUCAGCUUCUGCAAACUUAAAGAGUAGCAUUCUUCUGUAGAAGCCAGAUUCCAUUAGAGUGUCAUUGCAUUCUAUUUCAUUUCUCAACAAAUGACCAUAAAGAACUUCUCAACUAGUCAACUAAUCUAGCAAAUGCACAUCAAGUUCAAUAUAGGGUAACAAUUACAUCUUAUUAUACUUUGCAGCUGGCAACACUAUUCAUCAUGUAACCAGUUUCUUGUUUGCUAGGCAGCAUAGCAUUUAGGAGGGAAUGAGGGUUCCAAUCUUGAGUAGGGAAUUUGGACUUUGUAAUUAUAUCAUACUAAAUAGAUGAUUCCUAAAAAUCAAAACUCAAACUUCUCUAUAACUGAUGCUUUAAGUAAAGCAGUGAGAAACAAUGUCAUUGUUAGUAUGGUAAGUAAAUAUUGUUAUGAAAUGCAGUAAGAAAUUUCAACUUAGAGUAAAUUGAUAAAUAAAAUGUAGUAAUUUUUUGUUGUAUUACUAUUACCUAAUACAAGAAUCAAAUUCUUUGGUAGUUAUUAUGAAAAGUCAAAUUAGAAAGCCAAAGAAGCACUAGGCAGGUAAUGGAAGUUGCGAUUAUAAUAAGUGAAUCAUCAGAACUACCCAGUCCUUGCUUCAGUGCAUCUGGUCCAAAAACAGAGGCUAGUAUCAUGCUAUUCUUAUAUGUAGCUUUCAUUUUUCAUUUUUGAGUUAUAGACUUCUUUAAGGGAAGAGCUCUAAGUUAAAAUUUUAGCAUAGGACCUUAAUUGCCUGUUAUUAGGGCUUUAACUAGAGUGGAUCAUGUAGGAUGCAAUUGAGAUUGUAGGAAAAUUUAUAAAAGAGAUUAUAGGAAUAUUUUGAUUUUUUUCUUUUUUUUUCUUCAUAUUGUUAUAAGCUUAUAAAUAUCCUUGUAACCUCAUUCAAAACGUCAUGAACAUGAGAUUAAUUCUCUUGCCUUCAAUAUGGUAUCAAAGAAUGGUUGCCCUACAGCUGCCAUCUUUCCAUCCUAAUUAUGCCAGCAUCUUAUUCCCAUCUAUCAGUCCUUAACCCUCAACCCUCAUAUUUAAGUCAUUAGUCCUCCUUCAUACCUAGCUAUUCACUAUCAUCUUAAAGUCUACUUAUGCUGAUGUUAUUUUUCACGGCUUUUUUUUUUCAUCUCUUGGAUGUCUAUUCAUCUUCUUGAUCUCUUGUUAGGAUCUUGAAACUUAUUUCUUUCUCAGACAUCAUGUGUGACAACAUUCCAACUAAAGACAUACUCUUCUAUGGCUUUAUGACUCAUUCAAAUAAAAUGGAUCUAAUUAUCUUCCAUGGUUUUCUUCAAGGCAUGUGGUAGGAUUUCUUGUAUUUGGUAACAUAAAUCUACAUAUGCAAAGUUGAUAGAAACUUGGGAAGUAAGGGAUGCACUAGUCAUGAUUUGUGUUUGGAACAACAUAGAACUAGAGGUAUUGUGUCUCUUAUCUCAUUUUUAGUAAGGAUAUUUGUAAUUGGCAGAGAUGUGUUAUUUUUCCACAAAUAUCUUGCUUACCCAAAAAGGCAUCAGUCUAACAAUAUUACAUUAUUACUUGGAAUUAAAGGACAUGUAGGAAGAGUUGAAUGUCUAUCCCCCUUUGACUUUAGAUCUAGAGAUUCAAAAGCACCACUAAGAAUAAUUUUGCUUGGCCAAAUUCAUCUUUGGUAUUUGGCCAGAGGUUGAACUCACAUAUUACAACAAGUCAUGGAUGAAGGUAAUCAGAUGACAACUUACAAAAGUAAAGCUUAACCGGUUGACCGGUAAUAUGCUACCAGUUUACUAAUUAUCUCUACCGGUAGACACUACCAAUGUGUUGAAGUAGCACACAAAUGGGCAGUGGCUACCGAUAGCAAAAAAAAAAAAAAAAAUUGCAACCGGUUAAUUUGAUGGUCGACCGGAAUUGGACUUUCAUUUUGCUUCCAUUAAGCUGAUGAAAAAAAGACCAAAUUGAGUAGCAAUAAGCAUGUAUCUUCAUUUAUUUUAAUAAGAAGAUAAGCAUAAUACAUUUAAAAAGGUGUUUAACAUAGAUAGGGCCCACAUCUCAUGUACACACAAUAUAUACAAGCAAUGACUAGAAAACACACUACCUCACAACUAUGCUUACCAAUCCCCAUACCAUCCACAAAAUCCAAGAAGGACAACAAAUGAAGCCCCAUGCCCCACAUAAUCACACAUAACUUCAAUCCCCAUACCAGACACUUGAGCUUAUAUGAGGAAAAUUUCUGAUGGGAAAGGUGUGCAAUGAUAUGCUCUUUCAAAUGACUUGCAUUGGAAAUUAAGGAAUACAUAGUUCACAAACAACUCCCAAGUGUCAAAAUUCAAGCAAGCAUGAAGCUUGGGAAGAAAUAAUAAUGCGUUGAUAAUUCAAAUUACUGCAAAACUAACAACUAGUCAUCAAAAAGCAACACAUGCCUUAGGACGCCGUAUUCUGUCUUUGAAUACUUGCCGACACACUUCAAUGAUAAAUUUGCCUUUGUAGAAAAUUCAGCCUAAAGUGGCACCUUAUCUUUGUGUUUCAGACAAACAAGAAAGAAUUUAGAACUUGAAAUUUUCUUAGUAAAUCCCAGACCAUAAUAACCUUGACACUCCCACUAAUGGAAUCAUCAGGUACACAAACUAAAUGUGCAUCUAAUAUUCCAUUAUAUUAAUCCUUGUCACUACAAUGAGUUUAAAGUGUACGCUAAGCUUUUUAAAUAAUGGUACUGCCUGCUUGGAAUUAGACAUAUAGUAACAAUAGUUCAUUUGUAAGUAAUAAGCAUAUUGAUGGUGAAAACACACUUUUUCUACCAUUACCUUCCAAAGAUGAAAAUAAUAAGAAUACAAAAGCAGAAGUGGAUGGCAAUUUAGCAGGAGGCCCCAUUUGGUUAUUCCUCUCCUCAUGAGUGGUAACUCCACUAUGAGAUUUAUUUUAGUACAACCCUAUGGCAAUACGUAUUACGUAAUAGUUUUUCUUAACCAUACACAAUUUGGUAUGACUAAUUUUUUUUCCCCAUAGGUUGGCAUGGGCUCAUUUUCACUAAACACUAUGAUUUGAAGAUCACAUUUUUUCACACUGUUAAUUAGGUUCUGCUCAAAUAACACAGUUUUUGAAAUAUCAUUUGAAGCUGAAUUCUCCUAGCAUGUUCAUAAUCAGUUUACAUGUUCAUUUGAAUGAACUCAAUAUAUGAAAUGUAGGUGAUGCGAUCGGUGAUGGAGAAUACAAUCAAGCAGGAGUUUGAAGUGAAAGAUGAGGAUGUCGUCAAUGACGAUGCAUAUACUGGUGGCAACGAUUUGAAAGAGAAGGUGUUGAAGGGUAUUUCAGUUGAAGAAGUAUACAAAUUGCAAUUCGAUUGCGUAGAUGAGAUUGAAACAUUUUACAACAUGUUAGCCAAAGUAACCGGAUUUAGUAUUCGAAAAGAUGAUUUGAAGUGAGAUAAGAAUGAAGAUAUAAUAUCUCGAAAGUGGGUGUGUUCUAAAGAAAGACAUUGAGCGACAAAGUUUAUUGAAAAUGACAAGCGACAGUGUGAGCCACGAUCGUUGACUAGAGUUGGAGGUGAAGCUGCCUUUCGUUUAGGCUUGAAUAGAAAAGAUGGAAAGUGGAUUGUAAAGGAAUUUAUAAGAGAACAUAAUCAUACUUUGGUUGAUGCUAUCAGCACACAAUUCCUUCGGUCUUAUCAGAUAGUAAGUAAUCCAAAUAAGGCAUAAGUUGAUGUUUUGCAUAAAGUAGGUGUUAAAACCAAACAAAUUAUGGACUAUAUGGUCAAACAAUCAGGAGGACAUCAACAUGUUGGUUUCACAAAAAAAAAUAUAUACAAUUACAUUGAUGCAAUGCAUAGAAUUGAAAUUAAAGACGGUGAUGCGGAAGCUGCAUUGGCUUACUUGUGUGGAAAGAUAGAAAUGGAUUCUUCAUUUUUUUACAAAUUCAACUUCGAUGAAGAAAGUUGACUAGCAAACUUGUUUUGGGCUGAUUCAACUGCUCGAAUGGAUUAUCCAUGUUUUGGAGAUGUCCUAGCAUUUGAUACAACCUAUAGGACAAAUGCCUAUAAAAAGCCUCUAGUAGUGUUGGUUGGUGUUAAUUAUCACCACCAAACUAUGGUAUUUGGUUGUGCGUUAUUGAUGGAUGAAAGUAUUGGUACAUAUGAAUGGGUGUUGGAGACAUUUCUUAUUGCAAUGAUGAAUAAGAAACCCAUAUCCGUAGUAACUGAUGGGGAUAAAGCUAUGCGUAAGGCAAUUAAAAGAGUCCUACUCGAUGCGUGUCAUCGUAUGUGUUCAUGGAAUUUGCAACGAAAUGCAUUCUCAAAUGUGCAUAUUAAGGACUUCACAAGCAUCUUUGCAAGGUGCAUGUUCAUGCAUGGGAAUUCGAAAGAAUUCAAAAAGGUUUGACAUGAAAUAGUUUAAAAGUUGGGUCUUAAUGAGAAUCGUUGGGUAACCAAGAUUUAUGGGAAACAUAAAAGAUGGGCUGAGGCGUAUUUAUGUGGAAAUUUCUUUGGAGGGAUGAGAAACGCAUAAAGGUGUGAGAGUAUGAAUGCAUAUCUAAAUAGAUUCUUAAAAAUCAGUUUGUGACUGUAUGAGUUUGUACAACAAUUUGAUAGGGCGAUAAUGAGAAUACGACAAAGCGAGGCAAAGGCAGAGUUCGAGUCGAACAAUUCUUCACCUGUGCUUUCAACCAAACUAUCCAUACUAGAAAAUCAUGUUGCGACGGUAUACACGAAAUAAUCAUUUCUUAAAUUUCGUGAGAAGAUGAAGAAUGCAGAGUUAUUCUUUGUGGUAGGCCUUGUAAGUGAUGAUUCAAUGCGGACAUAUGCAUUAUCUAAGUUUAGACACCCGAACUUAAAAUAGGAAGUCCAAUUUUGCCUGAAUAUUGUAACAUUAAAAUGCUCAUGCAUAAUGUUUGAGUCAAUUGGCAUCCCUUGUUGCCACAUGGUUGUUGUUAUGAAGGUGGAGCAUUUGGAAGAGAUUCCUCUUUCAUUUAUUUUGAAGAGGUGGACAAAGUUAGCAAAGGUGCAUACAAGAUCAGCACCGGUGAAUGAGACGGAUAAUGACAUGGAUCAGUUUGUACCAUAUGGGUCAUUGAAUUCGAUGUGCAACAAGCUCUCCUACUAUGCGUCAAAUACGUCAUCUUCUUUUCUAGAAGCGAAAAGUGAAAUAGAAAAUUUGACGGUGAGAAUGGAGGAACUUUCUAACAGUAAUUUGAAAGGGAAGAAAGUAGCAACAGAUGGAGCCACAAGUCCUAACCAAGUUCGUGAUCCAAAUAUUGUGAAGACUAAAGGAAAUCCAGGCAAAGUUGCAAUUAAUUUUCAAAAGGGAAGAUAGUGUAGUCGUUGUAAAAGAGUGGGUCACACAAUUCGAAAGUGUCCAGAAGCUAGAAUCCCUCAUACCGGUAAUAAACGUGAUAUGGUAUAUUAGAUUGAAUAAGAAAUUGUCGCUAAGAUGAAGUUUUUUACCUGUACUUACAUAAAUAACUAAUAUAAUUGUUUUCAUUGCAUUAUGAGUAUGUAGCAGGAAAGUAAUUUGUCUUCCCAAUGUGACAUUCGUAUGGAAAUGAUGCCUUCAACAAAUUAAUCAGUUGACAUGUUUGCAACCUUACCUGUAUGUACAAUAGGCUUGUUAUAUAACAACACAAACUUUGAUAACAUCUAAUUGAACAAUAAUUGACAACACUUAAUCAUUGCAAAAUGCAGGGAAUGCUAGGGGAGCAUUUGUCAAAUGACCGAUCUGACAUGUAUUUAGAUUUUGGUGUACUUAGCAAUGUAAGCUCGAGAAUAAAAAACACUUUUGACAUGAAUUUUCCCUAUGCAUUAUUUAAUGAUUUGGUUGAAGUAAUUGGAAUGGAAUUGGAUGGCUCAAUUUUAAUAAUGGAAUGUGCAUGUGCAAAUAGCAGGAUUUCAGCAAUAUGAACAAACUAUGACAAUACCAUGUCAAGGUGGGGAUCUAAGCAAAUAUCCAAAAGAAAAGGAUAUGCAACCUUUUUUUAUUCCUUAACGGAGUAAACAAUGGCAGGUAUUAAAUCAGUAUUUAUAUUAGUUUACGUUAUCGCUUUGGCUAAUAUAUACUUUUAAAUUAACUAUUUAAUGAAAAGUCUGAAUUCCGAUCAAGAGUCAAGUUGAUUGAUAGAAUGCAAUAUCCUUGAUAUUUACAAUUUAAUUGAUAACAAGUGAUAAAUGAUUGGUAAGCUGAUUCAUUUAUAUCACAUCCAAAAAAUAGUUACGCAUGCGGAUAUAAUUAAAUUCAAAUGUGGUUAAAGUUUGACAAUUAGGUGGUUAUGAGUUAACUAUAGGAAAGUAAUCGAUAUGAUGUAAUUCAUAUGAAAUGGUAAAUGUUGUGAUAUAACUCAAAAUGGGUAAAUCAUAGUUUGGUAGUUUGGAAUUGCAUUUUCCAUCACUUCCAAACCUUUUAAUUAAACUUAAUGGCUUAGUCACCAAUGUUUACUGAGUGAAAAGUUUUCAGUACCACCUAUAGCCAUUUAUCGAACGGUAGUUAUACUUAGAAAUUGCAUGAUAGCAUUCAAUAAGUCAACCGGUUAAUAUUUGGCUUCAACCAGUUGAGAAAUCUUCUCUGCUGGUAGACUCCAUUCCUCAACCGGUUCACAUUGGUGAAAAAAUUCCUCAACCGAUUGAGAAAUUUCUUCUGCCACUCACUUCAACUCCUCAACCAAUACAUAUUGCAUCAAACUUUUGUUGAACCGGUUGUUAAAAUUCCUCAACCGGUUCGGACAAAUCCUCAGCUGGUUGACAUUGCAUCCAUAUAGUCAUUAUCCGAUUGAGGAUUGUUCUCAAUCGGUUGCCAUAAUUCUAUGGCCGAUAGACAUUGAACUAAGCUGAACCGGUCAACCGGUUCUUACUGGCUUUACGUCAUUUCUUAACCGGCCUCCAUUGCCUUUACAAGUCGUAGCUAUAAUUCAUACCUACUAAAAAUAUUAGUCGCCUAACCUAUACUCCUACCGGUACUAACUAUAUAAUUUUGAGCAUAGAUAAAUGAAUAUAUAUAUAUAUAAGGAAAAAUCUAAAUACCUAAAAGAUCGUAGAAAAUCAAACAUGUCGAAAAUGAAUGAUGCCUAUAUAUUACAAUUUCAUUUUGCCUACCAUAUUGAAAGAAGAAUAUAACAUAUUCAAAUUAAACAAACUUGGUCAUGAACAAUGUAUGGUCAUGCAAGGUCACAACUUCCCAAUAAACAUGAAGAUAUGUGGAGAUGGAAAUAAUAAAUAUUAGAAAAACAACAAAUAUCAUAAUAAUAACUUUUUCAUUGCUCGUGUAGACUUCUUUGUACAAACAAUAACCACAAUGGUUUUUUUUUUUUUUUUUUUUGUUUCUCUCGUGUAAAACUAAAUCACUUGCUAUUUCCCAACGUAUUUUAAUAGAAUUACAUAAGUCAGAGCCCGUCAUCGAAUCACCAUUUUUGAAUAUCUGUAUAUGUUUAAUGAAGGAGCCUAAUCAAUGGAGAAUUGAAAGACAUCUUUCCCUAUGUCAUACAGUUUGAAGAACAUUUGACAAAAUUCAACCUAAUUUAUUUUGAAAGUGUUAAUAAAUAUAGAAGAGAAAAACAAAACAAAGUAAAAGGAAAACAAAAAGCUAAAAGCAUACCACUAUUUUGACACUCUUAAACCGGAACUCGUCCCGACUCUUUUUUAUUGUAAUGAAUCCAAAAUUUGGAUAUGAGAGUUUUUAAAGUCAAUGACGCACAAAUACCAAUGAUCGAGGCAAUUGUCAUGCAUUGGAAUAAAUAGUUGUAAAGUUAGAAAAACAAUAUAUAUGAGUUGGGCCACAAAAUAUCUACUAUAUUAUAGGUGAAAACAAUAUCUACUCUAAAUUUGAUAUAUGCAAUUAAACAUUACUAACCUUCUCGCAAUCAUCCAAUUCGCUAAUGUACUUACUCAUGAUGAAUGUUUUUCUAUCAAAAAAAAGAUGAAGACUCCUGCACAAAAUCAUUUGCUAAUAAUAAAACAUAAUACGAAUAUUAGUAGAUUGUACUUAAUAUGUAAGUAAACAACAAGAGAAAUAUGAGCUUACUGAAAAAUGUCGUGGGAAUAUACUUCGUAUGCUUAUGAAUUGCCUCUUAAAAUAAUUUAGCUUUGAGGCUUCUAGAUUUAUUACCUGUUGUUAAACAAUAACUUCAAUAAAUUUAUUUAAUUAAUAUAACAUGCAUUUGAUAUAAAUGAAGUAGGUACUUACAACAUCCAUCAAAUUUUGUUUAGGAUGUAAGCACUCAAAAUGUCCACGAACUCCAUGAACUCCAUGUUCAUGAUCAAAGUUAACAAGAAGCCCACUAAAAUAAUAAUAUAUUAAAGCAUUCUUGACUAAAUUGGAACCAUAUGAAGACUAAAAUUGUAACAACACAUCUAUGAAUGUUCUAGACACUACAAACCUUUUUGACAAUGCUUUAUUGAAAACAUAAUCAACAACAACAGAUUGAAGUACAUUGAAUGAUUGAGCAUCCACCACGUCUUCACGAAUGGACAUGGGGAUUAACUAAAUAAAAAAAACAAGACAUAAUUAUUAGCUAUAUAUGUUGAGUAUCAAAAAUAAGAAUAUGAUAUUAAACUAUGUGUAUUAUACCUUUAAUGCUUGACAUUUUCCAUUUUCCUUAAAUUAUGUACAAACAGGGAGACCUUGAAUUUACUUGGUUUCCUCUUCCUUGAUGUACGUGUUUUCAUGACUUGAUCGGGAUAACCACAUAGUGCUUGUAAUGGUUCCUAAUAUGGAAAAUGUCAUUAAUAUACAUCUAUUUACUAUGUAAUGGUUUAAGUAGUUGUAAAUAAAAUAUUUUUUUUCUUUUAUAUGAUACAUACCUUUCCAUAAUCUCUUCUACUGCUUUUGAUUGGAAUUGAUAAAAUAUCUACAUUUUUGUUCGGAAUGAUAUUUACUUCAAUUGAUGUAGCACAUGCAUCUUCAUUAUUUCCAUUCAAGUCCUUAGUGCAUAACUUCUCAAUUGACAAAGUGUGAACAUAAUGUUCAUUUCCUUUCUUAUUGUUCUUAUCUUCCAAACUUCUCUCGCAUGAGAGAAUAUCAUUCUUUGUUCCCUCCUUGUGCAUUCUCAAAGGUUUUUCGCUUAACCUAAGGAAGAGACCUUUCAAUGUAGUAUAUUUUUCCUCAAAUUCAGUCAAAACUUUUUCAUAACUACCAUUACUUGCACCAUGACACAAAUCAAUUAGAUGUGUCUUUAAUUGUUGAAAGGUUUUAUCCAUCUCCAUUAAGCUCCCACCAUCAACCUAGUGAUAUUUAGGAACUUGAUUAAUAAUAUCACAAUACAAGGGUUCACUAUUAAUAUUGAUACUCACGAUGAAUAUUGUAAAACUUGUUUAAUAACAUCUUUUUUUGCAUUGAUUUCAAAUUUCUCAUCAUUCUCAUUCUCCCCCUCCAUUGUCAUCGCACUUCUAUCAACACAAUCCCUUAUCUCAUUUUGUAUCACCCAUAUUUUGACCUACAAUAUAUUCAUCAAAAUAUAACACAUCAGAUUAAAAAUCAUUAAAAACUUAAACCAAUAUUAAACAACUUUCAAAACUAUAACUUACAUUGUCAUCUGCAUAUCCACCUAGUUUUUUCAAUCUUCGUUUCAUGUCCAGUGCUUCAUCAUCUCCCCAAGCAGUAAUCCAAGGACAAAGUCGAGUAUAUAAUGGUAGAAAUUUCUCUUCGAACGAUAUAUGCUCGUGGUAGAAUAAUUGCGCUUAUUUGACAUAGAUAUAUAGUUAGUUAACAAAUUUUAUUAUAACAAAUUCGAAAUUCACUAUGAUGUAAAUUAAUUACAAGGACAUUACCAUUAAAAAUAAUAAGCAACUGCAAACCCGACUUUGUUGUUUCCUCUUAAACUCUUCAAUCCCGUGUACAAGAUAAGACAACACAAAUUCAGCCCAAUUCAUCUUCUUUAUUAAAUUGAUGUCUUCCACAAGAUGUAAGAAAGAACGUUUCACAAAUAGCUUCAUUAUUGGGCACAAUAAUGCACCCAACACAAAUAAUACAAAACGAACUUUGAAAUCGUUUCCACCUUCUUUAUCCUCCCUAAUUUGAUUUUCUAACAUCACUAAUGGCAAUCGCUCCUUUUAAUCAUAAUAUUUUUUUUAUAUAUAAAUCAUUCUUAUGGCUAACAUCUUUGUUCAUGCCAAUCUUCAACCCUCUUGCCCUCAAUCCCAUAAUAAAUUCAACAUCAAUGGAGGAUAAUUUGAUACAAGUAUUAUUCAACUCUAACAUGUAAGUGUUCGGGUUGAAACUAUUUAUCAACCAAACACAUAACCCAUGAUCAAUUUUCUUACAUCGAAGUUGCAAGAGGCUACCAAAUCCUAUUUCUUCUAUGGCUGCUCUUUGCUUUGGUUCUAAUUCUUCAAUAAUUUUAAUCACUCGCUUGGGUGAGCAUCGAGUCUAAAGAUAUAACUGAAAAGAUACACAAACAUCAAACAUGUUUACAUUAAUAUAAUUUCCAACAAAUACAUAAAUAAUGAAAUUAAAUAUUCAUUACAAAAAAUUACAUUUGGAACCACACCCUUUUAAAGUGAAUAUUGUUUUGAACUUUCUUUGGACUUUGCCAUGAAAUCUUCUUUUUCUACUUUUGAAAGUGCAUUCCACUUCUUGCCCAAUUUUUUCCUCAACUACAUUAAUUGGUCACAUACUUUAAAUUCUAAUUUUAAAAUGUAAUUAUAUUAGACACAACAAUAUUACUCCUUACAUCAUCAUUUAUCUUCACUUCUUUAUCAGGCUCUUUGAUCAUGGUCAAUUGAUUGUUACUACAAAACAAUUUCAAACAAAUUUAACUAUAACAACCACAAAAAAAAUACAUUAAAAAACAUAUUCUUUUACAUAUUUCUAUUUUCCCUUACUAGUAAUGUAUCCAAGCUCUAAUAGGCCUAUUUGGAUUUCUAACAACUUCAACACCAUCGCAUUCGCUCCUAAAAAUUAAAUCAAAUCAUUUAAGUCAAUUUUUAUAAUAUGAUUUUAGAUAUAAUAAAUCAAACAUACUUUCACCACCAGUACAAAAUCCUCCCUAAAUCUCUAUACAUUUUAAAUGGUCACAAAAUUAGCAUAUAAAUUAUUUUCAAUCUCCAAUUAUGGAUCUAACCACACUAUUUUUCAUUAAUGUGAUCAAUCCAUAAAUCUAACAAAAAACAUGAAAUAUAAUGGAUACAAUAUUAUAAAACACAUUAUCAAUACUCACAUUUUUUUCCUUAAUAUAGAACUCGACAAAUAAUUACAAUACAACCGCCUUUUGAUUAACAAAAAAUUGUGUCCUUUUUAGCUUUCUUUCUCUUAGUACUACACAUCUUCUUCUUCUUCUUCUUCUUCCAGCUAUGUCUUCAAUUCGGGUCUUCAAACCACAAAAUUUAGAACCCGAAAACACCCCUUACACCUCUUAAACAAAAUAUAAAAUAUGAAGAAAAUACAAGGGUUAUGGAGAUGAGAGGGAUGAGCGGGAAUAUCGCACUCUUUACUUCAAAACUCGAAAAAACCCCAAAUAUGAAAAUUAAAUAGGGACAUAAACAGAAGGAGGAUACGAAGAAAACUUGGAAAGAUGCCACCCAAAACGACUACAAUAUCUCACCCGAAAACACCCAACAACAUGAAAACAUCCAACAAUACACGAAGACAACUGAAAGCACCCAAAAAUAAUAGCCGAUGGAGAUGAGUGGAAAACACAAGUACCCGGAGAAGACUCGAGUAUGGAGAAGAGAGGAAAAUAUGGGGAAACUCGGCAAAAGAGGGAGAAAACAGCAACCCGGCCCGACUGUGGAGGAUGAGUGGAGAAGAUACCAAAUUAUGGGGGGAAAAUGGGAAAAAGAGGAGAGAACAAGAGGGAGAAUAGCUGCCCGGUUCAGUAAUGGAGGAUGACUGGAGAAGAGAGCAAAUUAAGCGGGGAAAAAAAGGGAAAUGGGUGAGAGAAUAGAAUGGGGAAAAACAGCUACAUGGCCAGCUAUGGAGGAUGAUGAGUGGAGAUGAGAGCACGGGGACACAAACGGGGGAAAACAGGAAAUGGAUAAGAGAAUAGGAUAGGGAACAAUAGCUACACUAGCCGACUAUGAAGGAUGAUGAGUGGAGAUGAGAGCACGGGGACACAACUGACUAUGGAGGAGAAGAUGGCUGGCUAUAGAGGAGAAGACGGUCAGUUAUAGAGAAGAAAAGAGGGGAAAUAUGGGAAAAAUGGUUGACAGAGGGAAAGAACAGGAGGGAAGAGAGGGGAAAAACAGGAAAAGAGGCUCAGAGAAGGAGAGGACAUAAGGGGGAGGUACUCGAUUAUUAUUAUUUUUUUUCAUUUUUUCUUUUUCUUUUGGAUGGCUAAGAUUUAAUCUCUUUCAUCCAACGCCUAAAAAAAAUGAGGCAUGCUACCUUCCCCAACACCAUAGAAUUUUCCUUGAUAAAAAGAGUCCCAUAUUUUAAAUCUAACCCAUCAUUUUUUUUCCUAAGAAAUUACUAAUUUUUAUAAAUAAAAAAAAUGUACUUGCUUUUUAAAAAAAAAAAACUUCCAUCAAAAUAAUAUAAAUAUCAGAGGAUAUUUAUAUCAAAAAUAAUUUUUUUAAUUAAAAACUUAUAUUUUCUAUUUUUAAAAUUUUAUAUCGAUUAAUUAAAACAAGUUAAAUAAAUUUAAAAUAAUAUAUAAAAAUAUUUUAUUAACUUUAAAUUUAUUUUUUAUUUUUUUUCUUUGUAUUUUUUUGUACAUUUCCUUUCAAAUUUUUCCAAAAAGGAAACAUUACUAAAAGAUCAUGUCAAGUACAAGAACUAAUCCUUUGAUAUGGAUGAAUUAAAAUAUAUUUUGUUUAUACUUUUAUUUUAUUUUAUAAAGGAAUUAAUAAUCAAAGGUUUAAUUUAAAAUAAAUAUUUUAUUUUAAAAAAUUUAAUUUUAUCAUAGAAAAGAUUUAACAAUAAAAAGUUCAUAAUUUAUAAAUCACUAAUCCUAUUUUGUCAUAAGUGAUUAGUUAGGUUUCUAAUGUUAAAUGAAUUCAAUAGUUUUUAGUUGGUUUUAAAUUUUAGAUGGUUCGAAAGUUAUAUUAUCAAUAUCACUUAAAAAUGAAAUCCUCUGUUUUUCUUUUCAUUUUUCAAUGAUUAGUUAUUUUGUCAAAUUCUCGCUUAGUUUCAAUUUUCAAAUAGUUUUGUUUAAUGUUUAAUAUAAACAACUUUAACACUUUGCAACAUUCUAAUGUCAAAAAAAAAAAACACUUAAUGAGAUUAAUCUUUAAUAGGUUUAUAAUUAAAUUUAAAUUUAUUCAAAUAUAAAAAAAUGGUGAUGUGGGGGCUUUCCCCAUAUAGCCACGUGGCAGGCCACUCUUGGUCUACGUGGCAUUCUUCUAUCUCUAUCCAGAUGAUCAUCAUCAAACCAGAGUCUCCUAUUCGACCAACGGGUAUCAGAGACUAGUCACAUUGUGCUCCUCUAAACUACACGAUGCAUUCCAGGUAGAUAUCUUGGCCCACUCCUGCAAGCAAUCAUUCCCCCAAGCCAUGAGUACAUUUGACGGGAUGUAACCCUGCCUUCACAAUUGAGUUGCUAUACGCUAUGCCAUACUUUCUACAGAGUAAGGUGACAAGUGAACCAUCAUGUCAUCCCCACUAGCAGCCCCUGUUAGCCGCCUAAAUGGUGAUGAUUGCCCUGCCACGAACUGUGCUGCCAUCAUGACUGCGAAAGUUAAGAUGUCACCUCAGCGCAGAUGUGACCCCAUCCCAGACACUAUAAAAACCCUCACACAACCAAAAUCCAAGAACGUAAUACAAGAAGCCCGAUAUAGCUCUAGAGAAUAAGCGAUUUCUCGAGCUAGUUUUAACUAAUUGACUUGGGCUUCGAAGGGUGUGUCCGGACAACUUGUCCGAACAUCUUUUUACAGGAAAGAAAAGAGAAGUCAAUCUUCACCGACUGUAUUCAGUCCUUUCUUGCUAUAACGGGGAGAAGCAUCAUCCCCAAUUGAUUCAGCAUUAACAUCGGCAUCAUUUGUGGGAAGGAAACAAGAAUGUCAACACCCUCAAGAAGUCGAUCGUUUGCCAUGGGCGACGAAGGUUACUUUGACUAGCGUGAGAGUAUGGAAAGAUGCUAACGAGAAAGCGAGCGACAAGUGCAAGCCCUGCUCCAAGAAACAAGAAGACUCAGAGAGGAGAAUGAGGUGUUGCGAAUUCAAGCAUCUUUGUCAGGCCCCUCUCGUAGCCAGCAACCAAGGAGUUAGUGAACGAACUCCAGGAAAAAUGAGGAAGCAACAUACCCUAGAAACACAGAGUCCCCCUUUGAUGAGCAUGGUAUACGACCUGAUGAAGGACCCCUAUCGGCCUAUCACGCGCCAUAGGACGAAAACUCUGAUUCCACUCGUGUCUCAUCUAAAAGGAGAUGCGAUAGGAAAUCCUAACUAUUAGAUGCAAUGCACGCAAGGUUAGGGCCACAGGUGCCCGGUAUGGAGAAACCACGUAUAGCCACGACCCAGGAGGUAUACCCUGCCCCAUUUGCUGCACCCGCUAUACUGAACUGGCCUCCAUACCCAACACUACAACAAUUGGAAGAGGAUAUGGUAAGUAGAGUUCCCCUCGGCUCUGCCAGCAGGCGACUAGACAACAUGCUCUCCAUGCCUUUUAGCUCUCGCAUUAUCAAUUACGAACCCCUGAGAGAGUUCAUCGAGCCAAAAUUCUCUACGUAUGACAAAUUCAUUGAUCCAUUUGAUCACAUCAUGCACUACAGAUAGCUCAUGACCCUUGACAUAGGGAAUGACGCACUGUUGUUUCUAGCUAGCUUCCAAGGUUAGGCCCUCUCGUGGUUCCACCACCUCCCAAUGAAUUCCGUCGACAACUUUCGGGACCUAUCGAAGGCCUUCGUGGGACAAUAUCUAUGUUCAACACAACACAAACAAAACAUCAGCACCCUGUAAAACAUAAAGAUGUAGGAGAAUGAGUCGCUGAGGGAGUUCGUAAAGUGGUUCGGGCAAGCUGUACUCUAGGUAGAGUCUUACAGCAUAGACAUUAUUAUCCAAAUCUUUAAAAUGAGUAUCUGUCCGGGCACACCUUUCUUCAAAUCUCUCACCAAAAAGCCCUAUGUAACUAUGGACGAUCUAUUCAGAUGGGCAAACAAAUAUUCCAUGCUUGAGGACAAUGUCCGUGCAGCCACCCAGUAGAUCCUGGUCACCAGUCGACCUGCCAAAAAUGUUGAGGCUAGGAAUUCCAAAACCGCAAGCCAACGAAGGCAAUCAAAUAAGAGGUAGGACAGACAACGCCAACCAAACUAGCCCAACUUCAUCCCACUCAAUGUUUCAUACGAGAAGCUCCUCCCCAUGAUCCGCAAGUUAUCCGACUUCAAGUGGCCAGAGCCCCUAAAAAUGGAUUCAACUAAGAGAGACCGCAACAGAAAAUGUGCCUAUCACAAAGAGCACGAACACACUACGGAGCAAUGUAGUAGUCUCCAUUAUUUGGUGGAGAAUCUAGUAAGAUCCGAAUGCUUGAGACAAUACGUUCACUCAGAAGGUAAAAAUGGGGUGACAUCCCGAAGUCCAACCACCACGACCCCCGCAGCUUCUAUAGCUCCUAGGGUCGUGAUCAACUAUAUUCACGGCGGACCUAUCAACGAGGAAUACAACUCUAAACAAAAGAGAUGGAUGCUACUUCAAGCCAUCUUCGUGCGAGAGCAAGUUAGCUCCAUCAAGCCCAGAUUAAUCAGCAGGAGCAUGCGCUCAAUAGAUAGGGAAAUCACUUUUCCCCUAGUAGACUCCAACCGAAUAUUACAAUCGCAUCGGGACGCCCUUAUCCUAUCAUUGGGAAUCAGUGACUUUGAUGUAAGGUGGAUCUUAGUCGACCUAGGUAGCUCAGCCGACCUCUUACAGGUAUCUAUAAUUAAACAUAUGGGGCUUUCACCAUCGAAUCUGGAAAAUCCUGGACGGAUAUUGUUAGGAUUCUAAGGAGCUUCAACAAUGUCUCUGGGCGACAUUGUGCUGCCCGUCCAGACCGGCCCCAUUGCCCUGAAUAUGCAGUUCUCAAUAGUAGAAGACCUAUCUCCAUUCAAUGCCAUAUUGGGGCGCACCUGGCUGUAGAGCAUGAAAAUCAUUCCUUCUACUUAUCAUCAGAUGGUGAGUUAUCGCAUCGAAGACGGACAGAUUAAUCUCUAUGGAAGCCAACUAGCAGCUCGAUAGUGCUACCAAGUGGCAUAGAAAACCGGAUCUAGUAGUGAUAAUGAGCCACCUCCAAAACUAUGAGCGCAAUCUUUUAAUAGCAAUUACAAUAUCCGACGAAGAAAGAUCCCCUGGUGGCCGACCCCUUGCAGACUAUUAAGAUCUCGAAGAAGGAUGAUCAUUUUACCUACGCAAGCUCCCUCUUAGAGUUGAACGAGGCGCGAAGCCUUGAAGGAGUACUUCACCGGAACAAAGAUGUCUUCGUCUGGACACACUCUAACAUGCUCAGGAUUCACCCAUCAAUUGCCUCCCACCAACUUAACAUUCUUCCAUUCUCAAGACCUAUCCGCCAGAAGGUCCAACAAUUCUAUUUGGAUAGGCAAAAAAUCAUUCAGAAUGAGAUAAACAAGUUAUUGAUAGCCGAAUUUAUCAAAGAGGUUAAGUAUCCUGACUAGUUGGAAAACGUGGUUGUAGUCCUGAAAACAUUGGGGAAAUGGCAAGUCUACGUUGAUUACACUAACCUCAAUGAUGCCUACCCUAAGGACAACUUUCCCCUCCCCCGAAUAGACCAAAUAGUGGACUCCACCACUGAAACACAGAAUGCUCUCCUUCCUACAUGCCUUUUUCGAGUAUCAUCAGAUCCCUAUGUAUCCACCAGAUGAAGAAAAAAUUGCCUUCAUAACACCACAUGGGCUCUAUUACUACAAAGUCAUGUCGUUUGGACUCAAAAAAGCUGGAGCCACUUAUCAAAGGCUGAUGACUAAAAUUUUCAAACCUCUAAUCGGACGCACAAUAGAGGUAUACAUUGAUGACAUUGUAGUGAAAAGCAGGACCAAGGGUGAACAUGACCAACACCUAGAAGAAGUCUUUCACUUGUUGAGAGAAUACAACAUGAAGCUCAAUCCGUCCAAUUGCGCCUUUGGAGUGAGUGCGGAAAAAUUCUUGGGGUUCAUGGUCACUCAAAGGAGCAUAGAGGCCAAUCCAAAUCAAAUCAAAUCAAAGUUGUCAUAGAGACAUCCGCCCCAUGCAACAAAAAGGAAUUGUAAUGCCUCACUGGCAAACUCACUGCACUAGGGUGCUUCAUAACCCAGUUUACAAACAAACUAAGGCAUUUUUUCCUUGCAUUAAAAAGAGCCAGCGCGACAUGAUGGAAGGAAGACUUUCAGUUUGCAUUUGAAGAAAUCAAGUUUUAUCUCACACAAUCGCCCAUUCUGACCAGCCCUCAACUCAGUGAACAUUUGUACGUGUACUUAGCAAUCUCCAACUGUGUGGUUAGCACUGUUUUGUUUUGCUGCAUAUCGGACAAAAAGCAAAAGCAUGUCUACUACAUCAGCAAAGCAAUGUUCGAUGCGAAAACCAGGUACUCAAAGAUGGAGCAGAUAGCUUUGGCCUUGAGAAGCGCUGAGUAGAAACUUUACCCCUAUUUCCAGGCUCAUCAAAUUAUCGUGCUCACCAGCCAACCUCUCAGAAGUAUUUUGCACAAAUCUGAUCUAUUAGGAAGAAGGCUGAAGUGGGUCAUAUAAUUGAGGGAGUACGGGAUCAAAUAUUAGCCUAAGUUAUCCAUAAAAUGAAAAGUCAUGGUUGACUUUAUAGUUAAGAUCCCCCAACAACCCUCUCAACUCAAAGAACCUGGUAGAGAGGGAUGAUGGAUUCUCUUCGUCGACAGAGCCUCCUGGACCUCGGGAUCUAGAAUAGGCCCCCUCCUACGAUCACCAAUUGGAGAACAGCUAGAACAGGCCAUCCGACUUGGGUUCCCAGCAUCCAACAGUGAAACCGAGUACGAGGCCAUCCUAUCCAAACUAAACUUUGCACUUGCUCUCUCAGCUUCUAAGAUCGAAAUCUGCAGUGACUCUCAACUCAUUGUUGGGCAUAUUCAAGGGGAGUACAAAGCUAAAGAUGGAUGUAUGACUCAGUACUUGAUUAAAGUAAGAGGUGCCCUGAAUCAAAUGAAUGAAUGGGCUAUCAAAAGGAUUCCUCACAUAUAAAAUGUACAAGUCAAUGCCUUGGUUGGAAUAGGUACUACACUCCUCGUGAAGGAGGCAAUAUUAUUACCCGUCCAUUUCCAAAUCGUUUCCUUAAUUGUAGUCAUACCUGUCUGCAACGCUAAAGAGGUAGGUGCGGAGUGGGCACAUGAAAUUGAAAAUUACCUCCGGACAGGUGACCUGCCCGAAGAGAACAAACAUGCGCAUAGGGUCCGGGUGCAGGCUACCCGCUUCACCUUAAAUGGGGAUUAUCUCUACAGGCGAUCCUUUGGAGGUUCAUACCUCAGGUGCUUAAAUAGAACGGAAGCUCAGUAUGUAUUAGCAGAGCUACAUGAAGAAAUAUGUGGCAAUCACUCAGGAGGACGAACCCUGGUGCACCUUACCCACUCGCAAGGAUACUAUUGACCCACCAUGAAACAGGAUGCGAAAAAUUAUGUCAAGAAGUGUGACCGGUGUCAAAGGCACGCACCCAUUCCUCACAUAUCAUCUGAAGUUCUCAACCUAGUUACAAGCCCUUGGCCAUUCGCAUAAUGGGGGAUGGACAUAGUAGGACCCUUACCCGUCACAGCCACUCAUAAGAAAUUCUUGCUUGUGGCCACUGACUACUUUAGCAAGUGGGUAGAGGCAGAAGCUUAUGCCAACAUCAAAGAUAAGGACGUCUCUAAGUUUGUUGGGAAAAACAUCAUCUGUCAGUUCGGAAUUCCGCAAACAAAUUAUAGCUGAUAACGAACCACAGUUUGACAGUGUUGAGUUCAGGACCUUUUGUUCAGAGCUAAAAAUAAAAAAUCUAUACUCCACACCACGAUAUCCUCAGAGCAAUGGAUAAGCGGAAGCAACAAACAAGACCCUGCUCUCCGUACUAAAGAAAAUGCUAGAAAAAGCCAAAUGGAAGUGGGUAAAAGAACUACCCGGCGUCCUGUGGGCUUAUCGAACAACACUUGGAUGACCAAUCGGAAACACUCCCUUCGCUCUUGCCUACGGGAUGGACGUAGUUAUCCCAACAGAGAUAGGCAUGCCCACAACCUGAACUGUUGUACAAGACCAAAGGGACAAAUGUCAAGAACUUGAGAGACACUUGGAUUGGGCAAACGAGGUGAGGGGGAGUGCAGCCAUCCGGAUGGCCUCCGAUCAACAAAGAGCUACUGCCUACUACAACCGGAAAGCCCAACCCCAUGCCUUUAAGGUUGGAACCUUAGUCUUCAAAAAGCUCCAAGCUAAUUGGGAGGGGCCUUAUAUUGUCUUGAAGGCUGGAGAAUCUAGGGUUUACCAUCUACAAAAGCUGGAUGGAAUGCCCCUGCUCCACUUAUGGAAUGUAUCUAAUCUAAGGCAAUACUAUCAGUAAAGUAAAAAAAGAAAAAGUGCACAAGAAAGAUAGUGAAAUAUUGCAUUCGCAUUCGUAAGUGAGAAAUUGUUCUUUACAAGUGUUGGCCAGACAAAUCACGGCGAAAUACAAAUGACUUAAUAAUAAAUAAAAAAUGUUUUAUGGCUCGACCGAAGAGUCGGCCAUAGGAAGAAUCUCAUCUCUUCAAGAAGAAUCGUCGGGUACCUCCCCCUUGUCGUCUGAAGGAAAGGAAUGAGUAUCUUAUGUGAUGUCGUUCUUCUUCAUACAACAUCGAUAGCCAUAGAAGAACAUUUCGUCCACUUGCUUUUGAUACUCCUCCUCCAACUCCUUCUUUUGAUCUGUGAAUCCGGCCCAGAGUUCCUCCAACUUUUUCUUCAGUUGGGCAUUCUCCUGCUCGACCUCUUUGCACUUGGCCUUAGUGGCCUUGCCCUCCUCUCUCAACCGGUCAGCCUCAGCAUGGACCGACUCCUUCUCCACCUCCACCAAUUUCAAAGCCUCGACUCCCUCUACAAUAGCCUUCUAUGCAGCGGCAAGGUCGCUCUCCACCUGUUCCAGCUUAAUGCAGAGCUCUUCACCGCCGCCCACGCGAUGGGUGAUGAAAGCCCUCAAAGCCUCAACAACCUCCAAUAGCUCAAAAAGUAGAGCGCGUUGUCGCAUCAGGUUGCGAACUCUGACCACCACCUAAAGGCGAUAACAAAAAUAGAGUAAGCUCGGGAUUAAAGUUCACAUUAUAGCAUAAGAAGGAAGGCAUAGUAGCUUACCACUUUUGCAGUCUCUUGAGUCAUGCAAUCCUGCAAUAGUUGAAUACGGGAGACCGUAGAGUUAGGCGUUCCAAGUGGAAGUUGGGUUGUGAUAGAGAUGAGGAGGUCGCCGCCUAAGCUCACCAAAACUCGGUUAGUGAAAGGAAAAAAGUCUAACAUCUUUGUCGAAUGCAACUCAACAUCAGUGAAGCAAGGCACUCGCCUCAGCAUCUCUAUCAUUUCCUCCUAGCUCGGAAGAGGAACGGAAGUAAGGGCAUCCUUCUAGUCUAAGUAUUCCUCGAUAGGAACCGGACCGUCAGAUGCCCCAUCUUGAACAGGGCAAGUCUCAUUCCUAGUAAGAGACGAGGCAACCAACGCGUUGUUGGACCCUGUAGCAUCUGGAUGGGGCAUUGGCGUCUGGGGAGCAUCUAUGAUAGGCUCUUCGUGAACCUCCUCUGGAUAGGAUCUUUUGGCAGGAGAAGAAACCACCUCAAUAGGAUCAGAUAGUCGUUUGCAUUGUCUCUCCCUAAAGCCCGACCCUCAAGUUGGACGUCGUAUCUUCCUCCACCUCCGGUUUGUAUAUGAUGACGAGUAUCACAGGCUCGAAUUUGGAACUUUGAGGAUCCAAGUCACUCCGUUCAAACCUUGGAAGGUCCAAGUCACCUUCUGAAUCCGGAACAAAGCUAUUUGUUUAUAGAGGUACAGAAAAAGUAGAAGCGGAAAAAGAUUCAGAUACCGAGGCUAGUACCUGAACCACCUUAGUGGAAGACUUCUUCUUCUUAAUUGGAUGGCGGACUACGAAAGAUAAAACAUGGCGUUUCUCACUGCAACCCUUCCUCAACUUUCCCUCUUGUCUUUUCUUCUCCCUCUGAUCAAGGUGCUCCUGGUGAGCUCUAGCGUUCGCCUCAUGUGCUUCUUUGUAGAAGGAGAGAUCCUUCAAAACAUGAUGUUUCCCGAGCACUAUGACCUUUGGGAGCCGCCUAGGGAUAAUGGGGAGAAUGUAAGGCUGGGACUCAUGGAUAACCGCAACCAAAUUCCAGGCAAUCAAAAGCGUCUGGUGGUUCUUUUUGUCGAAAGUGAUCACGAACAGCUUGUUCAGUAGGUCGAACGAAGCUUUCUCCACCCACUCGACCAGUCGACCUCUUCUGUCCUUAUCUGCAUCAAUCAAAAUGGACAGUGUUAGCACUAAAGUGAUAUCAGUUCAACAAAUAAAGACAAUUGAAGAAUCGCUUAAAGCCAUCCCUACCAGGAAUUUUAAGUGAUUCGUCCCAUUAUAGUCGUGCCAUUUGAUUCUGGUCCAGAUGGGUGUUAUCAACAAAAUUUAUAAAACCUAAAUCACCUUACACUAGGGUAGCAUAGCUAACAUAGUAUAGUGGCUCUAUGAUCGUCCACAGGGAUGGGUUUUCAUCAUACAGUUGACUUAAAUGAAGGAAAUAAAAUAGUGUUUUUUCUUAUGAAAAAUUAGCUUUUAAAGAAAAUGAAUUGUGGUUGCAAAGAUUGAUUUUAAGUUAAGCAAAAACAAUAAGUGAAGUUAACUAUAAAGAAAAGAUCUCUUAGAGCUUUAGGUCACUAGGAUUGGGUUUCUUAUACAAAUGGGGAGAUUCCAGAUCUUCUUCUCGCGUUGGGGAUAAUAAUAUAAAGGAUGGUUAUCUCCCGAACCGAUUUUGUAUUUAGCAAUUAAGAUUUGAUCCCAAGGGUUCAUGAAAAAUAAUAGUUGUUUUCCAUUAAUGGCUUCAAACACUAAAGACUCUCACCUUGAACCACCUUCCAAUGGCUUGUAAAUGAUAACUAAUAGACAUCCAUGGAUCUAACAGUAAGCAUCCAUAGAAUCCAAAAAGCUUACCAAGUAUUGGCCAUUCAAGGUGUUUUUAAGGGAUUUAAAGCUAAACCUUAAAAUAAAAACCAUUAAUGGUUAACAACUACUUUCAUUUAAAGCAAGGACAACUCCCAUCUUUGCAUUCGGGUCCUUCACCUAGCUUCCAUCACUCCAAGAAACGUAAAACCUAGCCACUCAUCCCAUGAGAAAUCAUCCUUAAAGGUUGUUUGGCUAGGAAGAAGAGUGAAAACAAAAUGAGAAGGAAAGGCAAAGCAAAAGCUUUGUAUGUUUCUUACUCCUCGAAAUUUACAAGUUUUCAAUGAAAUACAUACAUAUAUAUUUCCCUCUCUCUCUCCCCUCUUAUAUAUAUGCUACCUAAAAGAUAUAUAAAAAGAUAUAAAAGAAAAUAUCUAGGUUGGUUAUAAGGAGAAAUUAGGAAAUUACACAAAAUAUUUGAAGAUGAAAAUCGAACAGAGUCGGUGCACAGGAAGAUUUCGCAUACCAUGCAAAAUUUGGCAUGGUGUGCGAAAUCCUUUGGCUACCUCAAGUGGUUUCGCAUGGUGUGCGAAAUUUCGCACAGCCAUGCAAAAAUGUUGUUUGUUGGAUUUCUUCCUCAGGUUUUCUUCCUUGCAUCUCUGAUUGGCUUGGCAAAGGGCUAUGAAGUGCUCUAAAGCUUGGAUUAUUCAUGUAUUUGAGCUUUAACUUGCAUUGCCAUGGAUUUCACAAAAUUCUCCCUCAUUCUUGGCUUGGUUCAAUAAUCAAAUAGCUACCAAAAACAUUAAAACUGUCAAAAAUUGAUUAGUAACCCUUGCUAGGUUCCUUAAUGUGCCAAUUGAGUUAAAAGGUAUUAACUACUACUCAAAAGUAUUUAAAAUAGUUAGUUUCAAGCUAUAAAAGAGUACUUUUUGAGUAGUAAUCAUUAAGCGAAAAGUUUGGAUGGAAAUCCCUUUCCGAAUGCUCGACUAGGCCAUCCCACGGGCCCCAAACCAGGAUAUGCCUUUGGCUCUACCCUUAUUCAAGUUCGGGAGGUCGGUCACCAAUUGGAGAGAUGGGAUAUGAGCAAACAGGUUGAAGAUAUCUUUUUUGCUCUUCUUGAUGGUAUAGAUAAAGAGGACCUCUAAUAGGGAGAAGUCCAGACAGAAUAACAUGUCUAGGAUAAUGCAUCCCAUCAGCACUCGGACAAUGUUGGGAUGGAUAAAAACGUGAGGAAUUUGGAUGCAGUGUAAAAAUUGUUUGAAAAUAAACAGGAGAGAGAAAUAGAGUCCUGCGUUAAACUACUCCUUGAUGAAGAAAAUAACAUCUCGAGCUUCCUUCUCAGUAGAUGUCAGAUCUUCAUCCACCAAGUGAACGGAGAUGUCACUCAGAAUACAGAAGUGCUCUGAAACUCCCAUUCAAAAAUAAGCUCGGUAGGCUUUUCCGAUUAGGGGCGUCCGAAGCUUGCACCUGUCCGGCCACCCUUCAUAACAACAUUGGUCGAGGCAAUGUCCUUUUUCACUGGCAUACUAGAAGCGAUGGGCCAAGUUAGACCUGCACGAUACAAUGUCGAAUGUUAAAAAAUAGCCACCCGACCUUACCACCAAAAGGCAGUGCCCCUAAAACACACAACAAGCGAUUAUACCAGACUUAGGGUCUGCCCUAUUCAAGGCAUCCGACCGACCCUACCUAUCAGCGAAAAUCCUAACUAUGGAUUUUUUUUCUCUAUGACACCUCAAACAAAGGAAAAACAUACUGCAAACAAACUCUGAAAAAACCCCAACAAAGCAACAAACAUGGCAAACUCUAACCCUAAUAGGGGUUAGCAGGUCAUGCCAUUAACGAGACCUGAUGGCCCAGAAAGACCACAAAUCUAUUUUUACAAGCCUUGAAGCAACCACUUCGCAGUCGACCAAGACCCCCAAACUCCAAAAUAAUCCCCAAACAGCAACAAAUGAAGCUAUCAAGAAAAAUGGAAAAUCGGGGAGUAGUAGAGAAGAAAAACGAGCAUACCAGGAAAAUGUCUUCAACAAAGUGUCGAAGUCGAUCUGUAAAAGGCAAGAAAGAUUAGUCAGAAAGUUCGCUGAAGAAGGAGAAAUGCAGCACAACAAGCCAAAAGGACAAUGACUAUUUGAAUAUGGGAAGUGCGAAACGAAAGAAAAUAGACUGAAAGGACAAAAGUGAAACGACUAGAAAAUGUACUUCUUAGGGAUUAAUUCCCUAUUUAUAAGGAUAGACGCCCUAGAAAUUCCAAAUGACAAGACGCUUAGAAGUGCAUUCUCCAAAGCGACGCGUCGUUUGAUGACAACCUCGAUAACAACGCCUCUCCUUAACACCCUCAGAUGCCACGUGUCCUAAGGUUACUAAAAGGGUUUGAAAAAUGUUUUAACCUGCCAUUUCUGUCCAGACGAAAUACUCGAGUUAAAAUGAGGGAUUGUGGGGGCUUCCCCCAUAUAGCCAUGUGGCAGGCCACUCUUGGUCCACGUGGCAUCCUUCUAUUUCUGUCCGAAUGAUCAUCAUCAAACCGGAGUAUCCUAUCCAGCCAGUAGGUAUCAGAGACCUGUCACAUCGUGAUCCUCUAAAUUGCACAAUGCAUUUUGGGUAGAUAUCCUGGCCCACUCCUACAGGCAAUCAUUCCCCCAAGCCAUCAAUAUGUUUGACGGGACGUCACUUUGCCUUCGCAGGCGAGCUACUACAUGUUGCACCAUACUUUCUGCAAAGUGAGGUGACAAGCAAACCAUCAUGUCAUCCCCACUGGUAGCCCCAAUCAGCCACCUAAAUGGUGAUGAUUGCCCUACCAUGAACUGUGCUACCAUCAUGACUGUGAAAGUCAAGAUGCCACCUCAGCGCAGACGUGACCCCGUCGCAAACACUAUAAAAACCCUCAUACAACCAAAAUCCAGGUACGCAAUACAAGAAGCUUGAUAUAGCUCCAAAGAAUGAGCGAUUUCUCGAGCUGGUUUUAACCAAUUGACUUGGGCUUCGAAGGGUGUGUCCGAACAACUUGUUUGGACAUCUUUUUGCAGGAAAGAAAAGAGAAGUCGGUCCUCACCUACUGUAUUCAGUCAUUUCCUACUAUAACAAGGAGAAACAUCAUCUCCAGUUGAUUUAGCAUCAACAGGUGAGAGUUAAACAUGUAAUUUAUAAGUAUCCACCUCAUUCUCAUUAAUAGACACAAAAAAUAUUAACAUUUCAGCUAUGUUCAAUUCCCAAAAAAAUUGAGGGACAAUAUAAAAGAAAGAAAAUAAAAAAGAAAAAUAGAAAGAAAAAAAAAGUAAAAAAUAAAUAAAAAAUAAAUUUAAAGUUAAUAAAUUAUUUUUAUAUGUUAUUUCAAACUCAUUUCACAUAUUUUUCUUAUUUUAUAUGAAUAUUAAAUAAUUUAAAAAUAUAUACAAUUUUCAUUUAUUUUUUAUUUGAUUUUGUAUUUUUCAUAAUGAGAUUAAAAAUGAGAAAAUAACUUUUUUAAUAUACAUAUUUUUAAUACUUUUUGAAAUCAAACAUAGAAUAAAACAUUUGAACAUGAAAACCACUAAAUUCAAUAUACACUCAACAUUUGUCAAAAUGGAAAAGAUUAACGCUUACUGAGUGAUGGCUUUGUACACUCUUCCAAAACUAUCACUUCUAGAAACCUAACAUUUUCCCAAGAACUGUCAUGGAUCUUCAAUUUCCCAUUGUCAAGGGUUUUAGUAAUAGCCCAAUGCUCUAGUUUUGAAUUUCCACCCAUUCGUUUAGCAACGAUCGGCAUGAUAUUAAAUAAUCAUCAUUAUAAUUAUGUGAAGGUAUAUUUGCAUAAUCAUCAUCAACGUUGAAAUGCAUGCAUAGUACCUGAAAAAUUAUAAAGAUCCAUUAGAACCAAAAAUAAAAAAUAAAAAAUCUAAGCCCAGAGAAGGAUAACAAGGAGUUUUGAAUAUUGAGAAGACUGUUGACACAAUGGAUUAUCUUGAACCUAUAGAGUAACUACAAUACUUUGGAUGUAAACAAUUAUGUUGAACCAUAUCAAAAUUUGCUAUUUACAUCUUCUCUAUACUUUAUCUCUUCUAACAUUUUAUAUUAUUUAGUAUUUAUUUUAGUAUCUAUUACUUGCAUAUUUGUAAAAUUUCUAAAAAUAGACUAUUACUAAUUCACUCCCUUUUUAGGUGAUUACCUAAGUUUUUUAUAGUAAACUUCAGAAUAUUCACUUUCAAAGAUUGUCAUGAGCUCCCCUAAAACAUUAUGUAUUGUAAAUUUAAGAAGUAAAAAUAAAUAAAUAAAUUAAACAAUUGUUGUGAUUUUAAUACUUACUCAUUUCCUAGAACCUUAACUUUUUCCAAAGUGUCAUAGAUCUUCGAUUUCUCAUUUCCAUGGGUGGUAGAAAUAGCCCCAGGCUCUAGCUUUGAAUUUCAACCCACUUGUAAAGGCAACCUUUGUCUAGCAAUGACCCGUAUGAUGUGGAUAAUCAUCAUUAUCAUGGAAAAACAUACGUAAACACCUUCAAGAUUAUAAAAAUCCAUUAAAACUUGAGAAAUAUAGGUAUAAAGAAGGAUAAGAAAAAUCUUGAUUGAGAAGAAUGGUGAUAUAGUAGAUCAUCUUAAAACCUACGAAGGAGCUCCAAGGCAUAGUGUGCUGAACCGCAUUAAAAAUUGUUAUUUGCAUAUUCUCUACCUUUUAUCCAUUUACUUUAAGUAUUUUAUAAUAUCUAGUAUUUAUUUUGAUAACAACUAACCAACACAUUUGUAAAAAUUCUAAAAAUAGACCAUCAAUAAUUCACCUUUUUGGCUGAUUACGUAUGGUUUCCAUGAUAGACUUCACAAUAUUCACUUUCUAAGAUCAUAGUGAGCUCCCUCUUUUAACGGGAUGGGGUAAGGUUUAUGAACUAAAGCUAUGAAUAAAUAAAAUUGCAAGGAUAAUUGCUCACAGUUUUAAAUUGCAGAAUCCAUUUCUUAGAGUUUUUCGAAAACACUUCUAGUAUAAAAAACAUUUUUGAUAUAAAAAAAUAGAUAUUUAACAAAAGUUUCAAACACUUUUAAAAAGUCACAAAAACCAUUUCUAGUGUUUUUUUCGAGAAAUAUUUGAUAGAUGAUUAUCCUAAAAUAUCUUAGAGAGAAAGUAAUUCAAAUGAAAAUAUGUUCAAACUUAGGUGGUGUUUUAUUGAUUUAUUUUUACUUAAUUCUAAAUAGAAAUUAAAACUAAAUAGUCAUUAAAUAGUGUUAAGUAUGAAGUUAUUUGCUUUUAUAAUAUUUUAUUUCUAUUAAGCAAUAAAAAAUAAAGAAAUUUUUUUAUUUCUAUUAAAUAUUAAAAUAUAAAGAAAAACCAACAUAUUAUUUUUUGCAUUUAGAAAAAGUUAAAUAUUUUGCUUUUUUCUAUUCAACAAAAAAAAAUAUAAAAAGCCAUAAAAAAGUAGAAAAACAAAUAAUUUAAAGUCUGAAAGUAAAUUACUUUAAGCAAAAAAUUUAAGAAAACAAACACCCUUUAAGUAUCCACCUCAUUCUCGUUAAUAGAAACAAGAAACAUGAUACGAAGAGUGCAUUUGAUAAUAUUUCUAUUCCAAAUGUUUGUGUAAAAUUAUUUUUUAAAUGAUCACCUAUUAAGUGCUUCUUCAAAAAUUAAUAUUACAAGUAAUUUUUCAAUUUUUUAAAAUGUGUUUUUCUAAAUUUUACCAAAUCUCGUAUUUUUCUUCUACUCAUAAUUCAAUACCCAUUCAACAUAAUAAGAGGAGAGAUUGACGGGUGAUGGAUUUGUACACUAUCCCAAAACUCCCAAGUCCUAGAAGCUCAACCGUUUCCCAGAAGUUAUAAAUCUUGAAUUUCUCAUUCUCAUAGAUUUUAGCAAACGCACUAGGAUCUAGCAUUGAAUUUCCACCUGAAUACAUGCUGGUAGGCAUGGUAACAUACAAUGAUUUAUCCUGUAAGAAGAUCUACCAAGAACUAGACUAUUGUGAAACAAACUUUUGAACAGUUACUAGGGGGAGAAUAACACUUACUGGGUGAUGACUUCGUGCAUUCUACCAAAACUCCCACUUCCUAGAAGCUCAACCUUCGGCCAAGAACUAUCCAUGGAUCCUCAAAUUCCCAUUCCCAUGGGUUGCAGCAGUAGCCAUGGGCUGUAGCUUUGAAUUUCCACCCACUGGUUUGAAAGCCAACUUCUCUUUAGUGACGGCCCACAUCAUAGGGCUAACCAUUUCCAUGGAUGAGAGGACCGAAGCUUAUACCACUUCAAUCAUUACUUCGAUCGAAGAAAGAGGCAUGAUCAGGAUAAUCAGAUGCGUCAACGAUGCGACCAAACUGAGAGAUUUUCUCACCAUUAUCGCUUCCCUCAAAGAAAGCCACAUGAUUUUGGCCCAACCAAGAGAUGCUUUGGUUGAUGAUAGCAAAAGCUCCUGCUUCAAACCAUCAAUAAUAUAUCAAUGGCCCGCCGGAUCUACCCUCUUCCCAUGAAUUAUUUAUUUACUUGAGGAAUGAGUCAAGCUUAUAAAUUAUUUAUAGGUUAAUUUCAUUCACCACCCCUAAGGUUUUGAUUAAAUACAUCUAACUCUCACAGGUUUGAAAUUUUAUCAAAUACCUCAUCUAUCCUUUUCAUUUUUUAUUUUCACUCAGUCUCCCUUCUUACUCAAAAUAAGUGAAGUAUAUGAUGAAAUUUCAAACUUCUCAGUAUUAGAUAUACUUAGCCAAAAACUCAAGGAAGGUGAAUGAAAUUAACCCAUUAUUUAUUUGGUUGGCAGAGUAGUAAAUGAAGGUUCUUAUCAUGCUUGAAGUCAGACAUAGAUCCGAAACUUCAAUUUUGAGAAACACUUUAAAAAAAAAAAUGAUAAAGUAUUAAUUUUUUUUAUAAAGCCUUUGAUAGAUUAUUAGUUUAAAGAUUUUUUUAGAGGAGAUAGCAACACUCUGAAACUCUCACUAUUACUCCACUCAAGAUCAUCAUUCAUUUAUAAAAAAAUGUCACCUUAUAUUUGUUUCUAAAUCUUUAAUUUAAUAAAUAAGAUUAAAUAUAUUGUGUUUAAUUCUUUCUACUUUAAAAAUAAAAAAUAAAAUUAUAAAAAUGGAUCUAAUUUCACUUAACUUUUUUAUUUUCAUUUAUGUUAUUCAUGGCCUCCCAAGAACCUCUGCAGAAAGAGUUCAAAUCAGAAUCAAAGAAAAAUACAAUGGAGUAGUAUCGUAUGACUUUCUAACCUACGAAGAACUAAUAAACUUCGUAAACCAAGAAGUUUAUCUCUUUGCCCGCUUAUCAAAGUUAAUGUUAAGAUCAAGAAAGAUCUUAGAACCUCAAAGAAAGAAUUAGGAUCUUUUUGUGCGGGUAUGAGAAGAUUCUUCCACCCUCUAUUAAAAAAGAAAAUAUUAUAGGUCAAAACAUAGAAAACCAAAAUCAAACUGAAAAUACUCAAAAUAUAGAGGAAAAGAAAAACAAGAUUAUCAAAGAUCAAAAUCUAAAGAACAUUCAAAGAAAAUAUACAAAAGGGAAAUAAAAUUUUUCAAAUGUGGUAAAAAGGGACACGUAGCCCCAAACUAUAAAAUCAAAGAAAUUAUAAAAGACAUAGACAUACGAAGCCUUCUCAAGGAAUAGAUGACUAAUCUAAUCAAAUCAAAAUCUUCUAACUAAAUGUCCUCAAAGACAACAAGUAGUGAGGAACAACUCCUUCUAAUCGAAGAAGACUCUUUUGAAACCUUUGAUGACCUUUCCUUAAAUCCUCUUGCAACUGUGUAGAAAAUUGCCUUUGUAAUAUCAAAACUAUUAAUGUCCUAACAAGUGAACAAAACCUCUUAAUAAAAAUGAUAGAUAAAAUUCCAGACCCUCAAAUCCAACAUGAAUAUAUCAAAAAAUAUUUAGAAUUUCAAAAACAAGAAAGAGAGACUAGGGAAGCAAAUACAAAUCAAUAUAGUCUAAAACCUAUUUUGGAUCAACCUCUAAACCAAAAACAACAAAUAUUCAAGAUCUUCAAAAUGAAAUAAGUCAAAUUAAGCUUCAAAUUAGAGACUUAAUAAUUCAAAAUGAAGGAUUAGACAUUAGGCUUCAAAAAUUAGAAAAUCAUCUAAUAACCUUUAAACAGGAAAAUAAGUUAAAAACAGUAGGAUAUCAACCUGAAACCCUUACACAUAGAUUAUAAAAUUUCAAAUGUAUACAUAUGCAAUCAAAAUGUUUGUUAUAAAACCUCCUUCCUUCUAGUAAAAAAUAUGCAACAAGAAGUAAUAUUGGGAACACCUUUCUUAACUCUACUUUAUCCAUUUAAAGUAGAUAAAGAAGGAAUAAAAACAAUUAUAAAGGGCAAACGAUUUGUUUUGAGUUUGCUAGUCCUAUCAAACACAAAGAACUUAGCCUUCUCCACAAUGAUGGAAUGAAGCAACUGAAUUUAAUUCAAAAGAAAAAAAAACAUAUCAAAUUCCUAAGUAAAGAAAUUCAUUAUCAAAGAAUAGAAGAAAACCUCCUUCAAAGACAGAUCCAAGAUAUAAUAAAUAAAGUCAAAAACCAAAUUGAAACAUAACUAUGCUCUUCAGUUCCUAAUGCUUUUUGGGACACAAAGAAACAUGAAGUUUCUUUGCCUUAUAUAGAAGGAUUUAAUGAAAAUCAAAUUCCUACUAAGGCAAGGCCCAUUCAAAUGAAUGAACAUAUGUUAGAAUAUUAUAAGAAAGAAAUUUAAGAUCUCUUGGACAAUAACCUAAUAUGAAAAAGCCACUCACCUUGGAUUUGUGCGGCAUUUUAUGUUAAAAAGCCUUCAGAGAUUGAAAGAGGUGUUCCAAGACUUGUAAUCGAUUACAAGCCCUUAAAUAAGGUCCUCAAAUGUAUUGGGUAUCCAAUACCUAAUAAACGAGAUCUUAUUGGACGUCUUCAUAAUGCUUUGAUCUUUUCAAAAUUUGACAUGAAGUCUGGAUUUUGGCAAAUUCAACUUCAUGAAAAAGACAAAUACAAAAUUGCAUUCACAGUUCCAUUCGGGCACUAUGAAUGGAAUGUGAUGCCAUUCGUUUUGAAGAGUGCUCCUUCAGAAUUUCAAAAUAUAAUGAAUGGCAACUUCAAUCCCCAUACUAACUUCUCUAUAGUAUACAUUGAUGAUGUACUUAUAUUUUUUUAAUUCCAUUGAGCAUUAGUUUAAACAUCUAAACAUCUUUCAAAAUAUUGUUAAAGAAAAUGGUUUAGUGGUUUUAGCCCCUAAGAUUAAACUAUUUCAAACCAAGAUUAAGUUCUUAGGAUUCGAAAUAUACCAAAGGAAAGUCAAACCUAUUCAAAGAUCUAUAGAGUUUGCUAGCAAGUUUCUUGAUGAAAUCAAAGAAAAAACCCAACUUUAAAGGUUUUUAGGAAGUCUGAAUUAUGUGUUGGACUUCUACCCAAAUCUUAAAACCUUAAUCAAACCCUUCUAUCAUAGGCUUAGACAAAAUCCCAAGCCCUAGACUCAAGAACACACAUAUAUAAUCAAAAUUGUCAAACAAUAGUUUAAAAGUCUUCCUUGCUUAGAAAUCCUUAAUCUUUUAGUAUUUCCUAUUAUAGAAACAAAUGUCUCUAAUAUAUGGUGAUUACUACUCAAAAAGUGUUAUUUUAUAGCUUGUAAUUAACUCUUUUAAACACUUUUGAGUAGUAGUUAUUACCUUUUAACUCAAUUGGCAUGUUAAGGACCCUUGCAAUCGUUUCUAAUCAAAUUGUGUUAAGUUUUGGUGUUUUUCAUAGCUUUUUGAUCACUAAAGCAAUCCAAGAAUGAGGGAGAUCUUUGUAUAGUUCAUGGAAAAGCAAUUUGAAGCUCAAAUUCAUGAAAAAAACUAAGCUUUGGAGCUUCAUAACCCUUUGCCAAAGCCAAACGAGGAUACAAGGAAGAAAAUCACAGAAGAAAUCAACCAUCCAGCAAUUUCGCAAGUUGUGGAAUCCAACUUGCAAAAUUUUCUCAACUUGGAAAUAGGAAGAGCAAAGAAAUCGCUGCAAGAUAGAGAACUAAUUAGUUGCAGGACAAUUUCGCAACUUGUGAAACCACAAUUUCAACUUGCAAAAUGGACAAUUUCAACUUGCAAAAUUUUCGCAAGUUGCGUUUGAACUUGCGAAAUCCACCUGUAAUCUGAGAUAUUUGCGCUCCUACUCCGUUUGAUGUUUAUCUUCAGAUAUUUGUGUGUAAAUCCCUAUUUUCUCCUUGUAACCCACCAAUGACAAGUUUUUUUAUUGGAAAAUUAGCAGAAGGGAUGAAUAGCCUCUCUAUAUAAUAUCUAUUGUAAUGUUCUUUUAAAAAGAUCUCUAGGGAGUUUUUCUCGAAGACGAACUUUGUAUAGUUUUUCAGAAAGUAAUACACAGAGCUUUGCUCUAUCUUACCUUCUCAUUUUGUUUUCUCUUUUAUUUUUAUUUCUAGCAAAUCAAACUCUGAGGAUGUUUUCCUAGAGGAUGAGUGGCUAGGCUUUUUGUUUCUUGGAGUGAAGAAAGCUAGGUAAGGUUCCGAAUACAAAAGUGGAAGUUUCGUUGUUUCAAUUUUUAAUGAAGAGAAAGUGUGACCCGUUAAUGGUUUUUAUCUUUUUAAUUAACUUAAAAUCCCUUAAAAUCACCUGGGCCAACACUUGGUAAGGCAAGUGGACUCCGUCCGUUGAGAUCCACUAAUUUAUCUCUUGCGAGCCUCUGAAGGUGGUUUAAAGGUAGGAUUAUCUAGAAUAGCCAACACUUGGUAAGCUUUUGAACUCCUAGGAGACAUCCAUUAGUUAUCUCUUGCGAGCUUUUGACGGGUAAUCCAAGGUUAAGGAUCACCUUGAAUGGCCAAUACUAGGUGAGAGGUAUGAACCAUUGCAAGACGAUUCAGUGACAGGGAUUUAGUGUUUGAAACCAUUAAGGGGAAGCAUUUGUACCACACCGGUUCAGGAAAUAACUAUAUGUUAAAUCUCCAAUGCGAGGAAAAGAUCCAAGUGACCGGAAUCUCCCUUUUUGUAUAAGGAACCUGAGCCUAGUGAUCUAAAACUCCAAGAAGCACUUUUCUUUGUAAGUAAUUUUAGUUACUUUAUUUUUUGUUUCACUUAAAACCAACCUUUUCACACAUACUUAUGUUUUCUUUUAAAGUUAACCUUGAAAAGAAAAAACACCAAUUUAGUUUUUGAACUAAUAUCAGUUGUAAUUUGAAAACCCAUCUCUGUGGACGAUCCUAAAGCCACUUUGCUAUGCUAGCUAAUGCUACCCUAGUAUAUGGUGAAAUAGGUUUAUAAAUUUUGUUAAUUACUCCCGUUUGAGGACUGAAAUCAAAGCACACCAGUUGGUUAAACACCAAUCAACAGGGCAUACACCAGCUGGGCACGAAUCAAAUGGUGCCGUUAUCGGGGAUGGUGCCAACUUUACAGUGAUAUAACCUUUUCCAAAACACUUGUGAUCUUCAUGACAAGUUUGAUGACUUUUCUCUUCUUUUACUAACUCUUUUUAAUUGUUUUUUUUACUUGUUCAUAUUUUAGCCUAUCUUUUAAUUUAGUUUUUAGUUAAUCUUAGUUUUUUUUUUGUAGUAUUGUUUUCUUUUGUUUUCUUUGUUUUUGUUACAGUUGUUACUAGUUGUGUAUGCCAUAUUGGAUACGAGACAGUGGAGGAAGACAUGUGAAAAUUGAAACACCUCACAAAACAGGGUUGGAAUUGUGCUUGAACAUCAUGGAAGCUACACCUGAAGAUCAGCAUAGUCACCAUGGUCAGCAGGACAAUCCUAAUGCAUUCAGAUCAAUGAGGAACCGCAUGCAUCCACCUCGUAUGAGUGCACCAUCAUGCAUAGUGCCUCCUAUAGAGCAGCUAGUAAUCAGACUACAUAUUGUGCCACUUCUACCUACUUUCCAUGGGAUGGAAAGUGAGAAUCCCUAUGCGCAUAUUAAAGAAUUUGAAGACAUUUGUAAUACAUUCCAAGAGGGAGAAGCUUCAAUCGACUUGAUGAGGCUAAAACUAUUUCCUUUCACUCUAAAGGAUAAGGCCAAAAUUUGGCUUAAUUCUUUAAGGCCAAGGAGUAUCUGAAAUUGGACUGAUUUGCAAGCUGAAUUUCUCAAGAAAUUUUUCCCUACUCAUAGGACCAAUGGCUUGAAAAGGUAAAUUUCAAACUUCUCAAUUAAAGAGAAUGAGAAAUUCUAUGAGUGUUGGGAGAGAUACAUGGAAGCUAUCAAUGCUUGUCCUCACCAUGGCUUUGAUACAUGGAUAUUGGUGAGCUACUUUUAUGACAGUAUGUCUUCCUCAAUGAAACAACUCCUAGAGACUAUGUGCGAAGGAGAUUUCAUGAGUAAGAAUCUGGAGGAAGCCAUGGAUUUCUUGAAUUAUGUUGUUGUCAAGAUGAUGGGAUGAACCAAACAGGGGAGAAGUGGGAAGAAUGAAGUUUCAACCAAAUGCUCUUAAUGCUAAGGUUGGGAUGUAUACCUUGAACGAAGAUAUUGACAUGAAAGCAAAAGUUGAGCUAUGACAAGAAGAUUGGAGGAGCUAGAACUGAAAAAGAUACAUGAAGUGCAAGCCAUUUCUGAAACACCAGUGCAAGUUAUGCCCUGUUCCAUUUGUCAAUCUUAUGAGCACUUGGUGGAGGAGUGUCCUACAAUUCCAGCUGUUAGAGAAAUGUUUGGAGAUCAAGUAAAUGUUAUUGGACAAUUCAAGCUCAAUAACAAUGCUUCAUAUGGAAAUACCUACAAUUCAAAUUGGAGGAAUCAUCCAAAUUUCUCCUGGAAACCAAGAGCACUUCAGUACAUGCAACCAGACCAAGCAUCUCAACAAACUUCAAAUCUUGAGCAAGCAAUAGUGAAUCUAAGCAAGGUCGUGGGAGAUUUUGUUGGAGACCAGAAAUCCAUCAACGAUCAACUCAGUUAAAGAAUCGAUAGUGUAGAGAAUACGGUGAAUAAAAGGAUGGAUGGAAUGCAAAAUGAUCUAUCUCAGAAGAUAGAUAAUCUCCAAUACUCAAUCUCAAGGCUCACCAACCUUAACACAGUGCAAAAGAAAGGAAGGUUUCCUUCUCAACCUCACCAAAACCCCAAGGGUAUCCAUGAAGUGAAGGCUCAUGAGGGAAAAUCUUCAUAGGUGGGGGACAUCAAAGCCAUGAUCACUCUGAGGAGUGGUAAAGAGGUUGGGCUGCCAACACCUAAGCUACAUGAUGAAAUAGAGAGUGAAAAAGAGACAGAGAAGAUGGAGGAAAUCAAAGGAAAGAAGAAAGGGAGCAGUGGAAGGAAAGAGGACCAUGAUUCAACAGUGAAUGAAGAUCCGGAAAAGAUAGUUAUCAAUGAAGAUGUGAUGAAGAAACACAUGCCUCCACAUUUUCCUCAAGCUUUGCAUGGGAAAAAGGGAAUCAACAAUGCAUCAGAAAUUCUUGAAGUAUUGAGGCAAGUGAAGGUCAACAUCCCAUUGCUAGACAUGAUCAAACAAUUGUCGACUUAUGCAAAAUUCCUGAAGGACUUGUGCACUAUAAAAAAAGGGUUGAAUGUGAAUAAGAAAGCCUUCUUGACUGAGCAAGUAAGUGUCAUCAUACAGUGCAAGUCUCCAGUGAAGUAUAAAGAUCUGGGUUGUCCUACCAUCUCAGUGAUGAUUGGAGGGAAGUUAGUGGAGAAAGCUUUGUUGAACUUGGGGGCAAGUGUGAAUUUGCUACCAUACUCUGUCUACAAGCUAUUGGGACUUGGUGAAUUGAAGCCAACAUCAAUCACUCUAUCUCUAGUAGAUAGAUCAGUGAAGAUUCCAAGAGGGAUGAUUGAAGAUGUCUUAGUUCAAGUUGACAAUUUCUACUAUCCAGUGGAUUUUGUUGUUCUUGAUACGGACCCAAUUGUCAAAUGAACUAAUUAUGUUCCUAUCAUACUUGGAAGACCAUUCCUACCUACAUCAAAUGCAAUCAUCAAUUGUAGGAAUGGACUCAUGCAACUCAUGUUUGGCAACAUGACAUUAGAGCUCAAUAUCUUCUAUAUGUGCAAGAAGCCAAUCAAUCCGGAAGAAGAAGAAGGUCCAGAAGAGGUGUGCAUCAUUAACACUUUAGUGGAGGAGCAUUGUAAUAAAAAAAAUACAAGAGGAGUUGAAUGAAAGUCUUGGGGAUCUUGAUGAAGGGUUACCUGAACCCUCAUAUUUGCUUGCUACUCUACCACCUUAGAGGAGGAUAGAAUAAAUUCUACAUUUGUUCAAUGAGGAAGAGACACAAGAAGCUGUUAAAUAGGAGGCCUCAAAGUUUAUUCUGAAGCCACUACCCACGGAGUUGAAGUAUGCAUACCUAGAAGAGAAUAAGAAGUGCCCCGUUGUUAUAUCUUCAUCUCUUACCACUCUUCAGGAGGAGUGUUUACUUGAAGUUCUCAGAAGAUGUAAGAAAGCAAUAGGAUGGCAAAUAUCUGACUUGAAAGGUAUUAGCCCUUUAGCCUAUACACAUCAUAUAUACAUGGAAGAAGAAGCUAAGCCAGUUCGUCAACCUCAAAGAAGAUUGAAUCCUCAUAUGCAAGAGGUGGUGCGAGCUGAGGUUCUUAAGCUACUUCAAGCCGGUAUUAUCUAACCCAUAUCAGAUAGCCCAUGAGUAAGUCCUACUCAAGUAGUGCCAAAGAAAUCAGGGAUCACAGUGGUGCAAAAUGAUAAGGGAAAAGAAGUUGGUACAUGUCUCACUUCAGGUUGGAGGGUGUGUAUUGAUUAUAGAAAACUGAAUGUUGUGACAAGGAAGGAUCAUUUUCCAUUGUCAUUUAUUGAUCAAGUGUUGGAGAGAGUCUCAGGCCAUCCUUUCUAUUGUUUCUUGGACGGCUACUCCAGGUAUUUUCAAAUAGAAAUUGAUGUUGAAGACCAGGAGAAGACCACUUUCACAUGUCCAUUUGGAACAUAUGCCUACAGAAGAAUGCCUUUUGGUUUAUGCAAUGCACCUACAACAUUCCAAUGAUGUAUGUUAAGUAUUUUCAGUGAUAUGGUGGAGCGUAUUAUGGAAGUUUUUAUGGAUGAUAUUACCAUAUAUGGAAGCACAUUUGAGGAAUGCUUAGUCAACUUGGAAGCUGUUCUGAACCGAUGCAUUGAAAAGAACUUAGUGCUUAACUGGGAGAAAUGUCAUUUUAUGGUACAUCAAGGAAUUGUCCUUGGCCACAUCAUCUCCAAGAAAGGCAUUGAAAUUGAUAAAACAAAGGUGGAACUUAUUGUCAAAUUGUCAUCCCUAACAACUAUAAAAGGAGUAAGGCAAUUCCUUAGCCAUGUUGGGUUCUAUAGAAGGUUUAUUAAAGAUUUCUCUAAACUUUCAAAGCCUCUUUGUGAACUAUUGGUGAAGGAUGUUAAAUUCGUAUGGGAUGAGAGAUGUCAAAAGAGUUUUGAGCAACUAAAAUAGUUCUUGACAACCGCUCCAAUAGUGAGGGCUCCUAACUGGCAACUACCUUUUGAAGUGAUGUGUGAUGCCAGUGACUUUGCUAUAGGAGUUGUUCUGGGUCAAAGAGAGGAUGGAAAGCCCUAUGUGAUCUACUAUGCAAGCAAAACAUUGAACGAAGCGCAAAGAAACUACACAACCACAAAGAAAAAAUUGUUGGCUAUAGUUUUUACCUUGGACAAAUUUCAUGCUUAUCUGGUAGGGUUUUUCAUUGUGGUUUUCAUUGACCACUCAGCUUUGAAGUACUUAUUGACAAAGUAAGAUGCAAAAGCAAGGCUGAUUAGAUGGAUUCUCUUACUACAAGAGUUCAAUCUCCAAAUUAAAGACAAGAAAGAAGUGGAGAAUGUGGUAGCUGACCACCUUUCAAGGCUGGCUAUAGCGCAUAAUUCCCAUGGUUUGCCUAUUAAUGAUGAUUUUUCGAGGGAGUCACUCAUGUUGUUAGAAGAUGCUCCUUGGUAUACUCAUAUUUCUAACUAUCUAGUUACUAGUGAAGUUCCAAGUGGGUGGAAAGCACAAUAUAGGAAGAACUUUUUCUUUUCAAGUAUUGUGCAGAUCAAAUAAUAAGGAAGUGUGUCCCUAAACAAAAGCAAUAGGGGAUCCUCAGUCAUUGCCACAAAAGCGCAUGUGGAGGCCACUUUGCCUCUUAGAAAACAACCAUGAAGGUGUUGCAAUCAGGUUUUAGUUGGCCAUCACUUUUCAAAUAUGCUCACACCAUGUGCAGGAGCUAUGAUAGAUGCCAAAGGCUUGGGAAGUUAACACGUAGGAACCAAAUGCCUAUGAACCCCAUUUUAAUAGUUGAUCUUUUCGAUGUUUGGGGCAUUGACUUCAUAGGACCUUUCCCUAUGUCUUUUGGUAACUCUUACAUUUUGGUGAGGGUAGACUAUGUUUCUAAAUGGGUUGAGGCAAUCCCAUGUAAACACAAUGACCACAAAGUUGUUCUCAAGUUUCUCAAAGAGAACAUCUUCUCAAGAUUUGGGGUGCCCAAGGCCAUAAUCAGUGAUGGAGAUACUCAUUUUUGCAACAAGCCUUUUAAAACUCUCUUAGCCAAGUAUGGGGUGAAGCACAAGGUAGCUACACCUUACCACCCUCAAAAUUCUGGGCAAGUUGAGUUAGCAAACAGGGAAAUCAAGAAUAUAUUGAUGAAGGUAGUGAACACGAGUAGAAGAAAUUGGUCUGUUAAGCUCCAUGAUUCACUAUGGGCAUACAGAACAGCUUACAAGACUAUUCUUGGCAUGUCUUCUUAUCGCCUAGUCUAUGGCAAAUCAUGCCAUCUCCCUAUGAAAGUUGAAUACAAGGCUUGGUGGGUAAUUAAGAAGGUAAACAUGGACUUGAACAAAGUCGGGAUGAAGAGAUGCUUAGAUCUUAAUGAGAUGGAGGAAUUGAGAAAUGAUGCCUACAUCAAUUCCAAAAUUGCAAAACAGGGGAUGAAGAGGUGGCAUGAUCAGUUAAUAUCUAACAAAGAAUUUCAAAAGGGACAAAGAGUCUUACUCUAUGACUAUAGGCUCCACAUCUUUCCAAGAAAGCUCAAAUCAAGGUGGAUAGGCCCUUUCAUUAUUCACCAAGUGCAUUCCAAUGGAAUAGUGGAACUACUCAAUUCCAACAGCACAAACACUUUCAAAGUCAAUAGUCACCGUCUCAAGCCAUUCAUGGAGCCUUUCAAUCAAGACAAUGAGGAAGUCAGUCUCCUUGAGCCACAACAAUCUUAACCAAAAAGGGGUAGAUGGACUUAGUAUUUCUAAAGACUAACCAAAGUCCAUGUUUUUUGUUUCAAUUUUGUUGAUUUAAAAGCUUUAUUAUUUGUUUUAAUUUUAAUUCUAGCUUUAAUUUAUUUUAUUUUGAUCUAACUUAGACUUUUUGGAUGAUCAAAAUUAGAAGGAACUUCAAAGGAAUUGAAGGAAAGCCUUAAAGAACCAAAGAAGGAGAAAAAGCCUGAAAAACAAAGCAAUAUUUCAACUUGCAAAAAUUUCGUAAGUUGAAAUUCCAACUUGCGAAAAUGGGGGCCAACUUGCGAAAUCCUCAAAGCUCAAAUUCGCAAGUCCACCAUUCAACUUGCAAAAAUUUUCGCAGCCUGCGAAAGCACCUCCAAGCACACAUGUGCCAUUUCGCAAGUUCGUUUUCCAUUUUCACAGCCUAUGAAUCAACUUACGAAUCAAGUUGCGAAAUGGGGCAACUUGCGAAUUCCAGGGAACUUGCAAAAAUGCCAACCGUCAUUAAAUCCAUAUUUAAACCCCUAAUUCUUCCAUUUUCAUUUUGCACAGCCAUUCCAAGUUGCGAAAAAGCCCUAUCAAGUUGUAAAGCCCCAAAUUCCAGAGCAUCUCCUCCAUUGUAAGCCCUAAGGUCGUGCAUCUGAAGAGGAAACGCCUCCGCGUACCCAACAUGCACCCUGUGGAACACAAGCCGAGAAAUUCCUCUCCAUUUCAGCCAUGGCCAAGACAAGAGGAGCCCAUGUCGUGUUUCCAUCAACUCGCAAUCCAAGGCCAAGAGCUUUACCUGCACGGGAUUCCACAUCUGAGGCCCCAUAGGCCCCUACCAUUCCACCUUUUGAGGGUAGAGUGCGAUCUAACCCUCCUCAGCAUAGGUAUGAAACGAGGAGACCACCCACUACACUUGGGGCAAGCACUUUGCGCCCCAAGAGAUCAGUUCGUCACCCUCCUGCAAAGAAAGCUAAAGUUUCAGGCCCAGGAGAGUCAUCUGCACCUCCACACCCUCAGCCGCCUGCUAUAGAGUCUCAGAUUCCUUCUAGGAUGACUCCAGAAGCAAUUAUCAAGCGACCUAUGGUUACACAACCACCUAUUGAGGGAAAUUUGGAUUACAGAGCUAGGCUAUUCCACUCCAAGCUAUGUUUUGAUAUGUAGACUUUCAAACAGAAGCCGAAGCUUAGAGAUUCAUUCCGCCUACUACAGAGAUACCAUUUGGAGCACCUGAUGACUCCUAGAGACUUCUUCUAUCCUAGAGUAGCACUAGACUUCUAUCAGUCUAUGACUACUCAUCACGUCCAGAAUCCUAAUGUCACACUUCACUAUUGAUGGACGCCAUGGUAUCCUUGGAGCUAGACAGAUUGCAGAGGCCCCGCAUAUUCCAUAUGAGCCUGUGAGUCCAGCAGAUUUCAGAGAGUGGUCCCAUUUUUCUCAGAGAGACAUGGUCCGUAUAUUGUCCAGGGGGACCUCUACACGCUCAUUUCUUCUAAGGAAAGAGCUUCCACCUGGGAUGCUCCUUGUAGAUGUGGUGUUGCGCUCCAACAUCUUUCCACUUCAGCAUAUGGUGCAAAGUAGAGGAGCUAUAUUGGAGUUUUAUUCCGAAUAUCAGAGGGUUUCUGCUUUGGCCCUCAUCAUUUGAUUAUGACCUCUCUUCUCCACUUUGAAGAGAAGGUCCACAGGAAGAAGCUCCAAAGAGCAUAUGCCAUUCCAUUACUUUUUCCCAGGCUACUCUGUCAGAUAUUAGAGCAUUUGGGUUAUCCUUCUGAGCCUCAGCUUGAGCGUCACCGCAUUUUUCGAGAGCUAUUCACUCUUAACAAAUGAAAUCAUUUAACGGCCUAUGUUGCACCUCCAAGAGCCCCAGAUAUGCCAGCACCUCUAAAGCCACCACAGGAUGAGCAGCCACCACAGACACAACAAGCACAGUAGGCUGAGAUACCUACAGAGAUCAUACCACCUGCCCCUGCAGCACCUUCUACAGUGCCCACACCUGAGGCUACAUCUUUUGCUCCUCCUACCACUCCUAAAGCUCCACCAGUUGUACCAGUUACAUCAUCACCUCCUCCAUCUAAGUCCUCUAUCACCAUAUCCACUUCAGAGUUUAGAGGCCUAUGUGAUACAUUGCAAACAUUGAGCACCACUCAAGGUGCUCUCUUCCAGCAGAUGGCAGUCAUACGUGCACAUCAGGAUCAGCUUAUUACCAUGCAAACCCAGCAUACUACCAUCAUUAGUCAGAUACAGCAGCAUUUGGGUAUUCUGCCACCACCUGAGCAUGAUAUGCCUAGCCCAUCAGAGCCUACAGCUCCAUUUAAGGAAGCUACUCCAGCAGAGCAGACUAUGCCUCAUGAGGAGACUACUACAGCAGAGGUCGAGACUCCUAUCCAGAGCACUCAGGAGACCACAGUAAAGUCAUUGUCUCCACAUGAUCCUCCCACCACUACCUGAUCAUCUAUAUACUUUUUGUAUUUACUUAUUAUAGCAGAACUGUUAAUCUCAUGUUUUUUAUGUUUUCUAUAUUGGGAUUGGAUGUAGUACUUGCGCAUACUUUCUUAAAGUAAUACAUAUCCAUCAUUUUUUAGUAUACUUGGCAUAUUUUUAUUUAUUUCCUCUACUCAUUAUUUUUUUUUUAGUUUUUUGAAUCAUGUGGUUUCUCCUAUACAAUUCAGACUCUAUUCCACUCAGGAGGUACCACUUCCUCCCUUUAUUUUCAAUUACUCUUCACACAUUGAGGGCAAUGUUUAGCAUGGUUAGGGGGAGUUGAGAAAGGAAGUAUUUUUUAUAAUGCUAGGUUAUAAAUGGUAAUUUAGUUACUUUUUGUUUAAAUUUUUUUAAAAAUAAAAUUAAAUACUCUUCAUGGUUAUCAAGGAAAAAUUCUCAAAAUGAAAUGGGAGAAAUUGAAUUUUUGUCUUUUUACUUGACUUAGAGUUUGUAUUAUGCUUAUUAAAGUUGAUGAACUGUUGAAAAUUCUAUUGAAUUCAACCUUAUUUCUUCCACUUUAAGCUUACCACACACUGUGCACACUAGGUUCCGAUUAUAAGAUGAAAAACUAUUUCACCCAUUGACUUAGGAAAUUUUAAACUUGGUACCUUUGACCUCAUUUUAAUAAUUUUGGGACACCUUAGAAAAGGCCGAUGAGCCUUUGAAAAGAGAAUAAAGAAAAAAAAAUGUUUUACUUGCCUUGAAACCCGAGCAAGGUCUGAGGAGUAUAUGGUAAAAAUCUUUAAAACCUGAUGCCCUAAACCUUCAUUGGUUGGGAGUCACCAACCUCAAUGCUCGUUACAAGGGUGAAUAGGUGGAGUUUAACAUACUGUAGGUGCUUGGGUAUUGAAUUCCAAUCUCAAAAGUCCGGGGUAAAAUCCGAGGAGUUAGUAGUCGAAAGAUCCUUAAGCUUGAUGCCCUAAACCUUAAUUAGUUGGGAGUCAUCGAUGGACCCCCGUUACAUGGACAAUUUAGAAAAGAAUACCUUUAAGCUUUGUACUCCUACAAGAAAAAAAAAGUGUGAAAUAAAUGAGAUGUGUUCUUAGCCUAUUGGAGGUUGUCAGUUUGCUAAGAUUUGAAAAAGAGCUAAGUUGGGGGGAGAGAUUAGUUCAGCAUACUAUAUUCAGAAACUAAUAAGUAACACUUAGAUUUUUGUGGAAGAGUAAGGAUUGACCCUUUGGGAGUGGAAAUUCUUUUAAAGCUUAAAUUUGCAUAAUGUCUUCUCUUUAUGAAUUGUGAUUAGGCAAUUUAUUUGAUAACUCUUGUUGAAGUUUGAGUUUUAUAUCUUUAAUGUUCCAUGUGAGAGUAUGAUCAUCAUGCCACUUGAAAUUUUUUAGAAUGAUCAGCAUGAUGUUGCAAAUUAUAGUACUAUUUAUUUUUAUUUUUCUCUCUUUCAUUACUAAGGGACUAGUAAUAUGUCGGUUGGAUGGAGUGAUUACUACUCAAAAAGUGUUAUUUUAUAGCUUGUAAUUAACUCUUUUAAAUACUUUUAAGUAGUAGUUAUUACUUUUUAACUCAAUUGGCAUGUUAAGGACCCUUGCAAUCGUUUCUAAUCAAAUUGUGUUAAGUUUUGGUGUUUUUCAUAGCUUUUUUAUCACCAAAGCAAUCCAAGAAUGAGGGAGAUCUUUGUAUAGUUCAUGGCAAAGCAGGUUGAAGCUCAAAUUCAUGAAGAAACUAAGCUUUGGAGCUUCAUAAGCCUUUGCCAAAGCCAAACGAGGAUGCAAGGAAGAAAAUCACAGAAGAAAUCAACCAUCCAGCAAUUUUGCAAGUUGUGGAAUCUAACUUGCGAAAUUUUCGCAACUUGCGAAAUAGGAAGAGCAAAGGAAUCGCUGCAAGACAGAGAGCUGAUUAGUUGCAAGACAAUUUCGUAGCUUGCGAAACCACAAUUUCAACUUGCGAAAUUUUCGUAAGUUGCGUUUGAACUUGCUAACUCCACCUGUAAUCUGAGAUAUUUACGCACCGACUCCGUUUGAUGUUUAUCUUCAGAUAUUUGAGUGUAAAUCCCUAUUUUCUCCUUGUAACCCACCAAUGACAAGUUUUCUUGGUUGGGAAGUUAGCAGGAGGGGUGAAUAGUCUCUCUAUAUAAUAUCUAUUGUAAUUUUCUUUUAAAAAGAUCUCUGAGGAGUUUUUCUCGGAGACAAACUUUGUAUAGUUUUUCAAAAAGUAAUACACAGAGUUCUGCUCUACCUUACCUUCUCAUUUUGUUUUCUAUUUUAUUUUUAUUUCUAGCAAAUCAAACUCUAAGGAUGUUUUCCCAGAGGAUGAGUGGCUAGGCAUUUUGUUUCUUGGAGUGAAGGAAGCUAGGUAAGGUUCCGAAUACAAAAGUGGAAGUUUCGUUGUUUUAGUUUUCAAUGAAGAGAAACUGUGACCCGUUAAUGGUUUUUAUCUUUUUAGUUAACUUAAAAUCCCUUAAAAUCACCUGGGCCAACACUUAGUAAGGCAAGUGGACUCCAUCCAUUGAGAUCUACUAGUUUAUCUCUUGCAAGCCUCUAGAGGUGGUUUAAAGGUAGGAUUAUCUAGAAUAGCCAACACUUGGUAAGCUUUUGGACUCCUAGGAAACAUCCAUUAGUUAUCUCUUGCGAGCUUUUGACGGGUAAUCCAAGGUUAAGGAUCACCUUGAAUGGCCAAUACCAGGUGAAAGGUAUGAACCAUUGCAAGAUGAUUCAGUGACAGGGAUUUAGUGUUUAAAACCAUUAAGGGGAAGCAUCUGUACCACACCAGUUCAGGAAAUAACUAUAUGUUAAAUCCCCAAUGCGUGGAAAAGGUCCAAGUGACCGGAAUCUCCCUUUUUGUAUAAAGAACCUGAGCCUAGUGAUCUAAAACUCCAAGAAGUACUUUUCUUUGUAAGUAAUUUCAGUUACUUUAUUUUUUGUUUCACUUAAAACCAACCUUUUUACACAUACUUAUGUUUUCUUUUAAAGCUAACCUUGAAAAGAAAAGACACCAAUUCAAUUUUUGGAACUAAUAUCAGUUGUAAUUUGAAAACCCAUCCCUGUGUACAAUCCUAUAGCCACUAUGCUAUGCUAGCUAAUGCUACCCUAGUAUAUGGUGAAAUAAGUUUAUAAAUUUUGUUGAUUACUCCCGUCUGAGAACUGAAAUCAAAGCACACCAAUUGAUUGAACACCAAUCAACAGGGCAUACACCAGUUGGGCAUGAAUCAUAUGGUAUGGUGGUAUUCUCAAACAAAAUUUUCAAAAUCAAAUGUCCAUUGCCUAUUUUUAUUCAAGAAUAUGGAGUGGACCCCAAGAAAACUAUUUAACUAUUAAAAAAGAAAUUUUGGCAAUUUUUUUAUACAUUCAAAUAUUUCAAGAAGAUGUUUUUAAUAAAAAAAAAAAUUCUUCUUUGAGUUGAUUGCAAAAGUGCCAAAGAAAUUAUUCAUAAGGAUGUUCAAAAUAUUAUUUAAAAAUAGAUUUUUGCUUGAUGGCAAGCACUUUUAUCUUCUUUUUUUUUUUUGAAAUUGAAUUUGUAAAAAAAGAUUCAAACUCUCUCCCUGAUUUUCUCUCUCAGGAAUUUCUACAGGGAAAAUGAGCAACUCAAAAUCCAACAAACACAUGCCCAAUUCAAAAGCAUCUUAUGUUAUACUUAUUGAAAAACCUAAAGUUUCGAAGACCCAAUCUCAAACCCCUAUUUCAAACCAAUUCCAAGUCUUAGGAAAUAUUCCUAAGCCUUCUCAAACCUUUGCCUAUGCAACCCAAACCUCAAAAUAGGCGUCUUGCAAUUAUGUUACAAAAGGCCAUUUGAUGAAGGUGUGGAUUCUUGAAUCUCACCACUUUUCAAAGUCUGGUUCGUUGGACAUUACAAAAAUAUUUUCAAAAGGAAUUUUUUUUUUUCAAAAUGAUUUAGUCAAAAUAAGAAAAUUUUAUGAGUUUAUCCUAGUUGAUAUUGACUCUGUGGAAAUCACUCAUAUACAAAACAAGGAUUCCACAUACAUUUGCUAUUCAAAAUGUAAAAUUUUCAAAAUUAUUUUCAGAAACCCAAUGGGGACAGUCUCCUGAUACCUAUAACAUGUUUCUCAAAACUUCAAACCAGCAUCAUACGAUUAUCAUGAUUAUGUAGAUGCUUGGUUUUACACAUUUUUCUUCAAUUUUUUUUUAUUUAUCAUUCUUGGUUCUUCCAAUGGAAUGAUAAAAUUAAAAAUGACUUUUCAAAUUCGUUUCAAGAAUGGUGGCUAUGUUUUGGCACCAUCCCUGAAAUCUUUUGUCCUCAAAUCAAAUCUACCUAUGAUUAUUUCAAAGAGCAUGUUAGGAGAUUGAUCCCUACUCCUUGUUUUCAAGCCCUUUUCUUCACUUCUAGAUUCCAAAUCCCAUGGAUUCUAUGUUGGGACUUUGUCAAAACACAAAUGAUCAAAAGUUCAUUUCCCACGCAUUUGGCAAAGGAAUUUAAAGUCAAAUGGUGGUCAAACUUUGUACCUGCCACUUCCUAGUAACUUCCUCAUAUAAAAAAUUGGAAUGCAACACAUGCUCUUUCCAAUAUUGAAACACUUUUUCAAAUACCUUCUCUUCUUUCAAAUAACUUUAUCCCCUCUCAAAAAGUCUCUCUUGCAAUACUUUCUUCAAACAAGUAGUUUCAGGCUCAUCUCAAGUUUUUAUAGCAAUAAGCCACUAAAACCUUGUCAUAGCUUGGUUCUGCUUAUGAUGACGACACUACUUCCCCAAGCUUUAAAGAGCCUUAAAAUGAAGACAUGUGCUAUAAAAUGCCAUACAUGGCCUUGGAGUGAUGCUUCAAAAGCCUCUUCAAAAACAAUAUUCAAAUCUCUUCAAAAGUCGGAAUUGGGAGGUCAUGUCAACCGACAGUUGGUAGUUCUCUCCUUGGAUUAUACCUUCUAAAGAGAUUUUGGACAUCGUGGCAAGCUUUUAAAACUUUUCAAGACAAUCAAAUUUUCAACAACUAGAUGAAACUUUCAUCCUGUUGUGGACUUCAAAAUUUUCAAAUCCUGGUGGACACCUCAACAAAACUGCCUACAAAACAGUGGACUCAAACUUGUGGAUUUCAAAACCAUUGACAACUGGCAUAUGAUGACAAGUUACUUUCGAUGGAUCCAAAGUCUUUCAAAUUCGUGGAUUUUAAAGCUUUUCAAAUAUGUCACUAGAGCUCUAUAUAAGGGGUCUCUUCCUUCAUUGUGGGACAUUAGCCAAAAUUUGUGAGAGUUGAGAGAAACUAGUUGUGAGAAAAUCCAAAGCCUUGUAAUGAAGAGUUCUGCUUAAAGAAGCUCUACUCAAAGUUUGUAAUUUUCAAAAGUUUGCGUGUUCUCCUAUUUUAAUAACAUUUUAAAUUCCAAAUUCAAUUUUUGUCUUUCUUAUUUUAAAUAUCUUGUUUGAGGAUGAUGAACUCUAUUGAAUCUUUGUCUAGUAGACUGGGUUUUAAGUGAGACUGCUUGUGACUCCUCCAGUCUUUACUGAGAGAAUUCAUCAAAGUUCAUAUUGAUUUUGAAAUUUGAAGUCUUUCAUCUUUCUCUUUUGAUUUCAAUUUCAAUCCUACUAAAAGUUGGUAUAAGAGCCAUGUCUUGUUCAUUUCAUUAUUUAAAUUUGCAUUUUAAUUUAUGAUUAUUUGUUUUAUGAUUCAAACAGUUAGUGUUGGUCAGUCCUCAGUUAGCGUUGUCAUUUGUUCCUUGAUUAUUGAUAAAUGAUUAGUCUAAAGACUUUUUUAGAGGAGAUAGAAACACUGUGAAACUCUCACUAUUACUCCACUCAAGAUCAUCCUUCAUUUAUAAAAAAAAACAUCUUAUAUUUGUUUCUAAAUCUUUAAUUUAAUAAAUAAGAUUAAAUGUAUUGUGUUUAAUUCUUUAUAAUUUAAAAAUAAAAAAUAAAAUUAUAAAAAUGGAUUUAAUUUCACUUAAAUUUUUUAUUUUCAUUUAUGUUAUAAAAUGGCAAUAUAUAUAUAUAUAUAUAUAAACCCAAGUGAUACUUCCUUGGAUUUAAAAUAAAAAAAUUAAUAAAUAUAUAAAUUGAAUGGAUAGAUUAUAACACAACCUCGAAAAUCAUAAAGCAUGUGCCUUAAAAGUAUCAAAAGUAUGGCAUUAUUCAAAAAGAGUAGGUAAUAGCAGCAGAUAUACCUAGUGCCUAAAAUUAAAAAUAUGUCUAGCCUUAUUCAAAAGUAGCCACUAGAAAGUGCCUUAAAAAAAAAAAAAGAGUGUUUAGCUAGGUUGGCAAUUCCAGACAAAGUUCCUAAGUGUCUCCUAACUCAAUUUUUCCAAUCCUUCUAUGGACUACUAACGAAGAUCAAGUUGUUGAAUUUGUCAAGAGACUAAGGUAUAUAGUUGAAGUUGGAGUUGGAUGGAAUUGAAUCAACCAUAUUAUUUAAAUGUUGUUUUACUUAAAUAUUUUUUAAGGAGUUAGGAAGGUUUAGGAAGUUGUUUUUUUUUUACUAAAUGUUCAAAAUGCACUGUUCCAGGAUCGGUCCAGCUUUAGGUUGGAUCGAUCCAACUUACAUUUUUUUGAUGAAAUUUCAUCCGUUGGAUCAAGGGCUUCCUUCAAUUUAAAAACCCAAAACUUGCUUCUUGUGUUGUAUGUAGUAAGAGACAUAGCAACAACCAUCCCCUUUGGUUCUCUUCUUCUUUCCUAUUUUGGAGUGUUUGGUUGUCAAGAAAAUCCAACUUUCCUAUUGUUUUCAAUGGAUUUUCUUGAGGAAAAAAAUAGGUUGAUUCAUUCUUUCAUUCAUCUUUCAAUUUCUAAUCUAUUUAGGUUUGGCUAAAAACCCAUUUUUUUCUUGUGUGGAUUCAAUAAGAGAUCGAGAUCAAGCUUGGUGUGGACUCUAAGUGUGCUCCAAAAGAAGAAUGUGGGAAGUUGAAAGUGAAAGGUACUAGUGAAGUGGUCUAUGAAUGAUUGGUAAGCUUGAGUUAGGUAAAACUUUGUAUUCAACUUUUGCUUUUCAUAGUGGACGUUUUUUUAUCAAUUGUAGGCCUGUCGUUUUUUUUUUUUUUUUUAAUCUUUUCGGAAGUUUUCCACGUUAAAAUUUAGUGUCAUUGUCUCAUUGUCUCAUUCUACUCUUUGAUUUAUUUUCAGUUUUUGAUAUCAUUGGUUACUUGGGCAUAUAUGUUGAAUGGAAGAAAAAUGAGUUGAAAUAGGAGUGAUUAUCCAUUGGAUAUCUUGAAUAAUUUUUCUAUUCAUUUUGGUAAUGAUAUCUUGUAGUAAUUGGAAAUGAGUUAAGAAGAGAAUUGUUCUUAUGAAUUAAUUUUGAGAGUGUUGAAGCAUUUGCAUAUAAAUUACAUUUAUAAAUUGUUGGAAAAGUGUUGUUGCAUUCAUACUUGCUUGUGAAUUUUAUUCUUUGUUGAAAAGAAGUUCAUAGACAUUGAGAAAUUUUAAGGUUAGGUAAUUUUUGUUGGGAGAUUUUUUUAAGUUUGUUCAACAACACCUAUUCAAUCCCCUCUCCCCUCUAGGUGUAAUCCAUUAUUGAGAUUCACCUUUAAAAAAGUAUAGUACUAGUAAAAAAAAAAAAGAAAAUAAAGGAUAGUAGCAUGAACAUUUAAUCCUAAAGUGUCAAUAGAUGUAGAUAUAUUUUUAAAAUAAAAAUAAUAAUACCUUUAUAUAAGAUAUAAUAAUUUUUAGAGAUUUAUAUUAAAAAAAUAGUGAUUGUAAAAACUAUUUUAAAAAUUUUAAGGUAUAAAAAAUAUAAAUUAAAUUUAUUAUUUUUGUAUAAGACUCUGCUUUUAUAUAAAAUAUUUUUAUUUUAAAAAUAAAAAAUAAAAAAUGUAUUAGACAUUUAAUAAUUUUUUUAACCCUCUAAAUUAUAUGGGUUGUCUUUCCUCCUACUAUGUCUAAAAUAGAUACUCUAGUGUACUCUUUUGACUUUUUGACUCAAGAAUUUUGAAACUAAAGUUUCUAAAAUUAAGAUUCCAAGGAUUUGCUAAUAGUUGGCAAGGUAAUUGAUUUUGGGUUGAAAGGGUUUAGGGAUGAUGUUUGAAUUAAUGAGUCAAAGGUGUAAGUAUUAAUAAGAAUGUGUAUAAGUUCAAAAGUGUAGGUAGCAGUAGGGCCUGGGUAGAACAGAUUGGUGUUGAGAGUGAAAAGAAGUAGGCACUAAAAUGCACGGGAGCGCACACACUUGCUGAUGGCUGAUUUGGUUUUUUCUUUUUUUUCUAAUUUUUUAUUAUUUUGUUUAAUUGGAAGGAAGAAUGUGCAUGCACCAUCCACACAUGCCUCCAUUGUUUGGUUAAUUGUUUUGUUUUGUUCCUUCUCUUUUUUUUUUCUUUAUUUAAUUUAUCCUCUACUUUCUUUCUUGCCUUUGUCCUUUUUUUUUAACUCACUUUCUUAUGCAACCCAACAAAUUAAUUAGGCCGCACCUAUGCUAAGCUUUCAUCCCUUGGGUUGGCAUUCAUCCUAAGCUCAAGUUCAUUUGUUCAACCCUUAUCCCAUAUUCAAUCCAAACUGUAAUAUUCAAGCCUAUUUUUGAAUCUCUAGUUUGACCAAUGUUGGAAUCAUGUAAGCAAGGUAUCAUACAUGUUAAGAUGUGGGGAAAAAUGGUUAAAACUAUUUCUAACCUUUGUCGCUUUUUUUUUUCUAUCGUUUUUAACAUGUGUUUCCACGAAAUCGUACAAGCAGUAAAUAUUUUUGUUAAUUAAUUUCUUUCCUAUUAACUAACUAAUGUUUGUCAAAGACAUUAAUAACAUCAACUACUAACUAGGUCUAUGAGAUUGUUGUUUGGUAUUGAAAACAUACAUAUAAAUAUUUAAAAUUAUUAAGGGUAUUUAUAUCAAAAAAGAUUACUCUUUCAACAAAAACAUGAGGCGCAUUAAAUUCAUAAAUAUUUGGAUUAUUUUAUUUUUUAAUCAAUUAAUUUUAUUAUUAAUGUCAAUAAAAUAUGAAAUUUAGACCAUUAAACACCAAUAGUCUGUCUGCCCAUUGAUUCGACUCAUGGUAGCUUAGCUUUAAAGGCGUAUCAACAAAAUUUAUACCUUGAAUACUAUUACUAAAGUAGCCAAGCUACUAUAGCAUAGUGGUUCUAGGAUCGUUCACUAGGAAGGGUUUUCGCAAACACAAGUGAUAUUCAAAUUAGGAAAAUAGGUGAUUUUCUUAUGGAUGUUAGCUUUAAAAGAAGAUGUAAAUGUUUUAGAAAGAUUUAAACUAAUCUAAGCUAACAUUAAACACUAAAAUGAAAGGGUGUAAAAACAAGUUUCUCAAAGAUAGGAUAGCUAUGCUCUGGCUCUUAUGCAAAUUGGAAAUCUUAGGAUAGGCUCCUCGCGUUGGGGUUGCAACUAUGGUGAUGCUUGCUUCCCGAACCGGUAUGGAUUUAGCAAAUCAAGUUUUAAUCCUUGAAAAUGGCAAAACAGAUGGUAGUGAAUUUCAUCAAUGGUUAUUCACCUUAGACUUCCUUUGAAUGGCUCGUAAGAGAUAACUAAUGGUCUAAAGCCAAAAGCUUACCAAAUAUUGGCAACUCAAAGUCAUUCCAGGUGAUAAACUCACCUUUCAAUGGCCAUUGAAAUUGGUUCUAAUGGAUUAAUGCAAAACUCGGAAUUGAAAACCUCGCCUUCCAAUAGCUCGUAGGAGAUAACUAAUGGAUAGAAAUCCAAAAGCUUAUCAAGUAUUGGCCGUUGGAAGUUGUCAAAAGGAAAUAAAAACCAAACUUUGCAUUAAUGAACCAUUAAUGAAAAACGACUACCUUACCUUCCGGGUGCGAGAAAUUUCCAUGGGAUUGCAUCCAAGCCAUCACAUAACAUCCAUACUUUGAGAAACUAAAAGUUUUAGCCAAUCAUCCUUUGAGGAAAAACCCUCAGAGGCUGUUUGGCUACUAAGAAAAUAGAAACGGGAGAGCUCUGUAAAAAUUCUAUAUAUUGAUCGAUAUUCAAUUACAACGGAUGCAAGGGAAUAUAUAUAGAGAAGUUUUUCCAAUCCUUCCUAGCUAAGAAAUCUUAUGAUUGGUGUAUUACAAGGAGAAGAAUGGAAAUUUAUACAAAAAUAUCUAAAAGAAAAGAUCUUGUGUGGAGUCGGCAGAAACAGGGGAAAAUUCGCACGUUGGAGUUCCAAUUUCGCACCUUGGUUUGAGGUGUGCGAAAUUCCCACACUUUGGACUGAGGAAUUUCGCACCUUGCACAGUGGUGUGCGAAAUUGUCCCUCAGCUUGAUGCAGUUGUCUUCCGAAGGCCAUAUCUUCCUCAUUUCAGCUCCAAAUCAUACACGGUUUGAAGCGUUGAAUUCUUGACUUCCUGAGCUUUGAAAUGGUAUAUAGCAUGUAGAAAAUGGACUUCAGGAAGUGCUCCAAAAGUGUCAAAGAAGACUGCAGCUGCUGUCCUCUAUUUUCCUCUUUGCUUCUUUUUGCUUCUCUUUGCUUUUCUCCUUGCAUACUUUGAACGACUUUGGCAAAGGGCUAUGGAGCUCCAAAGCUUGGUUCUUCAUGAAUUUGAGCUUCCAAAAGCUUUGCCAUAACUUGUCCAAGUAGCUCCUCCAUCAUUUGGCAUGCUUGAAUUGAUUCAUAAGCUGAUAAAAACAUGUAAACUUGCCACAAAAUGGUUAAAACCAAUUACUAAGGACCUUAAUGAAUUAAUUGGGUUAAAUGAAUAUGAUUACUACUCAAAGGUGCUUAAAACCAUUAUAAUUAGGUCUACAAAAUAGCACUUUUUGGUAGUAAUCACACCCCCCAACCGACUCAUUGCUAGUCCCUUAGCAAUGGAGGAGAUAAAAACUAAGUAAACUAUAAUAAUUACAUAAAAGGGAUCAUGCAAGUCACUCCAAAAAAUGAUAUGAGUGGCAUGAUUGGAUCAAACUCUCACAUGGCAAGUCAAGGAUAUAAAACUCAAUCAUCAAUAAGAGUCAUCAAAUAACUUACCUAUCACAACAUGCAAAGAGCGGGCAUUAUGCAAAUUUGAGUAUCAAAAUAAUUUCCACUCCCAAAGGACCAACACUUAAUCUUCCACAAAAAUCUAUGUGUUAUUUAUUAGUUUCCGAAUAUAGUAUGUCAAACUAAUCUCUCCCCUCAACCUAGUUCUUUUCAAAGCUUAGCAAACUAAUCAACCUCCAAUAGGCUAAGAACGCACCUCUUUUCUUUCAUAAUUUUUUUCUUGUAGGAGUGCAAAGCUUAAAGGCAUUCUUUUCUAAAUUGUCCAUGUAACGGGGGUCCAUCGAUGACUCCCAACCAAUCAAGGUUUAGGGCAUCAAGCUUUAAGGAUUUUUCAACCACUAACUCCUCGGAUUUCACCCCGGACUUUUGAGAAUGAAUUUUAAUACCCAAGCACCUACAGUAUGUUAAACUCCACCUAUUCACCCAUGUAACGAGCAUUGAGGUCGGUGACUCCCAACCAAUUAAGGCUUAGGGCACCAGGUUUUAAAGAUUUUCACCAUAUACCCCUUAGACCUUGCUCGGGUUUCAAGGCAAGCAAACAUUUUUCUUUUUCUUUCUUUUUCCAAAGGCUCAUUGGCCUUUUUCAAGGUGUCCCAACACUAUUAAAAUGAGGUGAAAGGUACCAAGUCUAAAAUUUUCCUAAGUCAAGAGGGAAAUAGUUUUUCAUCUUAUAAUCGGAACCUAGUGUGCACGGUGUGUGAUAAGCUUAAAGUGGAAGAACUAAGCUUGAAUUCAAUAGAAGUUUCAACAAUUCAUCAACUUUAGUAAGCAUAAUACAAACUCUAAGACUAUGGCAAUAAGAUAAGAAUUUAAUUUUUCCCAUUUACUUUUGAGAAUUUUUCCUUAAUAACCAUGGAGAGUAGAAUAAAAACUUAAAAAAUUUUAAAAUUAAGCAAAAAGCAACUAAAUUAAAAUAACUUAGCAUUAAUAACAAAACUUCCUUCCUCAACUCUCCCCCCAACCAAGCUGAACAUUGUCCUCAAUGUUUCAAAAGUGAUUAAAAAAAUAGAGGGAGGAAGUGGUACCUCCUGAGUGGCAUGGAGUCUAAGUUAUGUAGGAGAAACCACAUGUUUCAAAGAAAACAUAAGAGUUAGUGAGUAGAGGAAAUAGAAAAAUGCCAAGUUUAAACAAAAAUGAUGUCUAUAUAUGAUGUAUCAUCAGUAAUACAUCCAAUCCCAGAAUAUAAGACAUCAAAACAUGGAUUUAUGUAUACUAAUAUAAUAAGUAAAUACAAAAAAUAAAGAGAUGAUCAAGUAAUAGAAGGGUCCUGUGGAGCUGAUGCAUUUGUGGUGGCCUUCUGAGUGGGUUGGAUCAGGACUUUGGCCUCUAUUCUGGUAUUCUCCUUGGAUGGCAUAGUCUCCUCUGUUGGGGCUCUCAGUUGGAGCUAUGGGCUUUGAUGGUUUUAGGAGGUAAGAAAUGGAAUGAGAGGCUUGGUGUGUGAUCCCAAGGUGCACGGGGCUGUUCUCUCCUCUAAUGCAUGUUCCUGAGGCUUGGAAAGGAUUUUUCGUGCGAAAUUCCCGCUUAGCUUUGUGUAGUCUGUCUUCAAACGGCUAUAACUUCUUCGUUUCAAAUCCAAAUCAUGUACCGUUUGAAGCACUGGAUUCCUGACUUCCCAAGCUUCAAAAUGAUAUAUGGUAUGAAUAAUUUGAGCUCCAGAAAGCACUCCAAAAACGUGUCCAACAGUAGCGAAAUGGGGUGCGGCUGCAACAUUUCCAUUCAGCUUUGCACAGUCGUCUUCAAACGGCCAUAACUUCUUCAUUUCAAAUCCAAAUCACUCACCGUUUGAAGCAUUGGAUUCCUGACUUCCCAAGCUUUAAAAUGAUAUAUGACAUGAAUAAUUUGAGCUCCAGGAAGUGCUUCAAAAACGUGUAUAACAGUAGCGAAAUUUGGUGCGGCUGCAGCAUUUCCGUUCAGCUUUGCAUAGUUGUCUUCAAAUGGCCAUAACUUCUUCGUUUCAAAUCCAAAUCAUGCACCGUUUGAAGCGCUGGAUUUCUGACUUCCCAAGCUUUAAAAUGACAUAUCAUAUGCAUAAUUUGAGCUCCAGGAAGUGCUUCAAAAAUGUAUCCAACAGGAGCAAAAUUUUCGCACCUUGGACUGGAAAUUUCGCACCUUGGAUUGAGGUGUGCGAAAAUGGCACCCUUUGGACUGAGGAAUUCGCACCUUGUUUCGCACGGUGCGAAAAUGGGCUUGAGGUGUGCGAAAUGGCACUCGUGUGCCAGGAGGUGGUUUCGCACGGUGCGAAAAUUUUCGCACCUUGAAUUGAGGUGUGCGAAAUUCCCGCUUAGCUCGGUCCAGUUUUCUUACAAUGACUAUAACUUUUUCAUUUCAACUCCGAUUUGGACACCGUUUGAAGCGUUGGACUCCUGACUUCCCGAGCUUCGAAACGGUAUAUAGUAUGUAUAAAAUAGACUCGAGGAAGUGCUCCAAAAUAUUUCCCGAAAGUGGCAAUAGAACCAAUGGCCAGAAUUCUCUCUUCUCUUCCUUUCCUUUCAUCAUUUUUGCAAUUCCUCCUACAAUGAUCAUCCAAAAACAUAUGUUAAAAAGAAAGCAUAGAAUUUAAAUGAAGCUGAUAGCAUGUACCCCAAAAAGAAGAUGAACUAUUUAGCUCAUCCUCACUCACACACCCACUUCAGGCUGAAUUCCCCCUGGAUCCCAAACAAAAUUGGCAUCCUUCCCAUUUGGUCCAAGGGAAUUCGUUUCUCUUCUCUUCCCUAGAGAAGUGGAUGCUUUAAAGGGUUCAAGUAACCCUUUAUCAUCUUGAACCUUAUGAUUUUCAAUGGAAGGUUGGUCCAUAGAGUUGUCAUAGCAAUCCCCCACCAAAGUGUCGAUCUUCAACACUUUCCUUGAUCUUUUUGCAUUGGUUCCUUGAAGGUUAUGGUGGGGUUGAGGAGGAAGCUUCCUUUUCCCCCUUGCUAUGUCGAGAUUGGUGAGCUUCUCAAUGGAGUCUUGAACUUUUUCUAUCCUUAGUGAUAGAUCAUUAUAAACCCCCUCCAUUCUUACAUUUAUUGAACUCUCCAUAUUAUUAAUCUUUUCAUUAAGCUGAGAGUUGAUCUUUUGUUGCUCACCUACAAAGUCCUCCAUGACUUUGCUUAUCUUCAAAAUGGCUUGCUCCAAUGAAGAUGUACUCAUUGAUGGUUGAGGUUGAGGUUGGGUUGCAAGGUUGGGAUGGUUUAUAUACUCAAAUGAAGUUGGCAUGGCUUGUGGUUGUGCUUCAGUAUGCACAUUCCUCAAUUCAAACUCUUCUAUCCUUCUAGCCAUAGAUGCUAGCUUUGCCUUCAUGCUCAUGUCUUCAUUCAAAGCAUACUUACUACCCCAUUGGCUUUGUUGAGCUUGCCUUUUCCCUAAUUCAAUCCGAUCCCUCAUGGAUAAGUAUGCAAAUUUGUCCUUCUCAUGAUCAUAAUGAGAGCUUUGAUCUUCAUGUGGAAUGUCCAUUUAUAAAAAAAAAAUGAUAUUCAACUAAGGCUCUUUUCUUCAACUUGUACCAGGGUUCCCUCUUGGUCUCGAAUCCAACAAGGAAUGCACAAAUUGAAAUUAAAACAAAAAUAAAAGAAAAGAAAAUAAAAAAAUUUAACUAAAUAAAAACUAAAAAAAAAAAAAAUUAUAAGAAAACUCACCAAACUUGUGAUGAAGAUCACAAGUUACCCUUAAUGGUUGCUUCACUGUGCUUGUGGCACCUUCCCCGGCAACAGCGCCAUUUGAUUCGACUCAUGAUUCGAUCCCCGGCAACGGCGCCAUUUGAUUCGACUCAUGGUAGCUUAGCUUUAAAGGCGUAUCAACAAAAUUUAUACCUUGAAUACUAUUACUAAAGUAGCCAAGCUACUAUAGCAUAGUGGUUCUAGGAUCGUUCACUAGGAAGGGUUUUCGCAAACACAAGUGAUAUUCAAAUUAGGAAAAUAGGUGAUUUUCUUAUGGAUGUUAGCUUUAAAAGAAGAUGUAAAUGUUUUAGAAAGAUUUAAACUAAUCUAAGCUAACAUUAAACACUAAAAUGAAAGGGUGUAAAAACAAGUUUCUCAAAGAUAGGAUAGCUAUGCUCUGGCUCUUAUGCAAAUUGGAAAUCUUAGGAUAGGCUCCUCGCGUUGGGAUUGCAACUAUGGUGAUGCUUGCUUCCCGAACCGGUAUGGAUUUAGCAAAUCAAGUUUUAAUCCUUGAAAAUGGCAAAACAGAUGGUAGUGAAUUUCAUCAAUGGUUAUUCACCUUAGACUUCCUUUGAAUGGCUCGUAAGAGAUAACUAAUGGUCUAAAGCCAAAAGCUUACCAAAUAUUGGCAACUCAAAGUCAUUCCAGGUGAUAAACUCACCUUUCAAUGGCCAUUGAAAUUGGUUCUAAUGGAUUAAUGCAAAACUCGGAAUUGAAAACCUCGCCUUCCAAUAGCUCGUAGGAGAUAACUAAUGGAUAGAAAUCCAAAAGCUUAUCAAGUAUUGGCCGUUGGAAGUUGUCAAAAGGAAAUAAAAACCAAACUUUGCAUUAAUGAACCAUUAAUGAAAAACGACUACCUUACCUUCCGGGUGCGAGAAAUUUCCAUGGGAUUGCAUCCAAGCCAUCACAUAACAUCCAUACUUUGAGAAACUAAAAGUUUUAGCCAAUCAUCCUUUGAGGAAAAACCCUCAGAGGCUGUUUGGCUACUAAGAAAAUAGAAACGGGAGAGCUCUGUAAAAAUUCUAUAUAUUGAUCGNNNNNNNNNNNNNNNNNNNNNNNNNNNNNNNNNNNNNNNNNNNNNNNNNNNNNNNNNNNNNNNNNNNNNNNNNNNNNNNNNNNNNNNNNNNNNNNNNNNNUAUGGAUUUAGCAAAUCAAGUUUAUCCUUGAAAAUGGCAAAACAGAUGGUAGUGAAUUCAUCAAUGGUUAUUCACUUUAGACUUCCUUGAAUGGCUCGUAAGAGAUAACUAAUGGUCUAAAGCCAAAAGCUUACCAAAUAUUGGCAACUCAAAGUCAUUCCAGGUGAUAAACUCACCUUUCAAUGGCCAUUGAAAUUGGUUCUAAUGGAUUAAUGCAAAACUCGGAAUUGAAAACCUCGCCUUCCAAUAGCUCGUAGGAGAUAACUAAUGGAUAGAAAUCCAAAAGCUUAUCAAGUAUUGGCCGUUGGAAGUUGUCAAAAGGAAAUAAAAACCAAACUUUGCAUUAAUGAACCAUUAAUGAAAAACGACUACCUUACCUUCCGGGUGCGAGAAAUUUCCAUGGGAUUGCAUCCAAGCCAUCACAUAACAUCCAUACUUUGAGAAACUAAAAGUUUUAGCCAAUCAUCCUUUGAGGAAAAACCCUCAGAGGCUGUUUGGCUACUAAGAAAAUAGAAACGGGAGAGCUCUGUAAAAAUUCUAUAUAUUGAUCGAUAUUCAAUUACAACGGAUGCAAGGGAAUAUAUAUAGAGAAGUUUUUCCAAUCCUUCCUAGCUAAGAAAUCUUAUGAUUGGUGUAUUACAAGGAGAAGAAUGGAAAUUUAUACAAAAAUAUCUAAAAGAAAAGAUCUUGUGUGGAGUCGGCAGAAACAGGGGAAAAUUCGCACGUUGGAGUUCCAAUUUCGCACCUUGGUUUGAGGUGUGCGAAAUUCCCACACUUUGGACUGAGGAAUUUCGCACCUUGCACAGUGGUGUGCGAAAUUGUCCCUCAGCUUGAUGCAGUUGUCUUCCGAAGGCCAUAUCUUCCUCAUUUCAGCUCCAAAUCAUACACGGUUUGAAGCGUUGAAUUCUUGACUUCCUGAGCUUUGAAAUGGUAUAUAGCAUGUAGAAAAUGGACUUCGGGAAGUGCUCCAAAAGUGUCAAAGAAGACUGCAGCUGCUGUCCUCUAUUUUCCUCUUUGCUUCUUUUUGCUUCUCUUUGCUUUUCUCCUUGCAUACUUUGAACGACUUUGGCAAAGGGCUAUGGAGCUCCAAAGCUUGGUUCUUCAUGAAUUUGAGCUUCCAAAAGCUUUGCCAUAACUUGUCCAAGUAGCUCCUCCAUCAUUUGGCAUGCUUGAAUUGAUUCAUAAGCUGAUAAAAACAUGUAAACUUGCCAUAAAAUGGUUAAAACCAAUUACUAAGGACCUUAAUGAAUUAAUUGGGUUAAAUGAAUAUGAUUACUACUCAAAGGUGCUUAAAACCAUUAUAAUUAGGUCUACAAAAUAGCACUUUUUGGUAGUAAUCACCCAUUAAACACCAAUCCAUCUUUUUAGUCAAUUGACUUGGCCCAUUCUAUAGUUGUGAUGUCCAUGUCCACCGUCUAACUCAUCUCCUAAAUUUUAUUGAAGUGAUGUUUGUGUCAAUAGUUAAAAUCACUCACCCACACCCCACUUGCAAGUUGCAAGGGAUUGACCCAUCACUACUCUUAUUUAUCCUUACUAAUAAAUGUUUUUUUUCCUUUGUUUUCCUUAUUCAUCCACCUCAAAAUCUCUUUCUAGAAGGUCUAAAAUAAAAACAAUGGAAACCAUUCUUCGAUAUAUAACUUAUAAAUGUUUUAUUUCAAUUAUUUUUCGUAUUUAUAUAAUUAUUUUUAUUUUUUUAAAUAACCCUUAAAAAAAUAAGUGAUAACAAGGCAACUAAAAUAGAUUUUUCAAAAACAUCAUAUUUUUGGAAUAAGUUUUUUAAAAAUUAUUUUCUAUUGGAAAAUUAGUAAUGAUGGUGUAAAAACUUGGUAAAUAAUUUUUUUGUUUUAAUAAUAAAAAAAAAAUUUAAAUAGUUUUCAAACAUAAUCCAACCAUUUAUGUUAUUUUUACCUUCUUUUUUUCAGGUUCAAAAUUUCGAGUUUUCUGUGGACAUAACAUAAAAAAUAAUUAUUUUUCAAACUACGACCCUUUUAAGUUUCAAAUAAAACCCGUCUUUUUUAAAAUAAGUUUACAAUAGGAAAUGAAUUUGUCUUUUAAAAUACAAAAUUUAAAACAAAAAAAAAAUAAUGAUGAAAAGUAUCAUAUUUUCAUAUUUAUUUUUUGAACAACGUCAUCUUAACAAUAUUAAAAAAAAAAAAAAAUCCUUAAAAUUUCCCCCUAAUGGCCCACGAUGUACUUCAUAGCUUCAAUUCCAAUAUCUCAAAUCAAUCUCAAUUGACUAUUGCCAUUAAAUCCUUAUUAAUUAUCUAUUAGAAUGCCCGGCCUUCCCUCAUUCAUUUUUUCACAAAGUUGGUCAACGUUCAUUUAUUUUUUUUUCAAAUAAAUCAUUUAUUUCUCUCAUAGCAAGGAAUAAUUUAAAUUAUUUAAGUCUUUAUGUAAUCGUGUAACAUUGCUAAAAAUUAGGAAAUAGACUAUUCAUGCACAUGAUCUCAAUAUCCCAUGUUCACCCUAAAUCGAUUAAAAAAAACCGUUUAAGUCAAGUCCUAUGUUGAUAUUCGUAAAUGAAAAAGAAUCUAAUAUAAUAUUAAACUUCAUAAAAAUUGGGAUAAAAUAUUUAACAAAUUUUGAUAUAAUAUUAAAUUAUCAAUAACAUUAAAAUUUAAAUGUUACGUGAUACAUCAUCACAUCCAUAUAAUAAAUCAAUUUAAGCUAAUGUUUUAUUUAAUUCUUAAUUUAUUGUUUUAUUUAGUGUCUCAAUAUGUUAAAUAAAUAAAUAAAUUGUGCCCUAAUAAUAAUAGAAUUUUUUUUAUUAAAUUUUUGGUUAAGAACUAAUAUUUUAUAUAAAUUUUAUUUAAAAAAAUCAAUAAAUCACAAGUGAGUUGUGAAACUUGUGAAUCGUAGACAACCAUUUUCGUGAUAUUAAAAAAUUAAAAAUAAAUAAAUAAAUAAAUAAACAAAGCCCCACUUGCAGUAGUGCCCGAAUGAAACAUGCGGGGUUGUAGGUACGAUACCAUGGAGGUCACAUGUAUGGGAACAUUCCACAAGUCUUCUAAAUUGUCAGGGAAAGGCGUCCCUCAUGGUGGUCUCCACAUCGGACGACCCAGAUAGACCGGUGCCUAAACUGAAGGCUGUCACACGUUUACGUGUUUGACCAAGUCUCGCGAGUCUACGCGCCAAUCACCAACCUUAAUUUUAAAGGUUCCUCCGCCCAAUCCUAUGAUGGUACCAUGCGGUCACCUUCACCUUUCCCUAUCCCACUCUCCAUUACACAGCGCGUGGUCACACUCUCCCAAAAAAGGUUCCCAUCCGAAAAAUUCAAACAAAUUUAAAGUACUAAAAAUGGGAAAAUAUUUAAAAUAUUUUUUAAAUAUUUAUUUUUUAUAUAAAAUAAUUAAAUAAAUGAAAUGAUUUUCUUUUUAAUCGUUUUAAAACAGUUUUAAAAAAUAAAAGUGAAAAUAAUUGAAAAAAAAUAUACAAUAAAUUUUGAAAAUAGAAUUACGUUGACAAUAUUCAAAAUGCAACUCACUAUAGGGCGCGUGAGCACAGGACUUGUAGAACACGUUUUAAGCAUUAUAAUAUUAUUUUUUAUUUUCCAUGGAAAAACACGUUCAAAUCCAAACAAUCGGAAUUGGAAUGCCAUGAAUUUCCACAAACCGUGUACUUGCAAGUUGGAAGAAGAUUCAUUUACAACCAAUUACAAUUUUAUUAUUAAUGGGCAGACAGACUUAAAAGUAGCCAUUGGAAAGUGCCUUAAAAGAAAUUAUAAUAUUAAUAAAAAAAAAGAAAAUAAAAGAUUUUAACGUGAACAUUUAAUCCUAAGUAUCAAUAGAUGUAGGUUCAAACAUAUUUUCUAUUUUUUAUUUUUAAAAUAAAAAUGAUAAUAACUUUUAUAUAAGAUAUAAUUUUUUUAAAUAAAUUAUAUUAAAAAAAUAGUGAUUUUAAAAACUAUUUAAAAAAAUUUAAGUAUAAAAAAUAUAAAAUAAUUUUUUUUUAAAUAGAUUAUGCUUGAAUGAGUCAAAUGUGUAAAGAUGAAUAAGAAUGUGGAUAAGUUCAAAAGAGCGGGUAGCUCUGAUCCAGCCGACCCGAAUGGGAAAUUGAGAAAAGAAAAACAUUCUUGGAAAGUGGUUCAGUUCCUUGGAAGUGGGUAUUUUGAGAACCCAACAAGUGUUCAUGUACUUUGAAUUUAUGUUCAAAUCACUUGCUUUGAGAUGGGGUUUUGAAUCGGAAAUGUCAAUGUUUCCGGUGUGAACAUGCAUACAGAAAUUAGUAUUACGUACAAAACAGGUUGAGGUAAAAAAAAAAUCAAAAUCAUGGAAAAUUCAAAGUCUGUUUAACCGGAUGUUUUAAAAAUAGUUUUUUAUUUUUUAAAAUAGAGAAUAAUUCUUACAUUAUCUAAAAAUGAUUUUUAAAAAUAAGGUAGAAUGAAGAACAAUUUUUAAAGAACACGUAAAAGUGUUUUCAUCCCUGGUAAAAAUCAAAAGAAAAAUAUAAAAAAUUUAAAAAAAAAUCUUGAAAAUAAAUAAAAUUGAAUAUAGUAUUAUUUUCUUUCUCUUUUUAAUAUUAAAAAAAAAUCUUAAAAUAUGAUUUUUUCUUUAAAUUACACAUACUUUUUAAAAUUUCAUUUUAACUUCUUUAAAAUUUUUCUUUGAGUAAAUUUUAAAUCAAAUUGUAUUAUUUAUUAUUAAACUUAAUUUCAAUGGUAAAAGAAACAAAUUCUUAGGAAUAAAAUUUAAUAUUAUAUUGAAUUAUUUAAGAGGAAUAUAUAGCGUAAGUCAUAUUAUAUUUUAACUUAAUUUUAAUUAUUAUUUGCCUACCGUGUUGCUUAUUUACAAUUAUAUUUAAUUUUUAUUUAUUUGUUUAGAAUAUUUAUUUGUUUUUCUAAAGCUUAUUUAAUGAUAGAAGAGUAUUCAUAUAUAUAUAAUUUUUGACAAAAAAAUUUAUUAUAAAAAUGGUUGAAAAACAAUUAUGAAGAAUUUAUAAAUUAUUUAGGAGUGAGAAAUCUUGAAAAAGUGCAAUAGAAAAAAAGAAAAUUCAUUUUGUGAUGUGGAAGUCUAAACAAUGAGAAGAUGUAUGAAAUUGGAAGAUUGGACAUAAUAAGUCAAUUGAUUAGUAGAACAAGAGAGAGUUUCAGACACCUAUAAUAGUGUCUAAAUGUAUAGUUUUAAACACUUUAAGUAUGCUCAGAAGUAUAGGCCGGACAUUUAUAAAACAUCCCCUCAUGCAACACAAACAAUAUUCAUAGUACCUCUUUCUUCCAACUCUAAAAGUACAAAAAGAAAUAUAAAAGAUAUCACAAAAUGCAUACCUUUGCACUUGUACCAUUAUUAGAGAUGAUUAUUUGUUUGUCCAAAGAAACAAAACUUUAUUGAUAAAUUCUAUUAGGAUUAUAGAGAGAUUAGAAGAAGAGAAGUGAAGAAAGAAGAUGGUGGUUUGAGAAUUUCAUCAAAGGGUGUUUUUAUCCUAAAAUAUGUAUUAUUUCGAUGGAUUUAAAGAUCAAUUUGGUGGAUGCAAAUAUAAGUUAUGGAAUUUUUUUACAAAAAAAAUAUCCAUCAAUAAAAAGAUUGAAAUACCCUUGCAAAUCAAUAUGCACCCACAUUCUUCCUUUCCUUUAUCAAAUUCUUUUCUUCCAAUCUCUCCACAACCUUAAUAAAUUAAAAUAAUUUUUUUAAAAAUAAAUGGUUUAAAUUUUUAAAUUUUGAAAAUUUAAAAUUUUAAAAAUACAUAAUUGUUGGCAGAUCGGAGGGUUGGCUUCAUCCAUCAACUCCUCUUGUGUUCGUCGUGGACAUUUGGGUUAAUGCACUAUAAGAUUAGGGUAUGCGUCUUUUUUAACAGCACUUGCUUUUAGGAAAGUUGAUAGCGUCUGAGGUUCUACAAUAAUUUUAUUCAAAUCCAAAACUUGUAAUAAAUUAAAAAUAAAAAUAAACCUUUUAAAAAACAAAUUUAAGCUUUUAAAUUAACUUUUGGUUUGACCUUUCAAGGUCAACACUCCCACAUCAUUCUUUUCUUUAGACUUUUUUUUCCCACUUUUUCAUAUGUUUCUCAUGUCUAAUUAUGUCUAAAUUAAUUCUAAAUACUUUCUAAUUAUUUUACAAAAAAAAAUUAUAAAAAAAUAUAUAAGUAAUAAAAUCUAAAAAUUUUCAUGUAGAACAAACUUAAUAUUAUUGUAUGGAUUUUAUAAAAAUAUAUUGAAAUUAACUUUCAACUUAUAGCAAACAACUUUUUAUGAUAAAGAAGCUUAGGUUUGGAGAGGAUAAAAAAAAGGGAAAAGGAUAAUUCAAAAAUAAUUAAAUGGAUUAAUAGGAUUUAUAUUUUGAGGUGGAUAGGUAAGUAUAGUGGAUAUGCAGAUAGUUUUAUUAGAUGUUUGGUGCCCCUGUUUUUAAGUAUUUUGGCCUACAACCCUAAAACCCAAAGUAAUUCUCACCAAAAAAAAAAAAAAAAAAAUUUUUUUUUUUUUUAAUCUUCAACUCUACAAACUCUCAUUUUGAACAUGCACUUUUUAAUUAAUUAAUUUUUUCUACUUUAGAACUCACUCAUCUUCCUAAAUACAAAAACUAAUUAUAAAAUAAAAACUAAUUCAACAAUUUAACUUCAACAUCUUUUUUUUUAAUAAUUCCUUUUCAUAUAAUAUUCCUUACUAACAAAAACUAAUUAUAAUUAAAUGACUUUAAUUUGAUAUAUAUAUAUAUAUAUAUAUAUAUAUAUAUAUAUCAAUAUUAAGAUGUAAAAUCCUAUAAACUUACACUUUAACCACUUGAGCCCAACAAGUGUUUGAUUUAAAAAUUUAUAGUUAUUAAAGAUGUUAAACUCCUUUAAAAAGUAUCAAAUGGUAAUAAAUAAAAAUUAGAGAAAAACCAUUCAAAUGAAGAGAUUUCAUCUAUAAUACGAAGUAAAAUCUAAAAAAGAAAUGUGAAGAAAAAAAUUAUCAUUGACUCUUAACUCUUGCUAAACCAAUCCCACUACCAUCCAAUACUAAAUUGUCUAACAAAUGAGAAUUGAAAGCAUAAAAGAGAAUCAUUGACUAUUGACUCUACCAUCCAAUGUUGAAUUGUCUAACAAAUGAGACAAAUGAGAAUUGAAAGCAUAAAAGAGAAUCAUUGACUAUUGACUCUACCAUCCAAUGUUGAAUUGUCUAACAAAUGAGAAUUGAAAGCAUAAAAGAGAAUCAUUGACUAUUGACUCUACCAUCCAAUGCUGAAUCGUCUAACAAAUGGAAAUUGAAAGCAUAGCAGAGAAUCAUUGACUCUACUUACCCCAUUUUCCUAGAAGUGUUGCCCCUCCCUUCAUUUCAUGAAGUUUCUUAGAAGUUUCAAACUUCUUUACCAUAUAAAGUAUAAAAAAAAUCAUUCUUAUAGCCAUUCACAUGUGUUUCAAGAAAAAUGAAGUUAUUUUGCCCCCAAGAACUACAGAAAUAAAAUCAUGUUAAGAAUUUUAAAUUAUAAUAUUUAUCUAUAAUAAGAUUUAUUUAUAAUUUUUUUUUAAAAAAAUCAUCAUCUAGUUGUUUAACUUAUUUUUUAUUCUUACUUUUUUGUAUUUAUAUUUUAAUUUUAGUUUUAUGUUUAUUUUUAAUAUCUAUUUUUCACUUCUCGGUCAAUUUUUUUUUAUUUGCUUUAAUUUUUUAUUAUUAUUUCUUGUUGAUAUCCUCUUAUAUAUAUAUUAGAAAAAUAUAUAUAAAAGAUAAUAAUAAAAUGAGACACCAUGAAUAAAGUGAAGGAAAAAAAUAAAAAAUAAAAUAAAAUCAAAAUAUUCGUGGAGAAGUAAGGUGCUCUUAGCCUAAUGUGUAAUGAUGAUGAUGGAUGACCCACCAAACCAGAAGAAAAGCAAAAGGUGAGAAAAGAAUCAAUAAAGAGAAACAACUACCCUUAACUUUUUUCAUCACUUUCCCGAAGGUUACUGGAAGUCGCCUUCCUUCCUUCCCAAUUCACAGAGCCCCUAAGUUCCUAACUUUUCUCGUCACUUUCCGGAAGGUCACAACAAGCCACUGCCACUUGCCUUCCCAACUCUUUAUAUACAGAUAAAUGAUAAUAUUUAUCAAUAAUAAGAUUUAUCUAUAAAAUGUUAGAAAAUAAAUAUAUCAAUCCAGUGAAUUUUAUUUUUACUUUUUUUUUAUAUUAUAUAUUUAUCCUUUUAUUUUUUAUUUUUAGUCUUUAUAUUUAUUUUUCACUUCUCGGUCAAAAUUUUUAUUUUCUAUUUAUUUUAAAUUUUAUUUUUAUUUCUUUUUUAAGUACUUAUAUAUAAUAAUAAAUAAAUAAAUAAAUAAAUAAAUAAAAUAGGAGACCAUGAAUAAAGUGAAGAAAAAAUAAAAUUAAAAACUUGGUGGAGAAGUAAAGUGCACGGGUUUGAAGGAUGAAUGUGAAUAGGAGAAAAAGAGAACAAGAGAAAAGCAAAAGGUAAAAGUGUGAGAAAAGAAUCCAUAUUCUGAAAAUGAAAGGAUGAGAUAAAAAUAAAAUAUAUAAAAGAUAAUAGUGAAAUACGAGAGCAUGAUUAUGGCGAAGAAGAAAAAAAUGUUAAAUAAAAUAAAAAAUUUGGUGGUAUCCCAUUUGAAAAUAGAAGGAAACGAAGGUGAUAAGAAAAAAAGAAAAGUGAGAAAAAAAUCUCUAAGUCAAUAGAGAGAGAAAGUUGUCCCUAAUUUUCCUCAUCACUUUUCGGAAUGUCACGGGAAGCUACCGUCUACCUAGCUUUUUAUAUUGUAAUAUUUUUAUUUAUAUUAUAACCACUGUUUUCUUAUACUUAUAGGAUGUCUUAUAAAGUUUUUUUUUUAAAUUUAUUUAUUUUAUUUAUUGGAUUGAUUUUCGUGUGAAAAUUUAUUUUAUUUAAUAAUAAUAAUAAUUUUACUGAUUUUUUUUAAAAAUAUUUGAUAUCUCUUAAAUCAUUCAUAAAAUGAAUUAAUUUUUUAAUAAAAGUAAUUUUAAUUUAGAUUUAAAUUAUUUCUCAAUUAUAUUUAGAUAUAUGCAUAUAAAAAAUAUUAUUUUCUAAUAUUUAAUAUUUAAAAUUUUAUUUUAAUAAUAAUCUCUUUAAAAUAUUAUCACGAUUUAUAUUAGAAUUAAUGGUUUACAUUUUUAUUCUUCUUCCAAAAAUAAAAUUAUAAUGGACUACUUCACGUUAAUAAAAUCAUUUUUUUAUUCUAAUUUAUUAUAAAUUAUAAUAUUAUCAAUAAUAAGAUUUAUCUAUAAAAUAAAUAUAUCAAUCCACUCGUCUUUCUUUUAAUAAAUUUUCAUUUCAUAUUGUGGGUCGACACGUAUCAUUUCUGUUUACUUUAAUUUUUUAUUAAUAUUUUUUAUGUGCUUAAAGAAAAAAUAAAAUAUUAAAUAAAAUAAAAAACUUGGUGGGGAAGUAAAGUAAAGGAGCGUAAUGAUGACGAUUGUAUGGCCCGAGAGAGAGAGAGAGUGGGCCGGCUGAAAAAAUAAAAUAUUAAAUAAAAUAAAAAACUUGGUGGGGAAGUAAAGUAGAGGAGCGUAAUGAUGACGAUUGUAUGGCCCGAGAGAGAGAGAGUGGGCCAGCUGAAAAAAUAAAAUAUUAAAUAAAAUAAAAAACUUGGUGGGGAAGUAAAGUAGAGGAGCGUAAUGAUGACGAUUGUAUGGCCCAAGAGAGAGAGUGGGCCAGCUGAAAAAAUAAAAUAUUAAAUAAAAUAAAAAGCUUGGUGGGGAAGUAAAGUAGAGGAGCGUAAUGCUGACGAUUGUAUGGCCCGAGAGAGAUAGUGGGCCAGCUGAAAAAAUAAAAUAUUAAAUAAAAUAAAAAACUUGGUGGGGAAGUAAAGUAGAGGAGCGUAAUGAUGACGAUUGUAUGGCCCGAGAGAGAGAGUGGGCCAGCUGAAAAAAUAAAAUAUUAAAUAAAAUAAAAAACUUGGUGGGGAAGUAAAGUAGAGGAGCGUAAUGCUGACGAUUGUAUGGCCCGAGAGAGAGAGAGAGAGAGAGUGGGUCAGCUGAAAAAAUAAAAUAUUAAAUAAAAUAAAAAACUUGGUGGGGAAGUAAAGUAGAGGAGCGUAAUGAUGACGAUUGAAUCGGCCGAGAGAGAGAGAGUGGGUCAGCUGCUUUAAUUCAAGAUUGAAUGACCCGAGAGACACAGAGCUGUCCCUAACUUUCCUCUUCACUUCCUGGAAGGCGCCUUGCCUUCCCAACUUCUUAGUUGCACAAUCUCCUCAUUUACUCACUAUCCUGAAGAGAAAUCAACCCCUCUAAACUGUCUUUGUACUUUUGAGAUAGAAACCCACAAUGGCUUCCACAAGCUCCUUCAGAGCCUCUUCUUCUUCUUCUACUCCUUCCAUCCCUCGAACAAGUACUUAUGAUGUUUUCUUGAGUUUUAGAGGCGCAGACACCCGCUCUAAUUUCACUGAUCACCUCUACAGUGCUUUGGGUAGGAGAGGGAUUCGCACCUUCAGAGACGAUAAACUCAGGGAAGGAGAAGCGAUUGGUCCAGAACUCUUGACAGCCAUCGAAGAAUCAAGGUCUUCCGUAAUUGUUUUCUCUGAAAACUAUGCUCAUUCGACAUGGUGUUUGGAUGAGUUGGUAAAGAUCAUGGAGCGCCACAAAGAUCGGGGACAUGCUGUUUUCCCAAUUUUCUAUCACGUGGAUCCAUCCCAUGUACGAAGGAAAACAGAAAGUUUUGGAAAGGCCUUUGCCGGUUAUGAAGGAAACUGGAAGGACAAGAUACCACGGUGGAAGACGGCCUUGACGGAAGCAGCCAAUCUUUCUGGAUGGCAUCAACGGGAUGGGUAACUAUAAUUUCCUUUCAACUAUUUAAAUGAGUAGUUUUGCAUUUAUAGAGUGAUGAUGUGGAUUGAAACAUUUAUAAAAAUACAAAAGCUCAAAUUUUUUAUUUGGAGGUCUACUCCUUAAGCACAAACUUAUCCUCAAAAUGCUUUUAGAUUAAGGUGGUGCAUGUUUUUUUGGCUGAAUAGAAAAAGUCAAAUAUUUUGACUUUUUCUAUUCAGCUAAAAAGUAAUCUAUUAACAUCAUCCAAUAUAAUUAAAUUAAACUAAUGGAUAACAAGUUCAUUUUAGUAAACAUGUUACUUUUAGCUUAAUAGAAAAAAUAAAAAUAUUUAGCUUUUUCUAUUCAGCAAAAAAAAACAAAACAAACAGCACUUCGAGUCUUUUAUGUGUAAAUGUGUUUGAUAUUCUUUUAUACGGAAUGUUCUUAGAACAAGUGUUUUUUAGAAAAUCAGCUAUCUUUUCCACGAAUUUAUUUUUUCUUCAAAAACACUUUUAGAUUAUAAGUACUUUUUAAAAGUAUUUUUAGAGUGCUUUGAGCAGGCAAUUCUAUUUAAAUGCUUUUAGUGAAAGUUUUUUUAAUAAAUAUUUUUGGGAGUAUAUCUCAAAGAAUUAUUAGAAGUGAUUUUUUUUUUACUUUUAAUAAGUAAUUCUAAAUUUUUUAUCAAACGUCUUAAUAUUUUUUCAUAAAGACACUUUUUAUACUUCCCAAACAAACUGUAACUUGAGGUUGUUAACAAGGGGCAUAUAUUUGUGUGCUCAAAAUUUAAAAAUAAAAUAAAAUAAAAUAUUGCUUUUUAGGGCUUUAUUUAUAAGUUGGGUUUAUUCAAGUGUAUCAUUUGGGCAGCCGACUAUGUGUCAUGAAUAAGGAGAAAAUAGGAAAUUGGAGUAUUGAUUUGACCAUUGAAGCAGCCAAUUUAUAUGGAUGACAUCGAUAUUAAUUUAAUGAGCAUGCAAUUUAAGUUUCUUUCACUUUUCAUUCAUUAGUGGGUUUUGUUUAGGAAUUAAAUUAUUAUUAUUAUUGUUAUUUAUUACUAAUAUUAGUGUUUUUUGUUGUUGUUAAUAGUAGUUGCAAUGACAGUAGUAUAAAAAGAAUAGUAGAAUAACAAUUAUAUUGAGUUAGGAUUCAUGAUUAAUGGUAGAAUGAACUUAUUAAAACCCAAUUAAUGAGUUUUACUAUUUUAGAUCAAUUUAUGAGAAUCUAUAUCUAAAAUAAUUUAAUCAAAAUUUAUUACUAUUUUUUCAAUUUUCAAGAUUCAAUUCGCAUUAAUGUUACAAAAAUUAAUCAAUUUAUUUGAAAUUUUGUGUGAAUAAUUAUAUAACAAGUAACAAUAAAAUUAAUGACUAUUACUAUCUAUUAACGAGCUUCAAAAAUUUCAAUUAACCAACCUCUUGUGUAUCAAUAGAACAACUUAAUCAAAUUCUAAAAAUAAUUUGAUUAAUUAUGUAACAAGUAAGAAGUAACAAUAACAAAAUUAUUUAACCAAUUUUAUUUGAGGACAAGUUGAUCAAGUAGUUUGAUUAAUUAUGUACCAACUACCAAUAACAAAAUUAUGUGACGUAAAUUGUUUAGUAGGAAUUCAACUUCCCAGAGAGUUUGUGUGUGUAUAUAUAUAGACAAUAAAGAACAUAGGUUAGGAAGUUAAUUCUUUAUAGAUGAUGCGAAAGGAAAUCAACUCAAAAUAAAAUACAAAUGAAUAACUUGUUUACAAGCCUUUAAUUUUUAAUUUUUAUCAUACAAAUGAAUAAUAAGGAGAUGAUGUUGUGGGAUAAAUAAGUUUUGAAGCUUGAGGAAUUGAACAUGGGGUUUUUAAACUAAAACUUCUUAUAUUAAGGGGUUGAGGCUUCAUGCAUUACAAGAUAUAAAACGAAUGUCAAAGAAUAAAAUAUUUGCUCCUACAAGGUUUCUAAUUGCCAUGGGUUGUUAAAGAGUUUUUGAAAAGUGCAUGAAUGAUAAAGUAAUGUUUCGAUUCAUAAUCAUUGUCCUCUAUCAUGGCACAAAAUUUCCAUUUGAAUCUAAUGCCACACAAGCAGCACAACUAACAAAAUUCAAAAUCCAUGUUUUAGUUUUGUUCUCAUGCAUACUUGAUACAAUGAAAAAGGUCCUAAAAAUGUAAAUGAACUAAUAUCUUUGAUAUAUUCUAUUCUACUUUAAUUUAUUUUUCGUAAAGAUGUCAAAUUUAAUGUGUUUUAUUUACAAUUGUGGCUCAUUGCUUAACAUGUUAUUCUUUUAUAAUUGGCAGGUCUGAGUCCAAUAAAAUUAAAGAAAUAACUGAUAUCAUAUUCCAUCGAUUGAAAUGUAAGAGGCUUGAUGUUGGUGCCAAUUUAGUUGGUAUAGAUUCCCAUGUAAAAGAGAUGAUUUUGCGGUUGCAUAUGGAAUCAAGUGAUGUUCGUAUUGUUGGGAUAUACGGAGUUGGGGGGAUGGGUAAGACUACCAUCGCAAAAGUUAUAUAUAAUGAACUUUCUUGUGAAUUUGAAUGUAUGAGCUUUCUUGAAAAUAUUAGGGAGGUUUCCAAUCCCCAAGUUUUAUAUCACUUACAAAAUCAACUUCUUGGUGAUAUCCUAGAGGGAGAGGGGAGUCAAAAUAUAAAUAGUGUUGCCCACAAAGCAAGUAUGAUAAAGGACAUUCUCUCAUCUAAAAAAGUUUUUAUGGUUCUUGAUGAUGUUGAUGAUCCAAGUCAAUUAGAAAAUUUACUUGGACAUCGUGAAUGGCUUGGAGAAGGAAGUAAAGUCAUCAUAACAACUAGAGAUAAACAUGUGUUAGCUGUACAAGAAGUGGAUGUCUUAUAUGAGGUUAAGGGAUUGAAUUUUAAAGAAGCUCAUGAACUUUUCAGUUUGUAUGCCUUUAAACAAAAUCUUCCCCAAUCAAACUAUAGAGACCUCUCACAUCGUGUUGUAGGCUAUUGUCAAGGGCUUCCAUUAGCUCUAAAAGUUCUAGGUUCUCUCUUAUUCAAGAAGACAAUACCUCAAUGGGAAAGUGAAUUGGAUAAAUUGGACAAAGAACCUGAGAUGAAAAUUCACAAUGUGCUUAAACGAAGCUAUGAUGGAUUAGAUCGUACAGAAAAAAAAAUAUUUCUUGAUGUUGCAUGUUUUUUUAAAGGUGA